rnacentral:lncRNA from 1 species
UUUUUUUUUGUUUAGAAUAAUUGGUUUUGUUUGACCAUCUACUUUUUGUUGAACUUGGCCGGUUGGUCUGCUUAUUAUGGGAAUUUCAAUUAUAUUUUCCAACUUCAAUUUGCAUACUUGACUUGUGAACUGCUUGAGUAACCAGCCUGUGUUUUGAUUGCACAUUUCCUUUUGGGGAUUUGUGAGUGCUAGGGUACCCCUUAAGGGACUUCGGGUGUGCUCUGCAUGUCCCGUAGGAUGGUUCCCCUUAGGAAGUUUGUGAGUGUCAGGGUCUCCCUUGAGGGACUCCGGAUAUGUCCUGCACAUCCCGUAGGAUGCCUUGGUCGUCUCCCGAAAGAUGCGUUUACUCGUUGCCCUGCGUCUCCCUUAGGACGCUCUUUAUGGGCAACUAUGUGUCUAUCCUGCCUCCCUUAGGAAACGGAUAAGAACUGGAUAUUUCCCGCAGGAAGCAUGGAGACCUCAUUUUAAGAAAUUCCUAGCGUGCCCUGCGUCUCCCUUAGGACGCUUUUUUAGCGGGCUGCAUCUCGAAACGGAUGCUUCUAGUCGUCGCCCUGCGUCUCCGUUAGGACGCUCCUUAUGGGCAACUGUGUGUCUAUCCUGCCUCCUUUAGAAAACGGACAGGAACCUGGAUAUUUCCCGCAGAGAGCAUGGAGAUCCCCUUUUAAGAAACUCCUGGCGCGCCCUGCGUCUCUCUUAGGACGCUUUUUUAGCGGUCUGCGUCUCCAAACGGACGCUUCUACUCAUCGCCUUGCGUCUCCCUUAGGACGCUCCUUAUGGGCAACUGUGUGUCUAUCCUGCCUCCCUUAGGAAACAGAUAGGAACCUGGAUAUCUCCCAUAGGAGAUUCCUGGCGCACCUUGCGUCUCCUUAAGGACGCUUCUUAGCAGGCUGCAUCUCCAAACAGACGCUUUUAGUUGCUGCCCUGCGUCUCCCUUAGGACACUCCUUAUGGGCAACUGUUGUGUUUUGUAGGCAGAUGACACAUUUUGGAAUGAGAAGCUGAACUUAUAUUGAUAUUCAUAAGAUUACAGUCCUUUUUUUCGAAAAUGGAAAUAACUGGGUAUAAAAAUUUAGAACUUCUAGCAGCCGGGAGGAAGCACUACGGAUAAUACUUUUGGAGAUGGUGAGCAUUCCAUUGUCGUGGUAUUUCCUUUCCAUCCACGAUGUCCAGCGUGUAGCUUCCUCUGCCCCCGGCCCGGUUGAUCACAUAAGGGCCCUCCCAGUUGGGUUCAAUCUUUUUUGACCCUUGCCUUUGUGCAGUGAUGAAAGCCUUCCUUAGCACGAGGUCGCCUGGUUGAAACUGUAUGACCUUGGCUCUUUUGUCGUAGUAAGACUUCAGUUGCUGCUGAUAGGAGGCGACCCGAAUAAUGGUCUUUUCGCGCUCGCCCUCAAGUAAGUCAAGGUUGAGUCUCAGCUGCUCAGAGUUCUGGUCAACACUGCCCACCUCAAGGCUUAUGGAGGGGACCGUGAUGUGAGAGGGGAUGAUCGCUUCUGCCCCAUAGGAGAGGAAGAAUGGGGUUUCGCCAGUCGAUCUUCGCUUGGUGGUGCGAUAAGCUCAUAGUACUCCGGGGAGUUCAUCCACCCAUUUCCCUUCAGCGCCUUCUAGCCUUUUCUUCAAGCAGUCCAAUAUGACUUUGUUGGACGCCUCGGCCUCCCUAUUUUCUUGUGGAUACCUCGGGGUGGAGAGGUGUUGUUUGAUCUUGUAUUUUGCAAAGAAGGCAGUGAUCUGCUUGCCAAUGAACUGCGAGCCAUUGUCUGUAACCAACUACUGUGUGCAGCCAAACCGGCAGAUGAUGUUUUUCCAGAUGAAUCGCUCCACAUCGGCUUCUUUAGUAGAGGAUAGAGCUUCGACCUCGAUCCAUUUAGUAAAGUAAUCGAUGGCGACGAUCAUCAUUUCUUUCUUUGCAGGUGCCGGUGGCAAAGGACCCACUAAGUCGAUGACCCAUUACAUGAAUGGCCAUGGACUGUUUUGCGGAUGGUAGACUUCAGUAGGCAGGUUAGGGACCGGCUUGUAUCAUUGACAGCGGUCACAUUUCUUGGCAUACUCGGCUGAGUCGUGGCGCAUGGUAGGCCAGAAGUAGCCUAUGUUUAGAGCCUUCUAGGUGAGCGAUCUGCCCCCAGAGUGGUUGCCACACUCGCCGUCGUGAAUUUUUCAGAGGACCUUAAGUGUUUGAGGGUACUUUAUGCAGGUGAGAUGAGGGCCGGAGUAAGAUCUGUGGAUGAGCUUGUUGCUGUGCAUGUAGUAUCUCGCGGCCUUCUGCUGGACCUUCCUAGCUUUGGACUUGUCCGUAGGCAGGUUUCUGUUCAUCAAGUAGUCGAUGAUGGGGUCUUACCAGCUGGGGUCUUCAUCAAUCCGCAUUGUGUCAACCGGCUCUAUUUCUUCAAUGCUUGGUCGGUCAAGGUGUUCGACUGGGAUGGAGCGUCUGAACUGGGUAUCCAGCGCUGACCCUAGGCUUGCCAGUGCGUUUGCAUGCACAUUCUCUGCCCGGGGCACUUGUUGGAUAGUGAAGGCAGGAAAUGCCUUCAACAGCUCUUGGACUUUGUCAAGGUACAAGAUCAUCACUGGGUGCUUCGCCAUGUAUUCACCUGAGGCUUGAUUCAUGAUCAACUGUGAAUCUGAGUAGAUGGCUAGCUUCUUGAUUGCGAGCUCCUUUGCCAAGCGUAGGCUGGCGAGCAAUGCCUCGUAUUCUGCCUCGUUGUUCGAGGCUAGGAAGCCAAGCAAAAUAUCUUGCUCCAACAAGGUUCCAUCCGGGGUAGUGAUGAUGACUCCUGCUCCAGCUCCCUUUUGGUUCGAUGCUCCAUCUACGCGUAACUCCCACAUGUCUCUGGGUCGGCUAGGUUCAAUGGAGGUGUCGUCUGCUUUUGAACUUUCCUUAUUUUUGUUGACGAGCUUCUCUUCUUCGGCUGAUGUUGUGAAUUCUGCGACGAAGUCUGUUAAAGCCUAGGCUUUUAUUGCAGUUUUUGGUCGGUAGAGGAGGUCGUAUUGACUUAGCUCUAUAGCCCACUUCAUAAGUCGCUGAGAAGCGUCAGGGCUGUGGAGGAUUGAUCUCAAAGGAAAGUCGGUCAUGACGACGACUCGGUGAGCUUGGUAGUAGGGUCGUAGCUUUUUUUGCGGAAACUAUAAGAGCCAAAAUGAGCUUCUCCAACUUCAGGUAGCGAGUUUCUGCAUCGAGCAGAGCUUUUGACGUGUAGAAUACCGGAUGUUGGGCCCCCAGUUCUUCUCGAAUGAGAGCUGAGCUAACAGCUGAGUUGGACACUGCCAGGUAUACAUACAGGUCUUCGCUAAGAACUGGUUUUGAGAGCAGGGUAGGUGAAGUGAGGUAGGUCUUUAGAUUCUGGAAAGCGACUUGGCACUCAUCAUCCAAUUUAUCUCUUUGUCCUUUCUUCAAAGCUUUGAAGAAUGGUUUGCACUUGUCGGUAGAUCUCGAGAGGAAUCGGUUGAGUGCCGCUGCUCUGCCCGUCAGACUUUGUAUUUCCUUUACUGUAGAAAGCGGCUACAUCUUGAGAAUAGCUUUGAUUUGAUGCGGGUGUGCCUCGAUACCUCACUUCGUGACUAGGUAUCCCAAGAAUCGGCCGGAGGAUACGCCAAAUGUGCACAUACUCGGGUUCAACAUCAUGCGAUACUGGUGAAGUAGGCUGAAUUCCUCGGCAAGAUUUUUGAUGUGAUCUGCACGUUUUGGGGCUUUGACCAACAUGUCGUCUACGUAAACCUCCAUAGUUUUACCGAUUUGCUCCUUAAAGAUUUUAUUCACAAGCCUUUGGUAAGGUUGCUCCGGCGUUCUUCAGCCCAAAAGGCAUGACCUUGUAGCAGUAGGUUCCUCUUUCUAUGAUGAAAGAAGUUCUUGCAUUUUCAUCCUCGUGCAUCAGGAUUUGGUUAUAGCCGGAGUAGGCGUCCAUGAAGCUGAGCAGUUGAUUGCCAGAGCUCGCGGUACAAGUCGUGCUCAGCUGGAAGGCCUUUCUUGAAAGCAGAGGACGCGAUUCGGUCGUCACAUCCUACAAUGUUCGCCUUUUCUGCCUUGAAUCUCUUGAUGUAAUCUCGAAUGGAUUCUUCAAAUUUCUUGCGCAGGUUGUACAAGUGGUCAAGGUUCUUCUUAAUUGUCGGAUAAGAUGUGUAUUCUUUGGUGAAGACGUAAGCUAGCUCCUUGAAGCUGUUGAUCGACCCGGAUGGUAGGGUGUGGAACCAGUCUUGGGCUGCUCCUCGCAAGGUCAUCGCAAAUACCUUGCACAUCAGCGCGUUGUCAGCUUGGUGGAGGAUCACAACACUUUUGAAGUGUUUUAAGUGGCUCUCGGGAUCAGAAUCCCCUUUGAAGUGUAUGAACGAGGGUGUCAAGAAUCGCUUCGGGUGAACGGCCUACUUGAUAUCGAGGGUGAAAGGCGUAGAGUUCACCUGGUCCAUCUCCUUACGUAGUGAAUCCUCGAAGUUUCCUCCGGUCUUCAAGUCUCGAAGUCGGUCAUUCACGAGCUUCUCAACGUGUUCUGCCCACAUUGCUAGUCGGUUACGUUGGCGACCUCCACGAUAUUGACUGACUUCCUCAUUGUCCUCCGAGGGUUGACCUUCUUGCCUGCGCUGCAAAAGUGGUGCGUUGGUGGACUGUGUUUGUGAAGGAUUCUUUGUAACUUGUUGGUGAAAGUCGACUCUUCGAAAGUGAGCAGCGGAGCGCCUUUCUUCAUGAUCCUCAUUGUGAGGGUUAUCCAGUUGACCUCCCUAGGGGCCUUGCCUUUCGUGAACGCUCCUCUAGGAGUGGAUAGCUGAGCGUCUUUCUUCACGAUCCUCAUUGUGAUGGUUGUUUGGCUGACCUCCCUGGGGACCUAGCCUUUGAUGUACAUUUUCUUGCGGGCCCAGGCGAGCGUGGAUGUCAGAUCGUGGGCCAAGCCUCUCGAGCACGUCGUUCCUCAAGUUUAACCUGGAUGGGUGACUUCGUCUCCUCUGUGUGUGGCUCACGGACGCUUGUGACAUGUCGACAGACCGAUCACGUUGUUGUCCCUCGCCUUGUCUGGUUUCUCCUGCUCGACCUACUUGGUACCCAUCGUGCUGCCUACAGUCACUUUCGUCCAUCCUUCUCUCUUCGCCCGGUUGUCCAAGGCCAAUGUUUUGAACUAAGCUUAUUUGGUUGAGGAGCUGCCUCAUUAGAUUGCUUUGGUCGUCCAUUCUCUGAGCUAGCUGGUUAACUCUUAGAUUAAGAUCUGCUUGACUUCGUGGAUCGGGAGGAGAGAAGUGUGUGGAGCCCAAUUGCACAUGGGCUAGGUUUUCAUGAGAGGUGCAUGCAGGAGCGUGAGUCGAGGGUGGAAGCAAUGAAGGGAAUGCUUGAAGUUGCUCCAAGAUCGGGCCUAAGUCAGUGGUGGUAAUGAGCCCACCUUGAUGGGAGGUUCCACCAUAUUCGGCGGCAGUGGCCAGUGCGGUGGUCUCAGCUGGAGGUCCGAUAGGUGGCACGGUGGUGAGAGGUGGUAGUGCCGCCAUGUUGAUCGCGGGAUCGUGGGUGGAAUGGCUUUGGGCCGUUGCAGAUCUAGCCAUUGCGGCGGUUUUGCCUCUCAUCUUCUUGCUUCCAACCAUGGUUGUUUGGAAGGCUUCGGUGGAUUGGAAAAUAGGAGGAACGGAUUCCUUGAGCACGCGUUGAGUAUAACUCGAGCUCUCAAUGAAAGCACCAAUUUGUGGGAACAAAUUUCCCCACGAGAAUAUUCGGUUCGAAAGAUUCCCCUUUCUUCUUUGCUGCCUCUUUCUCCCUGCAAAAUAGAACAAAUACGGAGAUCACACCCGGGGGGGUAUUGGCCAAAGGCCCUCCGAUGCCUAAAUUAGUUCAAUUGAAUCAUAUAGGAAACAAUAGCUAAUAGGGUACAGAGAUAUGUUUAUAAUAUAACCGGGCGGCCGGAGCUUUAUGUAAAAGAGAGAAAGAGAGAGAGAGAGAGAGAGAGGAGGUAGCUAGGCUCUGUGAGGGAAGAUCUCUACAGAGGUUUUAGCAGUAGUUCUGACGUACCCCAUCCUUGUGCGUGACCAAGUAUUUAUAGUGGCCUUGGAGAAGUUGGUGUAGUUGGUGUAGUUGGUGUAGUUGGUGAGGUUGGUGUGGUUGGUGUAGUUUGGUGAGGUUGGUGUGGUUGGUAUAGUUGGUGAGGUUCAAGUAACCCCCAAUUUGACUAGGUAAUUCCCAAUUAGGUUAUGUAACUCCCAAUUAGGUUAGGUAAUUCCUAAUUAGGUCAAAUAAUUCCCAAAUUGAUUGGCCUAAUCAUUUGACCUAGGGUUUAGGUUUAAUUUGGUUCCCACAACUAGACUCCAGUAUUCUUUAGAUCUCAAAAAAUUCUCCAUCAACAUGCUCUAAUGAUCAUAGUGACCAUCGAAGCGUGGGAUUGAUGGUUAAACAAAGCUGCUUCCUUCAGUCGACAUUGAUACUUGCUACAACAAGAGUUGCUGCUUUCUUUUGCUCUUCAGGCCCCAAUUUGGAGCUCUGAUACCAAUUGUUAGUUUCUAGAUUUAUUGAGAGGAAACAAAGUGCUAGAAUUGAAUCCUUCAUUAAGUGAAAGAUGGCUGUUAAAUAGCCUUAAAAAAAUAGAAAAGAAACUUGCACGACUCCAUGACCUGCUGCACAAUCACACAACCAACAGCUCCUAAAUUUAAGAGAGCUUCCUAAAGAAACGUUCAAACCUCAGCUACUUCCCUAAAACAUAAGGUUAUUCCAACUAAACAGAAAUACUUAAAUAAAUAUUAAAUAACUUCACAAUAGGAUCCCCCAAUGCCCUAGCUCCCUCUCUGCCCCAGACUAUAUCCUGCUAUAUAAUCCAACUCACCAAAUGAAUAUAAUAGAAGAAUGAAUGUCCCAACAUAUCACAUGGUACAAGGUACUAAACCCUAAUAUUCUGAUUAUUCUUUGGUGACUGAUCCCAAAUAUUCCUUGUAUAAAAACAAAGUAAUUAAAACUGCCAGACAAAAUCACAUCCACAGCAUGUCAAAAACACAAUUACAAUGAGACCUGUGGUGGAGAAUAGAAAGUUUUACUCAUGCACGCCGUCUAAUAGGUUUUACAAUAACUACAAAGAGUUUAUACAAUGCGGAGGAGUCUAAUGGCAACAUCAAAUUCUCAUAUGGUAUAUCUCAAUUCACAUGGCUAAAGAAAUUAUGGAAUUAAUAUGAUAAGCCUAAAAAAUGCAAUAAUCGAUUUAUAAUACUCUUGCAGUUGUAUUUGAUGUUGCCAAAGUUUUGUAUAUCCCAACUUUUCGGGAAUUAACUGCUAUAAUUGUAUUCUUAUAAAUGUUGUGACUGAUACCUUUGUUUCUGUGGAAGCCCUCGUUUCCUUCAGAGCCACCUUGACCUUGGCCGGCAUUGCUCGAGUCGACAUAGACGUUGUGAAAGUUGAAUAUCCCGGCAUUUGAGGAUCCAUUGCGUGCUGUAAUUUUAUUUUCAGAAAUUCUGGAUUGGUUGGUGCUGCCGCCAUCUUCAGUAUUAGUUGUCUUCAAGUUCCAUUGGAAGAUUCUGAAGUUGUGAUACGCUUUCGGAACUCUAUCUCUAUUAAUGUUAUUGCAACAAAUGUUGAGACCGUCACCUUUGGGUUUGUUUCCUCCACUGCCACCUUGGCCUUGGGCGGAACUCGAGUCACAUGCUGCUUUGUUGUGAUCUUUAGUACUAGUAGUCUCGCAGUUGUAGAUGAUGUUGCCAAAGUUUUCUACCCCAACUUUUGUGGAUCUAGUAUCUGCAGUAAUUUCAUUAGAAUCAAUGUUGUGACAGAUACCUUGCUACCUUGCCCUUGGCCGCCAUUGCUGCAGUCAACAACUAAAUUGUUAAAGUUUGAAAACCCAACAUUUGACUCUCCUUUUGUUGCGGUAAUUGUGUUUUUAUAAAUAUUGGAUUGGCUGGUUCUCUUCAUAUGGUAUUCGAUCUUGUGACCUUCACCUUGGGGUUUCUUUCCUCUUCCACCACCUUGGCCUCCGACGGCGUUGCUCCAGUUGACAUCUGAGUUGGGAGGCUCAAAACUCCCAACAUCUGCUGUGAUGAGAUUUUGAAAAUAUGCAGAGCUUAGUUUCUAGAACAGAGGAAGAAAAAUGGAGCUAAGAAAGGAUAAAGAGAUCGUUGAGAGUAGAGAGAGCGUCUGUUACUGCGCAAUGAACAUAGCAAUGCACUCUCACACACUAAUUUCAUUCCAACAACAUUAUCCCCUUUACAAUGAAUGGAAAAGAACAGAUUUAGCUUUACAAAAUGUGUCAGCAAUGUGAGCUGUACACUUGGCAUAAAUCUAGGACAUAAGCCUUACACUUGUCUAACUAUGGAUUAAACCAGAAAACAAUUUAUAUUUCAACAUUCCUUUCUAAAUUGUUAACUGGUUUAACUCCAAGUAAACCUUUCAAAUAGUUGAACCGAUCCUUAGGCAGAGCUUUUGUGAAAAUGUCAGCCACUUGUUCUUCAGACUUGCAGUACAUCAAGUCCACUACACCUUCUUGUAAGGCAUCUCGAAUGAAGUGAUAUCUGCAGUUGAUAUACUUGGUCUUUUGAUGGAAAACAGGAUUUCUGGUUAUUGCAAUGGCAGAAGUAUUAUCUACCAUCAAUGGAGUUGCUUCUGUCUGCAAUUCACGAAAAUCCUCUAGCACAAACCUCAACCAUAUAGCCUGAGUAGUUGUUUCACUUGCACUGACAUACUUAGCUUUAGCUGUGGAGAGGGCAACACUAUGUUGCUUGACAGAUGCCCAAGAAAACACACCACUUCCAAAAGAGAAAGCAUAUCCUGAGAUGCUCUUCAUGUCAUCUUGACUUCCACUCCAGUCACUGUCACAAUAUCUGAUUAGUACAGCCUCAUUGCCUUUUUGAUACUCAAUACCAUAGUCUAUUGUCCCUUGUAUGUACCUCAAGACCCUUUUGGCUGUUCCAUAAUGUUUCUUGGUAGGACAAUGCAUAAACCUUGCCAAAAGACUAGAUGCAAACAUUAUAUCUGGCCUUGCAGCAGUUAGGUACAAUAAACUCCCCACAAUCUGUCAGUAUUGAUUCUUAUCUGUCGGUUCACUACCAUCAUUCUUUCACACCUUCUCGCUUGUCACCAAAGGAAUACUCACAGGCUUGCAUUGGUGUAAUCCAAACUUAUUCAGUAGCGUCAAUGCAUAUUUCUUUUGACUAAUGAAGAUGCUAUGUUCAGUUUGAAUCACUACCAUUCCAAGAAAAUGAUAUAGAAGACCCAAAUCAGUCAUUUCAUACCUUCUCAUCAUUUCUGACUUGAAUUCAGCAAUGAGUUCUUCACUGCUACCUGUAUACACUAUGUCAUCAACAUAAAUUGAGACAAUUAGUGUUCCUAAAUCUUCCUUAGUCUUGCAGUACAAUGUGGCCUCACUUGUGCUCCUGACAUACCCACAACUAAUGAGAUAAGCAUGAAUUUCUUCAUACCAGGCCGUUGGUGCCUGUUUUAAACCAUACAAGGCCUUCUUCAAUUUGUACACCUUAUCCUCAUAGUGUUUAACCACAAAACCAUCAGGCUGAUCCACAUAUACCUCCUCCUUAAGUACACCAUUUCGAAACGCAGACUUGACAUCUAACUGGUAUAACUUCCACCUCUUUUGAGCUGCCAAAGCUAUGAGAGUUCUAAUAGUAUGAAGUCUGGCCACAUGAGCAAAAGUCUCAUUGAAAUCGAUUCCAGGCUUUUAGGCAUAGCCUUUGACCACCAACCUAGCUUUGUGCUUCUGUAUUGAGCCAUGAAGAUCCAACUUGGUUUUGUAAACCCACUUAACACCGAUUACAGGUUUCUCACUUGGUCUGUCAACUAGCUCCCAAGUCUCAUUCUUCUCAAUCAUUUCCAUCUCAGCUUCCAUUGCUUGUUGCCAAGGUUUAUCUCUUGAAGCUUCUUCCAAAUAUUCUGGCUCAAUGAUGCUUAUAUUACAUCGAGCAUAUAUCUCAGUUAUAUGUAUGAGUUUCACAGGAGUAGAACUUGGUGAUUCACUUUGUGAGUCAGAAUUAGUAGAACCUGAAGUUAUCUCAGCUGCUCCAGAGUAAUUUCUAAUAUGAGAUUCUGGUGCAAAUGAAGUUGUGACUUCAUAAUCUUCUUCAAUAACACUAGAAUGAUCUUCAGAACUUACAGGAACUGUAACUUGUUCCACAUUCUGCUUCUCCCAAUUCCAUAAAGAGCUUUCAUCAAAAAUUACACUCCUACAGACUGCAAUUUUAUUAGCAUGCAAAUUGUAAACUCUGUAACCAUUCUCACAUUUUCCAUAGCCAACAAAGAUGCACUUGACAGUUGAAUCCUCCAGUUUUGAUCUCAGCUGACUAGGCACAUGACAAAAACAUAUAGAGCUAAAGAGCCUAAAAUGUUUAACUCCUGGCUUUCUUCCACUAAAAACUUCAAAUGGAGUUGAAUUAUUCAAAGCUCUUGUGGGACACCUGUUUUGAAUGUAGACAGCAGUAUUUACUGCUUCUCCCCAGAACUUAAAUGGAAGUCUCUUCUCAUUCAACAUUUCCUUGCUCAUUUCAACAAUGGUUCUGUUUUUUCUCUCGGCAACCCCAUUUUGCUGAGGUGAAUAAGCCACAGCGAACUGCCUUUCCAUGCCUACAUCUUCACAAAACUUCAUAAAUUCAAGUGAGGUAUACUCUUCUCCUCUGUCACUUCUAAGCCUUUUGAUCUUGUAGCCACUUUGUAGUUCCACCAUAGCCUUGAACUUUUUGAAAAUACCAAACACUUCUGACGUGUAUUGCAUGAAAUUCACCCAACACAUUUUGGUGCAAUCAUCAAUAAAAGUCAAGAAAUAUCUGUUUCCACCAAUAGUUGUGGUCUGCAUUUGUCAACAAACAUCUGAGUGGAUGAGUUCCAAUGGCUCACUUGCUCUCCAAGUCCUCUCUUUACCAAAGGAUUCUCUAUGUGCUUUCCUCAUUGCACAACCUUGGCAAAUUCUCCUUGCAUUCCCAAUUUCUAGCAGUCCAUAAACCAUUUCUUAUUGUUGUAACAACCUCAAAAUCUGCAGAUUGAGAUGGUCAAACCUCUUAUGCCAACACCAAGUAGAGUCUUCAACAGUUGCCUUCAUAGCCACAGAGUUCACAUGUGUCAGUGAGAGUGGAAAACAUUUAUUCCCUAUCAUAGGAACUUUAGCAACCAAGUGUUCCAUUGAGCUGUCAUCAAAUAUCUCCACCAUUGAUUUUCCAAAAACCAAAAAAUAUCCAUGUUCCACCAUCUGACCAACACUAAGCAGAUUUUCAUCCAACCCUGGUACAAGCAUAACUUCUUUAAUAUAUCUAGGCCCAAAUUUUGUGUCAAUCACCAAAGUACCUUUUCCAGUGGCCUGCACCAAAUCUCCUGUGCCCAUUUUUACCUUUGCAGUGACAUUGGUAUCAACAUUAACCAUAAGUGAUUCAUGUGAGGUCAUGUGAUUGCUACAAGCACUAUCUACAUACCACACAUCAUUGUUUUGCACUACAGCAGCAGAAUGACAGGCAUAAAACAUUGUAUCUUCUUCCUCGUUAUGUGCUGCAUAGUUAGCUGUUUGAGCUGAUUUGCCUCUGCAAUCCUUGGCUAAAUGACCAAACCUAUCGCAUUUGUAGCAUUUAGGCUUGCCUUUGAACCAACAAGCACCAUAGUGAAGCUUGUCACAGGUUUUGCAAGGAACCUUUUCUCCUUCAGCCUGAUUUUCCUUCUUGGAAUUGUUUUCAGACUUAGCAUCCCUUUUCUUCCAUUUCUGUGGUUUCCAGUUUUUCUUAGAUUUUGAAAAUCCAGAUUGACCUGUGUGUGAUUGAUCUCUAGGACUAACACUCAGACUAGAAAAUGCCUUUUCUGUCAAUUUUUCAGUGUGCCUUUGCAAUCGUUGUUCAUGUGAUUUCAAAGAGCCUAUAACUUCCUGAACACCUAUAGUCUCAGUGUGCUUUGUUUUUUCUAUCACUUCAGCAAUGGAAUCAUACUCUUAAAACAAACUAAUCAAAAGUUUCUGCACAAUCCUUCAAUCAGCAAUCUCUUCACCAUAUGCUUUCAUGUGAUUUACUAACUCACGCAACUUAGUUAUAUAAUCAGACAAGGAAUCAUCCUCUUGCAUACGAAUGUAUUCAAAAUCCCUUCUAAGUGAUUGAAGUUUUACAGAUCUUACCUUCUUAUCUCCUCUGAACUCUUGCUGCAAAAUUUCCCAUGCUUCUUUGGCCGAUUCCUUCAGUGCGAUUCCGGGAAAAAUAUCACCAUAAACUGCAUUUUGAAUCAGUCCCAAUGCCUUAGCAUCCUUUGCAACAUUCUCUUCCAAUGCAAGCUUUUGAGCUGCAGUCAGAGCUUCACCAUCCUCCUUCUUCACUGGUUGUUCAUACCCAUUUUUAACCAUAUCCCAAAGCUUGUGAGAUUUGAAGAUUGUACACAUUUUUAUUCUCCAGAAAUCAUAGUUGCUUCCAUUGAAGAUGGGAGCACGUAGCUCACCCAUUCCAGAUCCAGCCAUGUGAGACUAGAGAGAGAGAUUAUCUCAGCUAGAUUGCUACGGUUUCACAACGCCCAGUCUCAUAUCGAAACCUAGGCUCACGAUACCAUGACGAGAUUUUGAAAAUAUGCAAAGCAUAGUUUCUAGAACAGAGGAAGAAAAAUGGAGCUAAGAGAGGAUACAGAGAUUGUUGAGAGGAGAGAGAGCGUCUGUUGCUGCGCAAUGAACAUAGCAAUGCACUCUCACACACUAAUUUCAUUCCAAAGGAAUUAUCCCCUUUACAAUGAAAGGAAAAGAACAUAUUUAGCAUUACAAAAUGUGUCAGCAAUGUGAGCUGUACACUUAGCAUAAAUCUAGGACAUAUAAGUUCUCCAAUAUGGUAGCAUCUAAGCCUUACACUUGUGUAACUAUGGAAUAUACCAGAAAACAAUUAUAUUUCAACACGCUGAUCCAUCAAGGUCUAUGACUUCAUUUGUGGCACUAUAUCUGUUGCUGCCGUUGUCUUCUUCCAUUACUGGCUGGAGCUGUAAUAGGCAACAGGUACACAAACAAGAUAAAUUUUAAUCAUAAUUCUAUUUAAUUUUUAAAAGAUCAUAAACGAUAUUUGGAUUACGAAAAUCCUACAAAGCAGGAAUCAGAUUCAACAACGACUAACAAAAAUAAAAAAUAAAAUCCAUGAGUAACUGAGUGGAAAUCUUCCAAAUAAAAAUAAUAAUUGCAAAAAUUUGAAAAUUUUAAGCAUUAAUUAACAAACCGAGACAAAAAUUUACUUACAAUUUAAUUAAUUAACUAGAAUGAAAUUGGCAUCUUCAAGCAAUUUUUUUACCAAAUCUUGUUCUCUCACCUUCUCUUUUGGAUGAUCUGCUUCUAAAUACCCAAACACUAAAUUUAUUCAAUGAAGACCCAAGCCCUAAUUUUGUUCAUUGUACACAAAACCCCUAAUUUGAUAAAAUGGAAGCCACAAUAAAGCAGAAAAAUGAAAGAAAAAUCGACAUAGGUAACUCAUAAACUCCAAAAUUGAAACAAAUAAUUAGAAGAAAAUAAUCGGAAAGGCAUACUGACUGUGUGUCUUGGGUCUGUAGUUGCGAUUCGACCAACGAAGCAGAAAAUGACUGUGAGGUGUGGAUGGAGUUUGGACAUGUGGGUGGAAAUAGCACCACUUAUAUUAAUACUAGAGACAAAAGACAUAAGAGUGUACAACUGGUCGGAAAGGGAGCCCAUCAGAAUCAUUUCCCGUAAUUCUUAUAAGAUUAUAAUCUCCCGCAACAUAAGCGACACAAUUAAGGAAACAAUAAUGAAAUUAUGGGCUAGUGUGGUCCUAGGCCCCCACUUCACUUUUUACCUCUUCUAUUUGUAUAUUAUAUAUCAUAUAUAAGAUUAUAAUAUAUUACAUUAGAAUAAUAUAUUAGGUUCUUUUUGUCUACAAAUUUACUAUAAAAUUUCUUGAUAUCUCUUCUACUUUUCUCCUUUAAAUCAUCUAGGUUAAUUUAUGAUAUUUGCACUAAAAACUCCUAAAGUUUUAACCUUUCUUUCUCUUCCUCUUUUGUUUUAAGCUUUGUGAAUUUUUUAUGUUCCUCAAUUUAUCUUUUUCAUGUAUGAGUUGGGUACCUUAAUAUUGCGCUUUAUGAAAUCUUUUUUUUUUUCUAUUUAUUUUCAGUGUUGGAAUAUAAAUUAUUAAUUUUUAAGUCUUUGCAUAGAUGAUAAAAUUAGUAUUUAACCAAUUUAAAAUAUGAAAUGCAUGAUAAUUAUGAAGAGAAGACAAGUUUUAUGAAGGGCCCCUCUAAUGUGAAAUCCUAGCUCCGCCACUAUUACUAACAUACUUAUGGCAUGUAGGGAAAGAAAGAAUUCAAAAAUAUAAGAGAAAUAAGAUUCAAAUUCAGAUAAAGGAACGAAAAUAAAAGUUUUACUGUAACAGCUUUGGUGGCCAUACUGUAAGAAGGUUUAUUGCCUUAAACCUACUGAAGUGAUCUUCUAAUCAAUAAAGGAUUGCAAAGACUUAUUGUUUAUCAGGAACUCAAACCUAUCUCGAUUAGGUAGCCUUUAAAACAGUGUUUAAUAAGGAUAAUGAAGGCUUAAAGGUUCCUAGUUCUACAAGGAUUGGAAUAGAUUAGUUCUAUCGCAUGAAGGAUAUCUCUAAGUGUUUCCUGAUGGGCAGGACACUUAGAGAGAUGCAUAUAUAUAGAAGGCUCCCUCCUAGAUCCAAAAACACAUCUAAGCUAAUCAGAAAUUCACCCAUCAGAGUUAUAGCUAUAAGGAUCGGUUUCUAGGAGAAGAGUUUUUAGUACCUUCCCACAACCAAUCUGUCCAGCACCAUGUCAGACUCAGGUUAGUGUUAAACAUGUUAUAUCUUUCAGAACUUACAUGUGGUAUCAGAGCUUAAGUUAUAUCAUGUUUUACCUAACAAAUCUCGUGCAGGAAAAUCAAAGGAAAUAAACUGACAGUUUUUAAGUUAUAAAGUAUGAACAUGAUAACAGUAUAAAGUAUGAACUUUAUCAUGUUCAUGACAGGUUUUUACAGAUCAUCGCUUACAGUGUUUGUGUGGUGAUUGAGUAAGCCAAAGCAACUCAAUCACUGCAUGAUCAUUGUAUUCAAAGGUCAUGAUCAAAAAUUUUGCAUCAUGAUGCAGAACAUAUCAAAAUGGCUUUCUGUCCAAAGAUGUAAGCAGUUUGAUAUGUUUUCAUCAUGGUGGAUUGACAUAGAACAUGGAUGGAUAUGGAUUAGUGAAAGAUUUUCUUCUGUCUAAAGAUGUGGAAGAUCUUUUUCUCAGGAAGUUCAUAUCUAUUCGUUUUCCAGUGUCAAAAAGCAUGCUCAAUUUACUGUCCAAAGAUGUGGUUAAGUGUGUUUGAUUAAAGUCCUGGGGAAAGUUGUUUAUAUAAAGUGCUUAUCUUGUUUUAAAACAUGUACAGUCAAUCAUAACUCGAUUCGAACUCUCACUGGCUCAAAUUAUAAGAAAUGGAGAGAAGAUGUGGAAAUUGCUCUUGGACUUCUGGAUUAUGAGAUGGUUCUUACUAAUGAAGCUCUAUCAGUACCAGCGAAUGAUGCAUCUGCUGAGACUAAGGCAAAAUAUGCAAAGUGGAUUAAAGCUAACAAAAUGGCAAUUCUGAUCAUGAGGAGGUCUAUUUCAGAAGAAGUCAGAGGAAGUAUUAUCGAAACUGAGAAUGCUAAGCAGUUCAUGGAAGCUAUUGCAGAAAACUUCCAAGGAUCUAAGAAAGCUGAAAUAGGCACACUCAUGAGCCAGCUGACAGACAUGAAAUACAAUGGAGAAGGCUGCAUAAGGACUCACAUUCUAAACAUGGUUGAGAUAGGAAACAAGCUGAAAGCCCUGAAAGUCAAUGUAGAUGAGACCAUGAUGGUGCACUUCGCCAUUAACUCCCUACCUAGCAUAUUUAGACAGUUGAAAAUCACUUAUAUUGCUCCGAAGGAGAUAUGGUCAGUUGCUGAUUUGAUAGGUAUAUGUGUGCAGGAAGAACAAAGUAUUAGAAAAGACAAAGGCAAAGAACAAGUGUGUUGGGUACAGGAUACAAAAUUCAAACCAAAGGAAUGGUCCAAAAACAAGAAUGCAGAUAAGCAGUAAAGGAAAGAUGAGACUGCAAAGGGCAUAGGUCCAGUAGGCUUGAAGUGUUUCUUCUGCAAGAAGUUUGGGCAUUUGAAGAGAGACUGCAGAAGAUACAUACGCUGGUUGGACAAGCAAAAGGGAAAAGGUAAGCAUGAAAAUGUCUCUGUGAUUUAUGAAUCUAAUACAGUUGAAGUUUUAUCUAAUUCAUGGUGGAUAGAUAGUGGUGCAACAGUUCAUGUAACUAACUCUUUGCAGGGAUUCAAAACAAAGAGGGUGCCAAACAAGGAUGACUUGAAGGUGUUCGUGGGAAAUGGAGAAAGAGUUAGAGUAGAUUUUGUUGGUUUAGCUAGCCUUGAGUUGGAGUCAGGUUUUGUUUUUGAAUUAGUUGAUGUUGUUUAUGUCCCUUCUAUGACAAGGAACUUAUUAUCUGUUAGCAAGCUUGUAAAAUCAAACUUACAGUUUGAGUUUGAUGAGUCUGGUUUCUCCAUUUUCAGAAAUAAAAGUUUUAUUGGUAAUGGAUUGUUGAUCGAUGGGAUGUUUCGUUUGAACUGCAAAUUGCCAAAUCAAAGUACAGAGAUGAUAAAUGUGUUAAGUUCAAAAAGACCUUGUAAUACUGGCAUAAGAGACUUGGACAUGUCUCGAAAGAAAGAAUGAAUCUUUUAAGCAAAGAAUCAAUUCUUCCACCACUUAACCACCAUGAACAAGAUAAAACAUGCAUUGAAUGUGCAAAAGGAAAAUUGACAAAUCUCAGAAAGAAAGGGGCGAUAAGGAGUGAAAAACUACUUGAGAUAAUACACACAGAUAUUUGUGGACCUUUUCCAGUUGAUACACAUGAUGGUUUCAGGUAUUUUAUUACCUUCACAGAUGAUUUUUCCAGAUUGGAUAUGUGUAUCUGAUAACAGAAAAGUCCAAAGCACUGGAAAUGUUUAAAAUCUACAAAGCAGAAGUAGAAAACCAGCUGGAUUCUAAGAUAAAGGUUGUAAGAUCAGAUAGGGGAGGAGAGUUCUAUGGCAAGUUCACUGAAAGGGGAAGAAAUCCAGGACCUUUUGCAAACUUUUUGCAGUAAGAGGGCAUUACUGCACAGUAGACAAAUCCUGGGACACCACAACAGAAUGGUGUUUCAGAAAGGAGAAAUAGAACCUUAAUAGAGAUGGUGAGAAACAUGAUGUGCUGUGCAAAGCUUCCUACUUUUCUAUGGGGAGAAGCUUUAAAAACUGCAAAUUAUCUUGUCAAUAGAGUACCUACCAAAGCUACAAACAAGAUACCCUACGAAAUCUGGAGCAAAAGAAAGCCUAGUUUGGCUCAUCUAAAAACUUGGGGAUGCAAGGCAGAGGCAAAAUUAUACAAUCUAAUGCAGAAGAAACUUGAUUCCAAAACUGUGAGUUGUUUCUUCAUAGGAUAUCCAGAUAGGACAAAAGGUUACAGGUUUUAUUGUCCCAAGCAUAACACAAGAUUUGUGGAAACACAAAGAGCAAUCUUCAUUGAAGAAGAAGAGGGAGGAUUAGAUGAUACAGAUUUUGAUUUUGAUGAGGUUUUGGAAAACAAGGAAACUGCAGAUGAGAAUCAAAUGAGAAAUGUUACCAUUUUACCUCUUGAUGUCUUGGGAGAAAACCAGGACUCACCAAUGGAUGAAGAAAGAAAUAAUGAAGAAGGACAAGUGACAGAAAACCAACAAACUGCAGUAGAAGAAAUUCAGACAGAUCAACCAGUACAGGUUCCAAAUCCACAACUCAGGAGGUCACAAAGGCCUAAGAGGCCGGCCUUGUCCAAUGACUAUUUUGUUUAUCUACAAGAAUCUGAACAUGACAUCAACACUGAGGAAGACCCUGCAACUUUCAAGCAAGCCAUGGAAAGUAGCAAGUGCACACAAUGGUCUGCAGCCAUGGAAUCUGAACUAGAAUCAAUGAGCAAAAAUGGGGUAUGGAAACUAGUAGAUUUACCACGAGGAUGCAAACCUAUAGGAUGCAAGUGGGUCUAUAAAACUAAAAGAAAUGCACAAGGACAAAUAGACAUGUAUAAAGCCAGACUAGUGGCAAAAGGUUACACACAAGAAGAAGGAGUUGAUUACAAUGAGACUUUCUCUCCAGUGUCGACUAAAGAUUCAUUCAGAGUUAUAAUGGCUUUAGUUGCUCAUUUUGAUCUGCAUCUUCAUCAAAUGGACGUUAAGACAGCCUUCCUAAAUGGAGAUCUAAUUGAAGAAAUAUAUAUGAAGCAGCCAGAUGGUUUUGCCUCAAAAGGGGAAGAAAGUUUAGUGUGCAAGCUGCAGAAAUCAAUAUAUGGUCUAAAACAGGCAUCAAGACAAUGGUAUCUCAAAUUUGAUGAAGUUGUUAAGUCCCAAGGCUUCAUCGAUAAUCCAUUAGAUGAAUGCAUCUAUAUGAAAUUCCAUGGAAAGAAUUUUAUUUUUAUGCUGCUAUACGUGGAUGACAUCCUUCUAGCAAGUAGCAAUCUGUCUAUGUUGCAUGACACUAAAGGGAUGCUAUCCAAUCAUUUUGAUAUGAGUGAUCUGGGAGAGGCAAACUACGUUCUGGGAAUUGAAAUCAGUAGGGACAGAGAAAGAAAAAUGAUUGGUUUAUGCCAAAAGGCAUAUAUUGAGAAAGUGCUUAAAAGGUUUAACAUGGGAAAUUGUACAGGAUGCGAUGUUCCUUUCUCAAAAGGGGAUAAAUUGAGCAGUGAACAAUCUCCUAAAACUGAGCAAGAGAGACAGGAGAUGAAGGACAAACCCUAUGCAUCAUUGGUAGGAAGCCUGAUGUAUGCACAAGUCUGCACUAGGCCAGACUUAGCAUUCUGCAUAAGUGUUCUUGGCAGAUUUCAGUCUAAUCCAGGUCAAGCACAUUGGAUUGCAGGAAAGAAAGUAUUAAGGUAUUUGCAAAGAACUAAAGAGUACAAAUUGGUCUAUAGAAAGGUUGAAAAUUUGCAGCUGGAAGGAUAUGCAGAUGCAGACUGUUGAACGGAAAAUUUUCACAAAAGCAAUUAGCCAAGAAUUUGACUUGGGUUAGAAUUGAAUUUGUUUUGUCCCUGCAAUCUUAUCAAGAAAAACAUAUAAAAAUAAAAUAGAUGUAUUUCAGUGGUUUUGAAACACCAAGAGAUAAGUAUCUCGGUUGAGAAGUGGUCAUCAGCUUGAAUUCAAACUCAUCAUAAGAUAGCCUCUAUAAGAGGCAUGACACGAGGGGAGGAGAAGAGAAGGACAGGAGGAGGACAGAAAAAGAGCAGAAAGGAGAACAGUCAUAGCAAGAAGAAAAAUUAGCAAGCAGACUUGAGAAAGGAAAGAGCCAUUUCAAGGUAAAAAGAUUAGUUCCAUGGCACAAUUUUCUAAUUUUUUGCUCAAGAUUUCAGGUUCCAUUCAACUCAAGGGUUCCUGGCCAUGAUGAUUUCUAUCAUCAUAAAAAGGGUCAGUAAUCUCUCUAAGGGACAGCUCCGCUCAAGUAAUUCCGAGGAUACGAUCCGCACCCAGCAGUUUGUUUGAUCAAUCCAUAGAAAUUCUUGGCUAUGAUGAUUGAAAUCAUCAUAACCAAGGUUAAGAAUCUCUCUGAGGCUUGGCUCCGCUCAAAGAACUCCAGCAGUAUUUUCAAGUUUGCCUUCCAUGAUGAUUUCAAUCAUCAUGUUUUAUGGCAUAGUCUAUUCCAUCAUGCACCACCAAAUAAGCUCUUCCAGGAGCAAAGAAUCCCUCAAAUCAUGGAUGUAGAGAUGAACCCACCAUGGGAUCAAAAUCAAAAGAGCGAAAGCUUGUAAUUACAAGUCCCUGUGUAAAAUCUCUGUAUGAAGCAUCCGAAACCAAAAGGGGCGCAUGGAAAUUGAAUUGCCUCCUCAUGAGUGUUAGCUGCCUGCAAGCCAACGAAAAAAGCCAACAGAGGAAGAAUGGAGCAAAAGGAAAAGUGGUUCUGUGUGUUGGGUUUUGUUUGUAAAAGAAAAAAACAAGGGACGUAAAAAAAGUAAUGAAAUAAAAAAAGGGGGGCUGUAUCGCACAGCCCCUCCUCCCUCUCUUGAAUAUUUCUUUGGUUUAUUCUGACUGGGAAUUGAGUAAAAGAAAAGGACAUGGGCAAUGGUACAGCAACAGCAAACAAAAAAAAAGGGAGCUGGCAAGGCAGGUACCACAAGUUCUCUCUUGGGUUUCUGAAGCAAAAUGACAGUGGUUUCCUCCACCAAAUAGAGAAAUCUCCAAAACCUUCAAGCUGGCAGCACAGUCUCUACAUACAAAGGAGAGGACAAGAGGUCAGAAGCAUGGAAACAGACAAAAGAAAAAUCAAAAGAAAAAAAAAAGGAGUUCAUGGGGUGGGUUACCACGUGAAAGGCAAGAUGAUUUCUCUUUCCCUUUGUCUUGGGUUAUUGACCUUGGGAAGGUUAUAGCACACAAAGGACAAUAAGAGAAGUUGUCUCUUUAGGUUCCAAGUCAGCCCAGAAGCAUCCAAUUAAUUGGAGGGUCUUCUAUUGCUACUGUUAUUGCUGUCCAUGAAAAAAAAAUCCUAGUUAGUUCAAUCAAUAAAUAAAAUAAAAGAGAAGAACUAAGGAAUGGCAUGUGGGUUACCACGUGAAAUCCUCUUCUGUUUGAUGGUGCAAUAGGUGGCUUGAGCAAAGCUAUGUACUGGUCUGGAGAAGCAAACGAAGAAUAAUAUUAAGACUUUCGUUUUGUUGCUGUUUUGCUGGGGCACAUAUGUUUUCUUUUUUAUAAGGAAAACACAUAUGGCCCAAUCCUAUGUGGACAAGAAGUUUACUUCACUGGAUGAUCCAGCGAUUCCAAAUCAAUAAGGAGCUUAAUCCAUACUUCACUUGGAGAAGGAUUUUUUUAUCCUUUGGGUGUCUUAAUCAAAUUUAAAGACACCUGUUAAUGGUACCAAUACGUGAGGGGUCCAGCUGGAGCAAAGCAGGGCCACAAUCACUUUUCCUUCACGGUUUCAUCAUCUCAAACGGCAAGCAAGAUUGUCAUAUAGCUUGGCUGCUCGAAUGCUUCCAUCCCAGGAUGCCUUUAGCAAUACAUGGCAAUAACAAAAAGGGAAACAAUAAAAGGGGGUCAAAUUUAUACCAACUGCUGUUGUUAGCAUUCAAGAGAACUAAAAAUAUGCGAUGUGGGUUCGGGUCUGCCAAAAAAGGAAAGAAACAAAGGAAGAGGACUUCUUCCUCUUCGACUUGCAGCAGAGUAAGGAAAAAAGGAGUCUUGGAUUCCACGGUCUUGCAUGUCCAAAGUGAAUCCAAGAUUAUGAAAAAAGGGAUGGGCUGCAACUCUACAUGCAGCAAAACAAGGAAUUUGAAUUAUGAGUCCAAAUUCUAUUGCAUGAAGCUUAUGAUAAAAAAAAAAAAUGGUGUUGCUGUGGGGCUGGCGAUGUACAACACGUUUCUCAAGACCAAUUCAAGAUGGCUGGGUCUCUCUACGAUGCCUUCAAGCAUCCAAAUGGCAAGAAAGAUUGUCAUAUGGCUUGGCUGCUCGAACGCUUCCAUCCCAGGAUGCCUCCAGCAAUACAUAGCAACAACAACGAAAGGACAAUAAAAGGGGAAAGGCAGCCGUGAGGCUGUGAAAAAAAAAGGGGGCUUGUGAAACAGAACAAACCAAAUGCUCAAGAAGGAGUUUAGUGACGAAGAAAGCAUAAAAGCUCAAGGCAAAACAGAAGUGCCUCACGCUUUGCUUACAAGUCCACUUAAAAAGGACCAAUGAUUUGCUCCAAGUUUUAUCCUCAACUGUCAUUGUGCAAGUCCUACUUGGACCAAGACUCAUGAAGUCUUUCAAGUCCCUCACAUCACUUUUGGUGACUGCAACAAAUGAAAACAAAGUGUCCAGGCACUUGUACUCCUUUGUAUUCCAAGGGACGAAGACGUGAGUUCACUACUUGCUGUACCAAGCUAUGCAAGUAAAAGCACAAAAGUGUCAACAAAGGUUCACGAGAACUAAAUUAAUUGACGGUCAAGAAGGCUCAAUAAAAUGCUUACGUCAUUCGGGUCUAUCUGCCUCAAUUCUCAAAUGCAAGAUGGCUACCAAACAUGCCCACAAAAUCUCAACAAGAAAUAUGGGAAUCAAUCACUGUGGCAAAGAAGCUAUUCAAAAAGGAGUGCCAAGCGACUCAACCAUACUGUGUCCAUGACUCCAUUCCAGAUAAAUGAUUGGCCGUGCUACGAGCAUCCAGCUCACAAUCAAAAGAUACCAAAGGAGCAUCAAUAUGGAUUAAUGGGCUUGUCAACCACAAAAGCCCAUUAAUCUCAAAUCCUCCAAAUCAUGCAUGGAUACAAAUGCAAAUGUCAAUUGUAGAGAAUUAGUGGGUUCAUCAAAAUUGUUCAUUAUUUUUCUUGGACAUUAACAAUCAAAAUUGCUCAUUAUUUUUCUUGGACAUUGACAAAAAGAAAAAUGGUAUAAAACCAUCCAAUUUUCCCCAUGGGUCAUCUACCCACGCAAAUUCCAAAUGAGAUUAAAUUCAAAUAUCUCAAAUACAAAUUCUUAAUUAGUGGGCCACACUUACCCAUUAAUUUUCAAUUUUUCCCAUAGGUCAUCUACCUAUGAAAAUCUCCAAAUUGUCCCAAAGACACAAAUUCUCAAUUAGUGGGCCACAGUUACCCAUUAACUUCCAAAAUUUGGAACUACGUCGGUUUGAUCCCGUCAAGGGUACGUAGGCAGUCUAACAUCCCAAUAGACGCAACCGCAAUCAAAUUUAAAUAUCUGGUUUAUCUUAACCAAAUUUUGCCAAAACACUUUCCCAAACGCAAUUGUCAAUGUUUAGGAAAAAUUAAUGGGAUAAUUAAAAUUACUCAUUAUUUUUCUUGGACAUUGACAACAACGAAAGUGGUACAAAACCAUCCAAUUUUUCAUGGGUCAUCUACCCAUGAAAACUCUAAUGAGAUUAAAUCCAAGUCUCUCAAACAGAAAUUCUCAAUUAGUGGGCCACACUUACCCGUUAAUUUCCAAAUUUCGAACUACGUUGGUUUGAUCCCUUUGAAAGGGUACGUAGGCAAUCUAGAGAUUCAAUCUUUGUACUACGAGUGGCUUGAUUCCCGCAAGGGAUACGUUGGCAUCCUGAGGUUGGACUUGGGAGCAGUUGCAAAAUCAAACACACACGUUCUGUUUCUUUAUGAUGGAAUCAAAGGGUGUUCCCUUGAAGCAAGGGAUUGUAAUUAAGAGACUUACGUCUCGAAUGGGUCGAACCUAAAAUAAUAAAACCCCGUUAUUUAAUUAGUGGUGGUGAAAUUAUAUUAGGAGGAUCACAUUUUCCUUCAACAUAAUUUUUGGCACGCCCGAUAGGACCCAUUUACCUUUUUAUCUCCAAUCAUAAGGUGACUAAUGUUUUUAUUUUUGUGUAUGCCACAGGGUUAACAAAACCAUAUUCGAUGGCACCACAAGUUACAAUUUUCUUCCACAAGAUCGAAGCUCCCUGGAAUGCGUGCACCAAACCAGUGGGGUUCAAAAAGACUUUCAUUGUUGGUGAGAGCCUCAUCAAGUGCCCCGUUCCAAAGCCCAUUCAGAGGGUCAAGCCUCAAGUCACUCCUAAAGUUGUCAAGACCCAAUUGAAGAAAGCACCUUUCAAGAACGCUCUCUGAGAUGCAAGAAAGAGGGCUGCGCGUGCUUUAAGAAAGAAAGAAGCAAAGAGGGAGUCUAUUGAGGCAGUUUUGGCCGAGCUUUCGGGGACAAGCCCAUUUGUGACUGAAGGUAAGAACACCUCGAGCACCCUGGCUGUGCCGACUUCCAAGAGGACAAAUGCUACCCAAUUGGUCCAAAUCAUGAUUGGAUCAAUCCCGGUCGACCUAUAUCCUACAGAUUCUGUUCUGAUGACUUCCACCAAUGAAACUAGUGAGGAAGGUCAAAAGGACGACUCUGUGGAGAACGCUGAGGUCCAAGGGGCCGAACCUCCGUCAAGUCCAAAAACCCAUGCUGUGGAAUCCACAUCACAAGAGGUUUACCCGUGCUCUUCUAAGGGUAAAAACAAAGCCAUCAUCAUGGAGAAGAAGGUGGUGAAUAUACCUCAUCCACAAAGAAGGCAUGUGCAAAAGGUGACGACAACUGAUGCUUCAAGGGAUCAAAAUCCGGUAUCACAAGGGGCAGUCCCGAAAUCUCAAGAGCUGUCAAGGUCCUACAUGGGUCCAUUGACUCGUUCCAAAUCUCGAGACAUGAUGGGGAUGACUAUUCCCAAGUUAUCCGCUCCAAACUCAACCCGUUUGGACGAUUAUUUGCAAUGGAAUCCUCUUUAUGAUGAUCCCGUAUCUCAAACUCAAGAGAAUGAUUGUGUAGCAUCCCAAGGGGUCAAACUUCAUGACGGGGUGGAAAGCAUGCAAGUCAUGAUGACUGGUACUUCUAAUACUGAGGACCAGUUGCCCUUAAUCCAAGAGAUGAUGCAAGACUUGCGAAGGGAAAUGCAGCAGAAGUUAGCAGAGAAAGACGCGAAAAUAGCGUUACUAUCAGCUAAGUUGAAAGGGAAAGCCCUCAUAGGAGAGCAAGACAGGGACAAAACAAAUGAAUCGAUGACCCAUGGACAACAAACAAAAGAAGAAAAAGCAGAGAGCUCUACAAGCACAAUUUCCCCAAACGACAUAAAGGCAUUAAUUGUUGAGGGGAUUCGUGAGUUCCAAUUGUCCAUAGCGCUUCCUGUUCAAGGGUAUCGAAAACCCUUCCCUUCUCACUAUGACGCCAUACCAUUCCCGAAGGGUUAUCAACGGCCCAUAUUUGAUAAAUUUGAUGGCAUAAAUAGCUCACCCCAUGAACAUCUGGCACAUUUUUACUCAGCAUGUGGCGAGACAUCUCAGUAAGACGCUCUCCUGGUGCGUCAAUUUGUCCAAUCCCUAAAAGGAUCAGCUUUCACUUGGUAUACACAGCUACCGCCAGGCUCUAUCUUGACGUGGGACGACAUGCAAAAAGCAUUUUUGGCACAAUUUGUCAGUUCUAAAAAGAAGGUCUCGAUCAUGGACCUAGCUCAAACUACCCAAAAGCUAGGCGAAAGUGCUAAUGACUUUAUAAUGAGAUGGAGGAGUCUCAAUCUUCAAUGCCCGGAGAAAAUUACUGAGCAAUCAGCAGUGCAAAUGUGCUACAAUAACCUCAUGCCAGACAUUGCGACUUUUGUCGCCACUGCUGAACCCCAAUCAUUUGACGCUUUGGUGUCAAAGGCGAGCAAUGUUGAAAGACAAAUUGCUCACCAAAAGUCCGCGUCCCAAAAAAUUCAAUUUGGGGAAAAUAAAAAUGACAAGAAGUCCAUGAAAGGAGAGUCGUUGGCCACUUUCGUCAAAACUGAAAAGAAAAAUGACAAAGGCCAAAACAAAGACCCACCUAAAAGGCUAACUCUUAAAGAACGCAAAGAGGUCAAAUAUUCUUUUGAUGAUGAUGAUGUAGAAGAAAUCUUUGACCAACUUCUGGCCUCCAAUACUAUUGCUCUGCCAGAAUCAAAACGUCCUGCUGAGGCCAACAAGACAAAUGACCCUAGGUAUUGUCGAUAUCAUCGCCUUGUCAGUCAUACGCUCAAGGAUUGUUAUAUCCUGAAGGACAAAAUCCAAGAGCUCCUCAAUAAUGGAGGCUUGGAGAUAGACUCCUCUUCCCGACAUCAUUCAGCUACGACAAAUAUGAUAGAAGAAAAGCUCACACCCAUCACUGCAUUACUAGAUGGAGCGAAAAUUACAGGUAUUAAUACCGACAAUCGGGGUACAAUAGUACAUGCUUGUCCGAAGGCACCAUGGUCUAAUGAUCUUCAAAUUCCUACUCUUCAUGAGCUCAUGGCUGCACCCAGUCUAUAAAUAUAGGAAGAUUCUUCAACCGACGAAUUUGCUGAGGGGUGGACGACAUUUGUUAAAAGGGCCAAGCACAUGGCUAAAUAUCUCCCACCCAAUCACAGAUUUACGACUCGUCCGGGUGUCAAGAUUCGAGGCAUACCACCCUUGAAAAAUAAGAUGAGGAAGAAGAGAGUGCAAAAGAAAGUUCAAAUCACCCAAGAAGAUGAAUAUGAGCAACCCGCAAGGGUCCCUGUCACACUCACUGAGUUUUUGCCAGUUCAGUUUUUCUCGAGUGAAUCUGAAGUUGAGGAAGAAAUCAUUCAAUGCAACAUGGUUUCUUUGGAGGAAUAUGAGGUCGACACAGAAGUUGAUGAGAUUAAUCUCCGCUCCGGUCGAAGCAUCCCAUCUGCUGAUAAAGCACAACAAAAUGAGGAAGCUGAUCCCUCUAAAACCGAGAAGAAGCCAAAGGCGAAAGAGAUCAAGGUCUUCUUGUCAGGAAAAACUGUUGCAGGGGAAGUUCCACCUUCCUCUCCAAAAGCAAAGGAUUCUAAGCCCGAUACUAGUAAAGCAAAGGAGCCAUCACAAUCACAUAUAGUUAAGUACGAUAUUCUAGCUCAUCUUAAGCGCAUCCCCGCUCCUCUAAGUGUCUAUGACGCUUUACAAAUGUCAAGGGAACUUAGGGAGGCACUUGUAAUGGCUUUAAUGAACCCAAAUUUGUAUAAGUCAUGUUUCAAAUCAGCAGAUGUCCACACAACUGAAACCUCGAAGUUUUGUGCAUCAUGUCUGGCAGCAAUUACCUUUGGUGAAGAUGACCUUUUACUUGGGUCCAGAUUCCAUAAUCGACCCCUGUAUGUCACUGGCGAAGUUGGAGGCACAACCAUUAAUCGAAUCUUGUUAGAUUGUGGUUCGGCCGUGAAUAUUAUCCCAUUAAAGACGCUCCAUGCUAUAGGGAUGAGUGCCCGACAGUUGUCUCCUUCUAUGCUGACUAUUCAAGGGUUCAAUCAACUUGGGCAAAAGGCCAUGGGCUCUAUUGCAUUGCAAAUGGAAAUAGGAGACUUAUAUUCAAACGCCCUAUUCCAUGUGAUCGAGGCUGAUACUUCAUACAACGUCCUGCUAGGACGUCCAUGGCUCCAUACAUAUGGCGUAGUCCUUUCUACACUUCACCAGUGCUUUAAAUACUUGGUGGAUGGUGAAGUCAAGAGUGUUUCAGCUGACAUGGACCCGUUCAAAGGGGAAGAGGUAAAUUACUCUGAUGCGAAGUUUUACAGCCCACUUGGUCUCUCAUUUACACAGCCAUCAAAGGUUGAUAAGGAGAAAAGAGCGACUGUUGAAACAGGAAAAGCCCAAAAUGUAGAAGUAUCCAAACCUUCAAAAGUAAUCUGAGUGAAGCUAAAACCUCGUGAUGCGUCAUCCUCAAAAGUGGGAGAAGUCCCGACUGCAAAGGCUCCCAAGCCAAAGAUAAUUGUCAAGACUUCAAAAAAGGAGCCUAGUGAAAAGGAAACAAGCUCAUUGAAACAAACAAUGGAGUCACUGAUGACAGCAAGUUACACUCAUCCUCUUCGUAAGAUCAAUCAGUCUAUCCCAGGGGGCAGUUUGGUCAUUUCGACUACUUUUGGCAAAAACGAUGGCCCAAGUAAACGUGUAGUUUUUCACAAAAAGGCACUAUUGUCAGAAACAACAUCUACUCCAUUAAAGAUUGAACUUAAAGGCCGAAAAGCAAAUAAAAGCAAUGCUGGCCUCACAGUUCAAAAUGAGAGUGGUGGACUCAAAGUGUCUCUUCGAAGGCCACAUCUAGAAGCCUNNNNNNNNNNNNNNNNNNNNNNNNNNNNNNNNNNNNNNNNNNNNNNNNNNNNNNNNNNNNNNNNNNNNNNNNNNNNNNNNNNNNNNNNNNNNNNNNNNNNGCAGACAACCACCCCGCAUCUCAGUCUUUCAACGCUGGAGAACCUUUCCAGUUCUCAACAAGGGAAGGUCCAUAAUAAAAGGAAAUGGAAAGUUAAGAGUCAAGAGAAAGCUGUGAUCGAAACAAUCAAAAGGGUGAAAAUAAAGGAUGACCUUGUCCAGGUCAAUUGCACCUCUUGCGAAAAAACAGUGGACCAAGAUGAUAGUCCUCAAGAUAUUAAGGAAUUCAUCGACAUAGUCCAACCAGCUCCAUCACAAAUGGAGGAGGGAGGUCAAGCCACAAUUGAUGAUCUGCAAGAAAUUAAUCUUGGUACAGUUGACAACCCAAAGCCUAUCUUUGUCAGUGCUUUGUUAACACCGCAAGAGUUAGAAGAAUACACACAACUGUUGCAAGAGUACCGAGAUGUAUUUGCAUGGGGUUAUCAAGACAUGCCAGGUUUAGACCCAAACGUUGCAGUUCACAAACUUGGGAUACCUGAUGAGGCUCGAUGGGUGAAGCAAGCGCCAUGCCGUUUUCGGCCAGAGCUAACAAUCCAAAUAGAAAUCGAGAUUGACAAGCUUAUUGCCGCGGAUUUUAUCAGAGAGGUCCAAUAUCCCACCGGGUUGUCCAAUAUUGUCCCAGUCCUCAAAAAAACUGGGGCACUACGUAUAUGUGUGGACUAUAGAGACGUCAAUGAUGCAUACCCAAAAGAUGAGUUUCCACUCCCAAUUACAGAAUUAUUGGUAGACGCAACAACCGGUUUCGGUGCUCUAUCAUUUAUGGAUGGAUUCUCGGGUUACAACCAAAUAAAAAUGGCUCUAGAGGAUCAAGAGAAAACUGCCUUCUGCACUCCAAAAGGAAUAUAUUGCUACACUGUGAUGCCUUUUGGGUUGAAAAAUGCAGGGGCGACUUACCAAAGAGCCAUGACGGUAAUUUUCAAUGACAUGCUUCACAAUACCAUUGAAUGCUACGUUGAUGAUUUGGUUGUCAAAACCAAAAAAAGAGAACAUCAUUUGAGGGACUUAAAACGAGUUUUUGAUAGACUCCGAAAGCACCAGUUGAAAAUGAACCCCUUAAAAUAUGCAUUUGGGGUAACUUCUGGUAGAUUCCUUGGCUUUAUCGUCCGACAUCGUGGAAUUGAAAUUGAUCCCUCAAAAAUCAAGGCAAUCUGUGAAAUGCCUCCCCCUCGAAAUUUAAGGGAGCUGCGAGGGCUGCAAGGAAGACUAGCUUACAUACGACGAUUCAUCUCAAAUCUCUCUGGAAGGUGUCAACCAUUCUCAAGGCUAAUGAAGAAGGAUGUUCCGUUUAUAUGGGAUCAAGCAUGCCAAAAUGCUUUGGAAAGCAUUAAACAAUACCUGUUAAAUCCGCCAGUUCUAAUGGCGCCAAUCAAAGGGAAGCCUUUAAUCCUAUACAUUGCGGCAUUAGAAUGCUCGUUAGGUGCAUUGCUCGCCCAACACAACGAGGAUGGAAAGGAAAAUGCAUUAUAUUACUUGAGUAGAACUCUCGUAGGGGCAGAACAAAAUUACACCCCGAUCGAAAAGGUCUGCCUCGCUUUGGUGUUUGCUGUACAGAAACUACGACACUACAUUCUCUCUCAUAGAGUCAUUUUGAUUUCCAAGGCAGAUCCACUCCGAUAUUUAAUGUCCAAGCCUGUGCUCUCUGGGUGAAUAGCCAAGUGGUCUCUCCUUCUCUCCGAGUUCGAGAUAAAGUUUGUGCCACAAAAGGCAAUCAAAGGGCAGGCUCUUGCUGAUUUCUUGGCUGCUCAUCCUACUCCCGGCAACAUGGAGUUAUCUAAUGAUUUGGCCGACGAAGAGGUAUUCACGACAGAAGCACUUAUAUGUCAGUUAUAUUUUGAUGGGGCAGCAAGAGGAAAAGGAGCUGAGGCAGGACUAGUAUUCAUCACGCCGUCUGGGGGCUUAAUCCCAUACUCAUUCUCUUUACUAGCUUUAUGUUCCAAUAAUGUGGCAGAAUACGAGGCACUCAUCAUUGGCCUUGAAAUUGCUCUCGAGAUGCAUAUUGAUUAUUUGCAAGCAUACGGUGAUUCACAGUUAGUCGUUAGACAGUUGAAUGGCCAAUACGCAGUCAGAAAUACUACUCUCGUCUCAUACCAUGAAAGGGCAAAGUAUCUCAUGUCAUAGUUUCAAGACAUCCAUGUUAGUCACAUCCCGAGGUCGGAAAAUGAUAAAGCUGAUGCACUAGCUAAUUUGGCUGCAUCGUUAACACUACCUGACGAAAGGGAUAUCCAAAUCACUGUUGGGGAACGUUACUUACUACUCCCAGCUAUAAAGAGAAUUGAAGAAGUUGUUGAUUCAAACGUCAUUACGGCUUCCGAAUGUGAGGGGGAACCAGAUGAUCUUGAUUGGCGCCACCCCAUAAUCGAGUAUCUCCGACAAGCCAAGUUGCCAAAUGAUUCAAGGAAAAAGGCUGAAGUCCGACGCAGAGCCACUCGAUUUCUGUACCUAAAUGACACCUUGUACAAAAGAUCAUUUGAUGGUAUGUUGUUAAGGUGUCUGUCGAAACAAGACUCAACUAAGGCCCUUCAUGAUACUCAUGCUGGCACUUGCGGUGCUCAUCAAGCUGGUCCAAAACUCUCAAACCAACUGAAGAGAUUGGGUUAUUAUUAGCCAACAAUGGUCCAAGACUCAAUGAAAUUUGCAACCACAUGCAAAGAUUGCCAGUUACAUGGAGACUUUAUUCACCAGCCACCCCAACAAUUACAUCCGACUACUUUGUCUUGGCCAUUUGAAGCUUGGGGAUUAGAUGUUAUUGGCAUGAUAAAGCCUAAGUCAUCACGUCAACAUCAGUACAUCUUGGCCGCGACCGAUUACUUCUCUAAAUGGGCUGAAGCGAUUCCUUUAAAGGAGAUACGAGCAGACGAUGUUACAAACUUCAUAAGGAAUCAUAUCAUCUACCGUUAUGGGGUUCCAUCGAAGAUAAUAUCCGACAAUGCAUUAUAUUUCAAGUGCAAGUCCAUGAUCAAGUUGUGCGAGAAGUAUAGAUUUCAACACUCGUUUUCCGCGAGUUACAAUCCGUCGUCAAACGGUCAAGCUGAAGCUUUCAAUAAGGUACUGUGCAACAUCCUAAAGAAGACGGUCUCAGGAAAUAAAAGAGACUGGCAUGAGCGCCUCCCUGAAGCAUUAUGGGCUUAUAGGACGACUAUACGCAAUUCAACAGGAUGUACACCCUACAAUUUGGUGUUUGGCUCCGAGGCUGUUCUGCCGUUAGAAGUCCAAUUGCCAUCGUUAAGGGUAGCUCUACAGCUGACAAACCCCGACGAAAACGCAAAUGUGAGACUGGCAGAGCUGGAAGCCCUCGAUGAGAAAAGACUGGCAGCUUAACAAAAGCUCGAAAUAUAUCAAGCUCAGGUUGCAGGGGCAUUCAAUAGAAAAGUUAGGUUCAGAUCUUUCUCAAUUAGAGAUUUGGUUUUAACUGUCCGAAGACCAUUUGUCAUUACCAGGAAAAUGCACGGUAAGUUUGAACCCAAGUGGGUGGGGCCCUACGUCAUUACUAAGGUUUUCUCCAGGGGUGCCUAUGAGUUGUCAAACGCCGAAGGCAAGUGCGUAUACCCUUAUGUGAAUGGGAAAUUCGUCAAGAAGUUUUAUGCCUGAUGGUGAGAAAAAAACCUUCGUGGGCUGAAAACCCGAGAGGGCAGUCUAAGGAAAGGAACUACGGCGGCUUGAUCCCUUAAAAGGGGUACGUAGGCAGUCUAGUCUUGCCACUAGAUGCGGCCACAAAAUCCAUUUGUCCCUUUCUUCCCCUGAGAAUCAAGGGGUGAACUACGUAUGGCUUGAUCCCUUUAUAGGGUACGUAGGCAACUUAGAUUUUUUUAAAUAAAAAAAUAAAAAAAAGCUGAGUGCAGUCGUAAAGCACCAAAAAAAAAAACCCUAUCAUCCAGUCAAGUUUGUAUGCGGCAAAAUUGCUAAAUGAUAUAAGUGCUCAAAAAAAAUUAGCAUGAGUAUGUAUACAAAAAAAAAAUUAUUUAAAAAAAAAAUCAUCAUUCAAUACUAGUUAAGGUGGACGAAUGAGUUUACAAUAACUAAGAGGUAAGGAAAAAAUAAAAUAAAAAAAAAUGGAAAAAGGAGUCUACUCCACUCUACUGCAAAGGGAAAUCAAUGAGCUAACUAACUGGCGAAUUUCUUUCUCUUGCGUGAAGCCUAAGUUCCGUGCCUCUAUGAGUUUUGGGAGCAUUGCUUCAUUGGCAUCAAUUCUAGCUUGUCAAAGCCCAAUUUCCUUUUCGAAUUGUUGGUCUAAAGAUUGCUGCAAAUCUUUUGCACGUUCUUUAAGGGCACUUGUAUUCGAUUCAAACUGUUGUCGCAUUUCAUGAGCUCAUCUUGCUGCCUCUUCAGCUUCCUUCUCUGCCUUUUCAACAUCAACCACUGUGGCAUUCACAUCAGCAAGCUCACUAUUAAGUUCUAUUAGAUGCACGCUCAUGAUUUUUAUGGUAGCGAAGCACUGCUCAUAUUGGGUGAUCAAAGCAUUGAUGCGGUCAACAUCUAGAUGGGCAUAUUCUCCCGCGAAGGCAACGUUCUUGGAAAAUGAAGUGGCCAACUUGAAAAUGUGUUGGAUAGUCGUUUCAAAUUCCUGAAACUCAUCCUGGCCUGAUUCAAGGGUAUUAAUCAUAGGUCGCAAGAGACCAAGUGCCCCCAAAAUAUGAUCACGGUGAGCUAGUAGGUCUAUAGGUGAUUUGGAAGAAGAAAUUCUAUCAAAGAUGUCUUGCAUUUCCUCAGCAAUGAACCUUCGCCUACGUGGAGCCACACUUGGACCAAGAAUGCGGUGAAUGAAAUUCUUCACAUAAGGUGAGGAGGGCAAAUAUUCUACCAAUGGCAAGGGGCAGUCAUCUUCAACAAUAUCAUCUGUCUCAUUUGGAUCAUUACUCACAUCAGGAGCAACGACUGUAGCAUUCGGUUCAUUGCUCACUUCUUGAGCAUCAUCUGCUUUACUUGGGAAGUUCGUGGUACUACCUUGUUCGGAUGGCCCGUCAUUCAUGGGGAAAACCAAGUCUCCGAUAAGAGUAGCAGCAUCCGCAUGGGAGGAACUGACUCCCUCAUCAACUGGAUGGUCAAGAUUCUGGCUUCGAAUUCGUUUUAGACUCUUGUUGUUGUCACUACGCGAAGAAUGACGUUUGUUGGAGACCUCUUUUGGACAACUUGUGGGGCCUUGAUUCUCCGGCCUAACAAUAAAAAUAUUAUCGUGGCUUUCGAGGUGUUUUCUAGAAGGCAAGAAAAUUCUAGCUACAGAUAAUCCCAUAUAUGGUGCUGAUAACCCCAUCCACCAUUUGCAAUACCACCAAGUGCAAACUCCAACACGAGUAGAGCGUGGGAUAUAAAAUCCAGCUGUGGUAUCUCUUCUAAGUAAAGUGAUUUGUGCUAUGGCUAAAUCCUUCAUGCCACACUUGCACCUGUCACGAACGCUAAAGGAAAGCUUGUUCGAAGGGACACCUUGGUCAAAACCAAAUUGACGCGCGAAUCUAUUCGGGUAGUAUGGUUCCAACCAAAGAUUGUUGUUCACCCUCACCGGCAAAAGUGCAUAACGUGUGCAAACUAGAAAUUCAAAUUUUCUGUCUGAUAGAUCCUUCUUGUCAGCAAAGGAACGGCCUUCAUCUUCAGUAAAUGUGGUUGGGCGAUAGAUUAAUUCUUUGUCGCUACGGAAUAUAAUUCUGGCAUGAUUAAGCCUAAAACCUUUUGGCUUAACACCCGCGUACCUCACCAAAAAAGGGUAGUCUUUGACAAAUUCCUUGUCAGUUUGUGGUAGGUACAAUCCUGGAAUAUGUUCGCCUAACCAACCGAUAACAUAAUGAAUUGGGAAGGAAGCACUUGACGAGCUGGGACCUUCUGGAUGAGUGGCAAUUUCUCCAAGACCAUGGUAAAUAUACCCCAAAACAGGUGGUGCAAGUGAAACUCUGACCCCUUGUGCCAUCAAACAUGCCAUAUGAAAAGUUUCAGGUCUGACGUUGCGAUCCAAGGAAGGUAACACAAAUCUACUCAACCAAAGUGCCAAGAAUGCAGCCAACCUCCCUUCCUUUGAAAUACGUAAAGUGAUUUCGGGAGCCCUUAAAAGUUGAUCUUGAGGUUUCCUCUUGCCAUUCCCAAAUGCCUUAUAAAUAAUCUUCGCCCGAUAAAAGUGCCCAAUCCAUUGGGCCCAGCUGACGGUAGACUGAUUAUGAUAAAUACAUAAUUGGGAGUGGAUCUUCAAAAGUUCAGUGAUAGUCGGAGGAUAUACUCCAUUUUGUUGCAAGUCUUUAUUUUGGGGAAUAAAUUCCUCAUACUGGACAUCUCCCAAGAUUGGCAACCCACAAAUGACUUUCAUGUCAUAGAGAGAAAUCCCCAUCUCACCAUUGCCAUGAUGAAAGGUGUUGCACAAGGGCCCCCAUAAUUCACAAAAUGCUCUCCAUAUAUUUGGGCAACACUCGUAAGGAUAUCGGGAAAUUGCUACGGCACCAUAUAUUUUUGCCUUAUGCAAUAUGUCUCCAAAGUCACUCAUAACGCAUUUUGUCCACUCCGCAACGCCAAUUUCAAAAGUGGCUCGGCCAUAGAACUGAUACUGGGGCCCCCACUCCAACUUACUCUUGAUCAUUCUAUGCAAAGCGGGGUAAAAAUCAUCACGUGUGGGAAGAUCUUUGAUUUGGAAUUUCAUGUCUCCAUCCACUUCAUUAUUCACAUCCUCCAAACAAUGUGCGGUAAACACAACACGAUGCGUUUGGCAUACUGAAAUCACCUUAUCUUCUGCGUGGGGUUUGAAUUCAAGAUACCCCGAAUUUACGGAGGCGGUGGUAUACCAGGUUGCACGGCCUUCAGGGGGUACAUUAAGCUGCACAGAUCUUAAAGGCAGUGAUCUCGCAUAUUGGGGGCCAGAGACAAAUUCCCUACCAUGCGAAUCAAAGACUCGCUCAAACCCGAAUCGACCUUGCGCGUCCAUUUCCUGAAUUUUUCAACAAAAAAAAAAUUAAUUAAUACAAGAAAAGUCAGGGGAGGCGCAGUUCAAAGGAAAAGCUAUCAAUCGUUGCACAUAAAAAGUCAUUUCAUGCACAACGCUUGAGAAGGCAUCUGUUGAACGGAAAAUUUUCACAAAAGCAAUUAGCCAAGAAUUUAACUUGGGUUAGAAUUGAAUUUGUUUUGUCCCUGCAAUCUUAUCAAGAAAAACAUAUAAAAAUAAAAUAGAUGUAUUUCAGUGGUUUUGAAAUACCAAGAGAUAAGUAUCUCGGUUGAGAAGUGGUCAUCAGCUUGAAUUCAAACUCAUCAUAAGAUAGCCUCUAUAAGAGGCAUGACACAAGGGGAGGAGAAGAGAAGGACAGGAGGAGGACAGAAAAAGAGCAGAAAGGAGAACAGUCAUAGCAAGAAGAAAAAUUAGCAAGCAGACUUGAGAAAGGAAAGAGCCAUUUCAAGGUAAAAAGAUUAGUUCCAUGGCACAAUUUUCUGAUUUUUUGCUCAAGAUUUCAGGUUCCAUUCAACUCAUGGGUUCCUGGCCAUGAUGAUUUCUAUCAUCAUAAAAAGGGUCAGUAAUCUCUCUAAGGGACAGCUCCGCUCAAGUAAUUCUGAGGAUACGAUCCGCACCCAGCAGUUUGUUUGAUCAAUCCACAGAAAUUCUUUUCUAUGAUGAUUGAAAUCAUCAUAACCAAGGUUAAGAAUCUCUCCGAGGCUUGGCUCCGCUCAAAGAACUCCAGCAGUAUUUUCAAGUUUGCCUUCCAUGAUGAUUUCAAUCAUCAUGUUUUAUGGCAUAGUCUAUUCCAUCAUGCACCACCAAAUAAGCUCUUCCAGGAGCAAAGAAUCCCUCAAAUCAUGGAUGUAGAGAUGAACCCACCAUGGGAUCAAAAUCAACAGAGCGAAAGCUUGUAAUUACAAGUCCCUGUGUAAAAUCUCUGUAUGAAGCAUCCGAAACCAAAAGGGGCGCAUGGAAAUUGAAUUGCCUCCUCAUGAGUGUUAGCUGCCUGCAAGCCAACGAAAAAAGCCAACAGAGGAAGAAUGGAGCAAAAGGAAAAGUGGUUCUGUGUGUUGGGUUUUGUUUGUAAAAGAAAAAAACAAGGGAAAUAAAAAAAGUAAUGAAAUAAAAAAAGGGGGGCUGUAUCGCGCAGCCCCUCCUCCCUCUCUUGAAUAUUUCUUUGGUUUAUUCUGACUGGGAAUUGAGUAAAAGAAAAGGACAUGGGCAAUGGUACAGCAACAGCAAACAAAAAAAAAGGAGCUGGCAAGGCAGGUACCACAAGUUCUCUCUUGGGUUUCUGAAGCAAAAUGACAAGUGGUUUCCUCCACCAAAUAGAGAAAUCUCCAAAACCUUCAAGCUGGCAGCACAGUCUCUACAUACAAAGGAGAGGACAAGAGGUCAGAAGCAUGGAAACAAACAAAAGAAAAAUCAAAAGAAAAAAAAAAGGAGUUCAUGGGGUGGGUUACCACGUGAAAGGCAAGAUGAUUUCUCUUUCCCUUUGUCUUGGGUUAUUGACCUUGGGAAGGUUACAGCACACAAAGGACAAUAAGAGAAGUUGUCUCUUUUGGUUCCAACUUAGCCCAGAAGCAUCCAAUUAAUUGGAGGGUCUUCUAUUGCUACUGUUAUUGCUGUCCAUGAAAAAAAAAUCCUAGUUAGUUCAAUUAAUAAAUAAAAUAAAAGAGAAGAACUAAGGAAUGGCAUGUGGGUUACCACGUGAAAUCCUCUUCUGUUUGAUGGUGCAACAGGUGGCUUGAGCAAAGCUAUGUGCUGGUCUGGAGAAGCAAACGAAGAAUAAUAUUAAGACUUUCGUUUUGUUGCUGUUUGCUAGGGCACAUAUGUUUUCUUUUUUAUAAGGAAAACACAUAUGGCCCAAUCCUAUGUGGACAAGAAGUUUACUUCACUGGAUGAUCCAGCGAUUCCAAAUCAAUAAGGAGCUUAAUCCAUACUUCACUUGGAGAAGGAUUUUUUUAUCCUUUGGGUGUCUUAAUCAAAUUUAAAGACACCUGUUAAUGGUACCAAUACGUGAGGGGUCCAGCUGGAGCAAAGCAGGGCCACAAUCACUUUUUCUUCACGGUUUCAUCAUCUCAAACGGCAAGCAAGAUUGUCAUAUAGCUUGGCUGCUCGAAUGCUUCCAUCCCAGGAUGCCUUUAGCAAUACAUGGCAAUAACAAAAAGGGAAACAAUAAAAGGGGGUCAAAUUUAUACCAACUGCUGUUGUUAGCAUUCAAGAGAACUAAAAAUAUGCGAUGUGCGUUCGGGUCUGCCAAAAAAGGAAAGAAACAAAGGAAGAGGACUUCUUCCUCUUUGACUUGCAGCAGAGUAAGGAAAAAAGAAGUCUUGGACUUCACGGUCUUGCAUGUCCAAAGUGAAUCCAAGAUUAUGAAAAAAGGGAUGGGCUGCAACUCUACAUGCAGCAAAACAAGGAAUUUGAAUUAUGAGUCCAAAUUCUAUUGCAUGAAGCUUAUGAUAAAAAAAAAUGGUGUUGCUGUGGGGCUGGCGCUGUACAACACGUUUCUCAAGACCAAUUCAAGAUGGCUGGGUCUCUCUACGAUGCCUUCAAGCAUCCAAAUGGCAAGAAAGAUUGUCAUAUGGCUUGGCUGCUCGAACUCUUCCAUCCCAGGAUGCCUCCAGCAAUACAUAGCAACAACAACGAAAGGACAAUAAAAGGGGAAAGGCAGCCGUGAGGCUGUGAAAAAAAAAGGGGGCUUGUGAAACAGAACAAACCAAAUGCUCAAGAAGGAGUUUAGUGACGAAGAAAGCAUAAAAGCUCAAGGCAAAACAGAAGUGCCUCACGCUUUGCUUACAAGUCCACUUAAAAAGGACCAAUGAUUUGCUCCAAGUUUUAUCCUCAACUGUCAUUGUGCAAGUCCUACUUGGACCAAGACUCAUGAAGUCUUUCAAGUCCCUCACAUCACUUUUGGUGACUGCAACAAAUGAAAACAAAGUGUCCAGGCACUUGUACUCCUUUGUAUUCCAAGGGACGAAGACGUGAGUUCACUACUUGCAGUACCAAGCUAUGCAAGUAAAAGCACAAAAGUGUCAGCAAAGGUUCACGAGAACUAAAUCAAUUGACGGUCAAGAAGGCUCAAUAAAAUGCUUACGUCAUUCGGGUCUAUCUGCCUCAAUUCUCAAAUGUAAGAUGGCUACCAAACAUGCCCACAAAAUCUCAACAAGAAAUAUGGGAAUCAAUCACUGUGGCAAAGAAGCUAUUCAAAAAGGAGUGCCAAGCGACUCAACCAUACUGUGUCCAUGACUCCAUUCCAGAUAAAUGAUUGGCCGUGCUACGAGCAUCCAGCUCACACUCAAAAGAUACCAAAGGAGCAUCAAUAUGGAUUAACGGGCUUGUCAACCACAAAAGCCCAUUAAUCUCAAAUCCUCCAAAUCAUGCAUGGAUACAAAUGCAAAUGUCAAUUGUAGAGAAUUAGUGGGUUCAUCAAAAUUGCUCAUUAUUUUUCUUGGACAUUAACAAUCAAAAUUGCUCAUUAUUUUUCUUGGACAUUGACAAAAAGAAAAAUGGUAUAAAACCAUCCAAUUUUCCCCAUGGGUCAUCUACCCAUGCAAAUUCCAAAUGAGAUUAAAUUCAAAUAUCUCAAAUACAAAUUCUUAAUUAGUGGGCCACACUUACCCAUUAAUUUCCAAUUUUUCCCAUAGGUCAUCUACCUAUGAAAAUCUCCAAAUUGUCCCAAAGACACAAAUUCUCAAUUAGUGGGCCACAGUUACCCAUUAACUUCCAAAAUUUGGAACUACGUCGGUUUGAUCCCGUCAAGGGUACGUAGGCAGUCUAACAUCCCAAUAGACGCAACCGCAAUCAAAUUUAAAUAUCUGGUUUAUCUUAACCAAAUUUUGCCAAAACACUUUCCCAAACGCAAUUGUCAAUGUUUAGGAAAAAUUAAUGGGAUAAUUAAAAUUACUCAUUAUUUUUCUUGGACAUUGACAACAACGAAAGUGGUACAAAACCAUCCAAUUUUUCAUGGGUCAUCUACCCAUGAAAACUCUAAUGAGAUUAAAUCCAAGUCUCUCAAACAGAAAUUCUCAAUUAGUGGGCCACACUUACCCGUUAAUUUCUAAAUUUCGAACUACGUUGGUUUGAUCCCUUUGAAAGGGUACGUAGGCAAUCUAGAGAUUCAAUCUAGAUGCAACCAUCCCAAAUGCAAUUCCAUAUCGAAUCCCUGGUUUAUUCAGCUAAAUUCACUCAAACACUUCUCAAUACAAUUCAAAUCAAAUUUCCCUCGCAAUGAGUCAUUUAUUCAUUGCGAUUCUUUGAACUACGAGUGGCUUGAUUCCCGCAAGGGAUACGUAGGCAUCCUGAGGUUGGACUUGGGAGCAGUUGCAAAAUCAAACACACACGUUCUGUUUCUUUAUGAUGGAAUCAAAGGGUGUUCCCUUGAAGCAAGGGAUUGUAAUUAAGAGACUUACGUCUCGAAUGGGUCGAACCUAAAAUAAUAAAAUCUCGUUAUUUAAUUAGUGAUGAUGAAAUUAUAUUAGGAGGAUCACAUUUUUCUUCAACACAGACUUUGCAGGAUGUCAAGAUACUAAGAAAUGCACAUCAGGAGUUGUUUUUCUAUUUGCAGGUGCUGCAGUGGCAUGGAAGAGCAUGAAACAGCAGUAUGUUUCAACCUCCACCAUGCAAGCAGAGUUCUUGGCAGUUUAUGAGGCCACUUCAAUGGCAUUGUGGCUUAAAAAUUUCAUGUCCAUGCUGAAAAUUGUGGAUUCAAUACAGAGACCGAUUCAGUUAUGGAAUGACAAUACUGCAGCAGUGUAUUUUGCACAAGGAAAUAAGAGAUCAAGUGGAAUGAGGCAUUUGCAUUUAAAGUUCUUAUCUGCGAAGGAAAAUAUCAGAGAUGGAGAGACUGCUCUAAGUCACAUUGGCACAGAUUUUAUGAUUGCAGACCCCUUGAAUAAAGGGCUGCCUAAUCAUGUUUUUCACAGACAUGUGGCAAGCAUGGGAUUGCAAUUCAGUUUUGAUACCUAAAGUCAGUGGGAGUCAGUGGGAGCUAGAGUUCUUGCAGUUAUGUUUUAGUUUUGAUUUUGUUAACUAGUUCUAUCUAGUCAAAUUCUGUUUAAGUAGACUUAUUUGAAUUGUUUUUAUAUAUAAUGUUCCGCAUUUACUGCUUCUGGAUGACAAAUAGAAUAAAGGCCAAACUGUGAUCAUGCUAGCAUUAUGUUUUGCAGUUUGAAUCUAUGAAUGAGUCAUUAAAGGAGACCUUGGUAGUCUUAAAGGGUGAGCAAAGAACUAUUUUGUUUUAUUACACUUACAGUAAAACAAAAGGGUUCUCGUUUUCAAUCUAGUUGGAUGCCUUAUGUGUUUUGCAGAUUCAUGUAUGUGAUUAUAAAAGUCUUGGAUGUUAUAUAUCCAGUGUACUUCGAUAGUCCUCUAUGAAUUUUCAAAAUGACAGUGGCUUGAUAAAGGAACAAGAGAAUUUUGAGUUCCACAUGGCCAUUAAGUGAUGAGCAAUAAGUCUGAAUUGAUUAUUAGAUCAAGUGGGAGAAUGUAAGAAGGUUUAUUGCCUUAAACCUGCUGAAGUGAUCUUCUAAUCAAUAAAGGAUUGCAAAGACUUAUUGUUUAUCAGGAACUCAAACCUAUCUCGAUUAGGUAGCCUUUAAAACAGUGUUUAAUAAGGAUAAUGAAGGUUUAAAGGUUCCUAGUUCUACAAGGAUUGGAAUAGAUUAGUUCUAUCGCAUGAAAUAUAUCUCUAAGUGUUUCCUGAUGGGCAGGACACUUAGAGAGAUGCAUAUAUAUAGAAGGCUCCCUCCUAGAUCCAAAAACACAUCUAAGCUAAUCAGAAAUUCACCCAUCAGAGUUAUAGCUAUAAGGAUUGGUUUCUAGGAGAAGAGUUUUUAGUACCUUUGCACAACCAAUCUGUCCAGCACCAUGUCAGACUCAGGUUAGUGUUAAACAUGUUAUAUCUUUCAGAACUUACACAUACAUCUCCAAACACUUCCGCUGCGUAAUCGCACGGAAAACUCCAAGCCUUACGUUUCUUGCUCACUUAUUUAUUUUUUGCCAAAUAUUGAAUUUUUUUUCUUCUUGGUCGUGUCUUCUUUUUCACUCAAGCCACUUGCUUCCGUUCGAGACCUAUCUUCUAUAUAUGCAAACUAAUUACAUAAAUUCCUUAUAGGCAUACACACAUAGAAUCACAUCCAGGAAAAUAUCUUGAAUCAAAUAAAAAUAUUAAUCAUGCAUAGUAGUACAUACAUACCUGCCAUUGAUGAAAGCUCAAAAGAAAGUCUUCUCCUCUCUGUAGAGUUCUUAUGUUCAACUAGCAAUUGGGACACACUAUUAUAUAUGUGGAUUUAUUUAUUGCUCUUUAUUAUAUCUGGAAUGAUCAACUUGAAAUAUAUAGACUUUGCCAAAAAGUACGUGUGUGGAGAAGGUUAGAGAUUUUCCUUUUAUUAUUUUUUUUUUUCUCCCAAACCUCGACAGUGCUAGUGCAUUUAUUAAAAUAAAAUAAAAGAAUUGCAAAUUAACAAUCCAAAAUUAAGCAAAAUAAAGAUUAACCAAAUCAAUAUAACCUAAUCACACAAAAAAUAAUAAAUACACCGGUCCUACCAGGUGAGAAGAAAUCAAGGGUAAAAUAGUUUACAAAGCAAUUACCACCCCACCUAAUUACCCUAGCAGAAAUUAUCAAGACUGGAGUGAGAGGUCAUAUCAAUAAUGCAAAAUAACAAUAAGGAUUUUCAGUCGUUUUAUCCUGAAGUAUCAUGCUAAUCGGCACUUUAUCCUAACAAUAAUAACUACAGAGGUCAUGUCACUGAAAAAUUAGAUCAGUUUUCUUUGAUACAUUGCUUUCAUUCAGCUUUCGGUGGAGAGUAGGAAUAUACUUCAAAAGACCCCCUCUUGUCCCCUGUCAGCUAAUUGGGGUGGGUGAAAUUUUAAAGUCGUCAUGGUUAUUCAUUCUAAUCAUUCAUUUCAAAUAUACUUUUCACUGUAUUGGGUUAGAAUUUUUUAACUGUUUGCCUUUUCUCUUUCUUACACAAGAAAGAUUGAGAGGAUGAAGAAUCCAAUACAAAAGUUUAGAUGUUGCUCUUACCUUUAAUUGCUUGCCACCAUUAGUCAUCUUCACAUCAUACAUAAUCGAUUUGUUGUUAAAUAAUUUUGUCUUGAGAUGUUAUAAAGUUGAUUUGAAUCAUGACCAUGGUCCUUAAUUUUUUAUUUCAAUUAUGAUUUUCAAACCGUUUGCCCAUACACGCUCAUGAGCUCAAACUCUUACUUUUCACACGCUUUUUCAAUAUCUAAAAAUAUAUUCUUCCGUUAACUAAAGUCGCAAGGAAUUACUUAUUAGUUUCUGCAUUACUUUUUCGUCCCGAUAUAUGUCAUUAAUUAUAGCAAAGUCGUGACAAUGGUUAAUGAUUGUUCAAAAUCUAGCUAUAGUGUCAAAUUUUUCGUUAAGUUAUAAACUUGUCUCGUGCCAUUAAAGAAAUUAGGACUUAACUCUCAAUUCGAAGAAAAGAUUAGAGUUAAACCUUACCGCUCGGGGCUUAACGAUCUUGGGGAAAAAUUAGGUAUCAAAUUGAGAUGGGAAGCAGUGAGGUUAGGGUUUUCACACUAUUUUGAGGUGAAAGAUUAGAGUUAAACCUUACCGCUGGCUUCUUUAGAUGUACGGCUAUUGCGAACUGCAACUUUUGCUGUAGUAAUAGUGAACAUUAUUCUUUACUAGUGGGUUAGGGAAUCUUAGUGGUACUUAAUAUUGUGCAGGCAUCCUUGUGUGUGUUCGGGUUUACGUUAGGUUAGUGGUGAUCCUACCAUGUGCAUAUACUGCUCACCUUUUCAAAUUGUGAUCAUUUCACCAUGAAUUCAAGUUUGAACAAGAUUCAGACCAAAAACAAAAGUUUGAACAAGAGAUUUGUUCACACUUCACGCAUUCAAAUACCUAUAUGGUAGGGUUUGAAAACAUGCCCUUGAACCAGCGAGUGGUCUCUAUCGUUUGAACUGUGACAUUGAUGUGUCUUGGCAUUACGUACGUGUCCCUUUUUAUUUUGGCAUAACUCUUUUUGAAUCUUAAAAACAAACAGUUUAUGAAAACUUACAUAGUUGAAGGAGAGUUAUAAGCAUAAUCUUCAUUCAAUCACAGUGAAGAUUAAAAAGUUACAUGUCCACAUUGCCAGUCCCACCGACAUUGACUCUCACUAUGGUAGGAUGGAGGCUUAGUUACUUAAAUGUUGAGAGUGGAAAUAAGGUAAUCUGUACACCUAGAAUGCACAGCCACCAGCUGAGCAAUGGGCAAUUUGAAGUACCUCCUUGUGUCUUAAUAGGUCCACCACAACACAUGUAGGUACAUAUCAAAACGUAAAGUAUUUGAAAUAAUAUAUACAUAAAAAUACAUAACAAUAUAUUACUUUUAAAAUAUAAAAAAAAACUUGAGUGGGGACCCGAGACCACAUUGUUCCCAGUGUGGCUCCAUCCCUGCCUACGGGUCUGCGUGAUUGACUUUUGGUAAUGUUGUUGCAAUUUACCGCAAAACACUCACAAAAAAUGAUCCCGGGCUGGAAAAGCCCACUUUGCAUGACUUCAAAUCUAGUAGUGGAAUAAAAACCUCCACUUGAUCGUCUUAUGGCACCUGUUACUAACAUGAAUUUAUAAUUAUAUUUUCAAUGCUUUUAAUGAAAUUUUAUUUUAUAUCCUAAUUAAAACAUGAAAGUCCAUUGUGUUUUUCAGAAUCAUCAGGGGUUGGAAGAAUCCCUAAUAUUCCGAUUAUUCUUUGGUGACUGAUCCCUAAUAUUCCUUGUAUACAAAUUUACAAACAAAGUAAUUAAAACUGCCAGACAAAAUCACAUCCGCAUCAUGUCAAAAACACAUACAUGCAGCAAACAAAACAGAAUACCCAAUGAGACCUGUGGUGGAGAAAAGAAAGUUUUACUCAUGUAGGCCGUCUAAUAGGUUUUACAAUAACUACAAAGAGUUUAUACAAAUGCGGAGGAGUCCAAUGGCAACAUCAACCCUAUACCUUUGUGUUUGAAGAAGCUCUCGUUUCCUUCACAGCCACCUUGACCUUGGCCGGCAUUGACGUAGACGUUGUGAAAGUUGAACAUCCCGACAUAUGAGGACCCAUAGCGUGCUGUAAUUUUAUUUUUAGAAAUAUUGGAUUCGUUGGUGUUGCCGUCAUCUUCAGUAUUAGUUGUCUUCAAGUUGCAUUCGAAGUUGCUGAAGUUGUGGUACGCUUUCGGAACUCUAUCUCCUGCAAUGUUAUUGCGAUGAAUGUUGAGACCGUCACGCUCGGGUUUCUUUCCUCCACCGCCACCUUGGCCUUGGGCGGAACUUGAGCCACCUGCUGCUUUGCCGUGAUCUUUAGUACUAGUAGUCUUGCAGUUGUAGUUGACGUUGCCAAAGUUUUCACACCCAACGUUUUUGGAUCUAUCUGCAGUAAUUUCAUUACAAUCAAUGUUGUGACAGAUACCUUCGAAUUCACGGCUACCUUGCCCAUGGCCGCCAUUGCUGCAGUCGACAACUAAGUUGUUAAAGCUUGAAAUCCCAACAUCUGACUCUCCUUUUUUUGCGGUAAUUUUAUUUUUAUAAAUAUUGGAUUGGCCGCCAUUGCUGCAGUCGACAACUAAGUUGUUACAGCUUGAAAUCCCAACAUCUGACUCUCCUCUUCCGCCACCUUGGCCUUGGACGGCGUUGCUCCAGUUGACAUCUGAGUUGGGGGGCUCAAAAAUACCAACAUCAGCUGCGCCAUCGAGGUCUAUAAUUUCAUUUGUGGCACCAUAUCUGUUGCUGCCGUCGUCUUCUUCCAUUACUGGCUGGAGCUUAAUAGGCAACAGGUACACAAACAAGAUAAAUUUUAAUCAUAAUUCUAUUUAAAUUUUAAAAGAUCAGAAACGAUAUUCGGAUAACAAAAAUCCUACAAAGCAGGAAUCAGAUUCAACAAGGACUAACAGAAGUCUUAUAUCUUCUUCUCUUUACUUGGACUAACAAAUUCAUGGACAAACCAAUCAUUCAAAACAAUAAAAUGAAAACCAUGAGUAACUGAGCGGAAUAUCUUCCAAAUGAAAAAACAAUUGCAAAAAUUUGAAAAUUUGAAGAAUUAUCAAACCGAGACGAAAUUUUACUUACAAUUUAAUUAAUUAACAAGAACGAAAUUGACAUCUUCAAGCAAAACCAAAUCUGUUUCUAAAUACCCAAACACUAAAUUUAUUCAAUGAAGACCCAAGCCCUAAAUUUUUUCUUCGUACACCAAAGCCCUAAUUUGAUAAAGUGGAAGCCACAAUAAAGCAGAAUUUUUUUAUAAAAAAAAGAAAGAAAAAUCGACAUAAUUGGAAAGGCAUACCAACUGUGUGUUCUGGGUUUUUAGUUUCGAUUCGACCAACAAAGCAGAAAAUGACUGUGAGGUGUGGAUGGAGUUUGGACUGAGAGAGAAGAUGAUGACUGAGGUGGGGCGUUUGGGCACAGAUGACUGUGAAUGAGAGCCUAUGACGCAAUGAAAUAUAGUCCUUCCUUCCUUCCUCCCACUUAUAUUUCUUCUUCUCUUUAUUAGUUAAUGAAAUUUUUGGUCCGGUUGCACUAAAGAUAAUAGAACCUCAAAAUCAUAUAUGAAAAGUGCUGCUAUGUGAUCGAAAAUGAGUUGAGGGGUUUUUGGGUUGUGAAAUUGAUAAUUAGGUGGAAGGGGUAAAUUUAAAACAUAGCUAGACAAUUUACCACAACAAUAACCAAACAAUUUUGGAAACAAAAUGGCUAGUCAAUAACUAGUCAUAAAUCUAUCAACAAGAAGACAAGGCACAUAAUGAACCCAGAUCAACAAUCAACACCUGCAAACCUAGAAGAGUUCUAGUGACUAUCUAGACACUCAUAAAGACCCAUCAAUCUAGGCAUCCCCUAUGCUAGCAACAACUAAAGUGUAGAGUGCGUGAACAUCCAUUGUAUCAAAAUAGAAAUACUCAGUAGAUUAUGACUAGUCAACAAUAAAGAACAUCAAACCAAAAAAAUUAAGAACAUAAAACCCAGAAAAUUGUUUACCUAUAAACCCACCAUUAGGAAAAACUGGAGGUCAUCAUCUGACCAGGCAAUCUACUAAGCAAAGAAGGUUCUUACAAAGAUUACAACCACAAGCUCAAGACUCCUGUAUCAAUUUAGGAAAAGCUAUACCUCUUUGUGCAACCAACUUCUCCAAGCUCAGCAAGAACUAGCAACUUAGUCUUUCAUGGUAGUGGCAACUUCCUUAUUCAGCUCCAUCACUCCAUGGCACCAGCGGCUCAGCUCUAGAAGGACAAAUGAAAGAAACUGGAGAUUCAAAGAAAGAAUCGAUUUCUUCAGCAAACCAUUCUUGAAGAAACCGAUCAAAGAAUCUAACCUAGAUCUAGAUGAGUAUGUGUUUAACUAUUCUAGAUAUAGAUUUUAAUCUUUAAAGCAGCUUCAGAAUCGAUUUGAAAAACCCAUUUUUGAUAGAUGCAAAGCUCACUAACAGAGGAAAAAUGCAAAGGAAAAUAGAAACCUCUCAAAAGCCUCUCUUUGUAAGUGACGGUUGUCAAAACACUGUAGGGCUAUUUAACCCAAAAUUCCUAGGUCAGGAAAGGGCACUUGGCAGCCAAAGAAUAAAAGAGAAUAAGACAAAAUUCUUUAAGACCCAACUGGAAAUGCAAAUAAGCUGGCAGAUCUCAUGAUGCACAAAAGAUGACUAGUCAAACACAUACAAGCCGCUUGCAUAAGAAUAACAAAAAAUUCUUUAGGACCCACUUGUUUAUUUGUUUAUUUAUUUAUUUAUUUAUUUAUUUUUUUGCCAACUAUUUAUUUUUUUUCUUCUUGGUCGUGUCUUCUUUUUUACUCAAGCCGCUUGCUUCAUUUUUUAUUUAGCUAACUCACCAUUAAUAUAUAAAAGAAAAAAAUAAAAGCUAGAACAAGAAGAACAAGAAGACUAAGAAGAAAUGGUACGCUCGAUUUCUUGUAGUACUUGUUGCCAACUUUGCUAAUCCCUGCACGCUUGCUUUUGUUUGAAUAAAUGCUAUUGCCACCAUUGUUGUGGUUUCGACCCCUCCUUGCUUGAUGAACAUCACCAACACCUCCACCUUCAUGAUAUUCAUUGUAAGUGUUGCGAAUACAACAUCUGUGCUUUCAUUUGCGAUGAUUUCAUUCUCAAGAAUGUUGAAGGUCUCGUUGCUUUCAUCAGUAUUUUCUGUCUUAUUCAUUUCUAUCUCCUUGGCGCUCUUAUUCAGAAAGUGUCCUAGGGCGACUAGAAAAGCUGUUUCUUACUCUCUCCUGUGGGCUCUUGUUCAGUUGUUCAGCUUCAAUUUGAGACCUAUCUUCUCUAUAUGCAAACUAAUUACAUAAAUUCCUUAUAGGCAUACACACAUAGAAUCACAUCAAGGAAAAUAUCUUGAAUCAAUUAAAAAUAUUAAUCAUGCAUAAUAUUACCUAUACAUACCUGCCAUUGAUGAAAGCUCAAAAGUAAGUCUUCUCUCUGUAGAGUUCUUAUGUUCAACCAGCAAUAGGGAUUUUCCUUUUCUUCUUGAAAUAUAUAGACUUUGCCAAACCUCGAUGGUGCUAGUGUAUUUAUUAAAAAUAAAAUAAAAGAAUUGCAAAUUAACAAUCCAAAAUUAAGCAAAAUAAAGAUUAGGCAAAUCAAAUCAAUAUAACCUAAUCACACAAAACAUAAUAAAUACACCGGGCGUACCAGGUGAGAAGAAAUCAAGGGUAAAAUAGUUUGCAAAGCAAUUACCACCCCCACCUAAUUACCCUAGCAGAAAUUAUCAAGACUGGAGUGAGAGGUCAUAUCAAGAAAGCAAAAUCACAAUAAGGAUUUUCAGUCGUUUUAUCCUGAAGUAUCAUGCUAAUCGGCACUUUAUCCUAACAAUAAUAACUACAGACGUCAUGUCACUGAAAAAUUAGAUCAUUUUUCUUUGAUACAUUGCGUUCAUUCAGCUUUCGGUGGAGAGUAGAAAUAUACUUCAAAGGACCCCCUCUUGUCCCUUGUCAGCUAAUUGGGGUGGGUGAAAUUUUAAAGUCGUCAUGGUUAUUCAUUCUAAUCAUUCAUUUCAAAUAUACUUUUCACUGUAUUGGGUUAGAAUUUUUUAACUGUUUGCCUUUUCUCUUUCUUACACAAGAAAGAUUGAGAGGAUGAAGAAUCCAACACAAAAGUUUAGAUGUUGCUCUUACCUUUAAUUGCUUGCCACCAUUAGUCAUCUUCACAUCAUACAUAAUCGAUUUUCAAACUUUUCACACCCUUUGUAAAUAUCUAAAGACAUUUUCUUUCGUUAACUAACGUUGCAAGGAAUUACUUAUUAGCUUCUGCAUUACUUUUUUGUCCCUAUAUAUGUCAUUAAUUAUAGCAAAGUUGUGACAAUGGUUAAUGAUUGUUCAAAAUCUAGCUACAGUGUCAAAUUUUUUGUUAUGUUGUAAACGUGCCUCAUGUCAUUAAGGAAAUUAGGGCUUAACUCUCAAUUCGAAGAAAAGCUUAGAGUUAACCUUUGCACUCAGGGCUUAACGAUCUUGGGGAGAAUUUAGGUAUCAAAUUGAGAUGGGCAGCAUUGAGGUUAGGGUUUUGACACUAUUUUGAGGUGAUAUCAAGAUUUGUGGAACUUACGACUGUAAGAAAGCGUAUUGACAUUGAUAGAGGGCCAAAGGAUCUUGGUGAAGUUUUUGCUUCCAACUGAGGUUGUUUAACUAUAUAUAUCGAGCCCUUGAGUUAGGUUAGUGGUGGUCCUACCAUGUGCAUAUACUGCUCUUGCUUUUCAAAUUGCGAUCAUUUCACCAUGAAUUCAAGUUUGAACAAGAUUCAGACCAAAAACAAAAGUUUGAACAAGAGUUUUGUUCACACUUCACGUAUUCAAAUACCUAUAUGGUAGGGUUUGAAAACAUGCCCUUGAACCAGCGAGUGGUCUCUAUCGUUUGAACUGUGACAUUGCUGUGUCUUGGCAUUACGUACGUGUCCCUUUUUAUUUUGGCAUAACUCCAUUUGAAUCUUAAAAACAAACUGUUUAUGAAGGCUUAUAUAGUUGAAGGAGAAUUAUAAGCAUAAUCUUCAUUCAAUCACAGUAAAGAUUAAAAAGUUACAUGUCCACAUUGCCGGUACCGCCGACAUCGACUCUCACUAUGGUAGGAUGGAGGCUUAGUUAGGACUUUGGUUCCUUACUUUGUUAGGAUUUUGGUUACUUACCAAUUUAUUUAGUCCUAUUGUAAUUGAGAUUUAUAUACCCUAAACCUCUCCUCCCCUUCUCUUCAAGGGAGGAAGGGAGAGUGAAAAGAUAUGUUUCUCUAGGGUUGAUUUUCGGACGGAUCAAAUCGGAAUAAGAGGAUUCCAAUCCCAUUGUAAAAAAAUUCAAAAUGAAAAUUCUUUUCCAAUUAUGUUCCAAAAAUUUCUGAAUUUCAACAUCCAUUCAAAUUCGAAAUUUCAAACUUCUUUCAGAAAAUCAUUGGAAGUUUUAAAUAUGUCUAACAACUUGAACGGUUGAAGUUGGCUCAAAAUUGAAAAAUUACAUGAAAAAGCUCAAACAACUAUUAUAUGAUAUAAUUUAUAUGUCGUUGAAUUAAAAAAUAUUUAAUUACUGAAUUGCCCUUAAGCAAAGUAUAGUUUAUUUCAGUUGGAAUUCAACAUGAAAUUAUUACAACUCUUCAUGUGGAAAUAUUCUAUAAAAAUAUUCUCUAUAUAUAUUAACAUAAAAAAUUCAUUAUUAAACUAUUGUUUGGCUACAUGAUGGGGGAGGUGGUGUGCUACAAGAAGAUAAGAGUGGGUGAGGUCGGUCGACUAGUAAAAUAUGAGAUGGUGAGGAAGGUGGUACGAAGAUGAGAGAGUUGGUGAUUAAUUUAUGUUUUUAAAAUAUACAAAUUCUACAAUUUGAGGAAUUUAAUCCUUCAGCGAUUGUGAUGCCCAGAUGAACCUUAUUAUUUAUUAUUAUUUCCUUUUUUAUCCUUACCUCUCUACAAGAUGGGUCAUAUGGAAUUGGGGUAUGAGUGGUUCUAAUUACUAAAAUGUCUUCAUUGUUGGAUUAAAGUAGAUGACAUAUUUGGAAUUUUGAAAAUUGUGUGUGGAUAUAAUGGUAAAAAAGAUGAAUUCCUAAUGGAGUAAUUCUCCAAGAAUUAGAAUAUCGCCUCCUACCAAAAAAUUGAAUUCCUCCAAAAUUAGGAAUUCAAUUCCUAAUUUUUUUGUGGGUCCCACUUACUUUUCAAUUCCUUGAUGUGAAGUAAACGCAAGAAUUCUCUAUAGGUGUAACUUAAUUCCUGAUGAGAAUUCCAAUUCCUGAUUAAUAAACACACCAUUAGUAAAGUUCAUGAUCAGAAUUAGAAAAGGUCAUUUGUCUUGAAAACAUGGCUUGAACACGUAGCUUCUACCUAUAAUUACGUUAUUAAUUGUCUUACACGAAUUAAUGAUGUGGUUCAAGACUUUAAACAUUUCUUAAUCUUCUUUUUUUUUUUUUUUUUUUUUGCUUUCUCUGUUUGGAUACUCUCUCUUUUUGGUUUUGCUUACUCUCACCCCUGAUAUACUUCAGUGGCUAUGAAAGAAAAAGACUAGAACAAGAAGAAAUAAUACUUAUGGCAUGUACACAAGAAGAAAAAUAUACAAUACUUACUCAGCAUAUAUCAAUAUACUUAUGGCAAGUAGAAGAAGAAGAAAUACAUAAAUAUAUAUAUAAAUACGAUUCAUAUUCAGAGAAAGGAACGCAAAGAAAAGUUUGCAUAUAAGAAGACCAUACAUCUGCAAACCCUUCCGCUCCAUAAUAGUACAGGAAACUCCAAGCCGCACCUUUCUUUCUCACUUAUUGACUUUUCUCUUCUUCUUUUUCUUCUUGGUCGUUCCUUCUUUUUCACUCAAGCCACUUGCUUCAUUUUUUGUUUUGCUUACUCAUCGUUAACAUAUAAAAUAAAAUGUAAAAUAAAGCUUGAACAAGAAGAAUAAGAAGACCGAAAAGAAAUGGUACGCUCGACUUCUUGUAGUUCUUGUUGCCAACAUUGAUAAUCCCAACCCGAUGGCUGUUUUCUGCAUAAAAUCUAUUGCGAGAAAUGUUGUGGUUUUCACCCGUCCUUGCUUGAUCACCACUUCCGCCUUCUUCGUUGUAAGCAUGUUGAAUCCCAACAUCUGUGCUUUCAAAUGCAGAGAAAUAAUUCUAAUGAAUGUUGUUGGUCUCAUUGCUUUCAUUAGUAUUUUCUGCCUCACUAUUUUCGUUUUGCUAGAGCACUUGUUUAGUUCUUUUUCCUUGGGGCUCUUGUUCAGAAAGAGUUCUAGGGUGACCAGGAAAGCGGUUUCUUACACUCUCCUGAGGGCUCUGGUUCAGUUGUUCAGUUUCAGUUCAAGUGAAGAUUAAAAUGGAAAGAUCUUCAAAUAAGUGGAGGCCAAUACUCCAAAAUCAGAUGGAAGAUAAUCUUUCAAUAAAUGGAAGUUACUAUUGUAAACCAAUUUCAGAAAUUCCUUAAACCCUAUACACACAUAGAAUCACUUCAAGGAAAAGAUCUUGGGGCAAAUAAAAAUAUUAAUCAUAAUAGUACAUACCUGCCAUUGAUGAAAGCUCAAAAGAAAGUCUUCUACUCUCCGUAGAGUUCUUAGAGUUCUUAUGUUCAACUAGCAAUAGGUACUAGAUGUUUUGAACGGUGUUUCUAAGAGAGCAUGGACCACUUCUUGAAAAUGGAAUUAGUUACUAUUAUGUAUGUGGAUUUAUUUAUUAAUCAUCGAAUUUUUUUUUGGUCAUAAAUUUAUUAAUGUUUGUUAUAUCUCAGUAUUCCAAAUUAUGAACUUGGAAAAGUCUUCCCAGCACAAAAAAAGAAAAAAUGAAAAAAUGAAAAUGAAAAGUCUUGUGAAAAAGGACUUUGUGUGUGUGGAGAAAUAAAAUGAUUACAAACUAAUAACAAUCGAAAAGAAAUUAAGCAAAAUCGAACUUAGGCAAACCAAAUCAAUCUAAAGAUACCAACGGAACGAAGAUUCAAAUAAGUUGAUUUUUAUAGAUAAUCUCAGGUAUAUAUCUGAAAUAAUCAUGGGGCAUUCUAAAAGACUCUAUUACCAAAGAUAUCCUAGCCUCCUCUUUGUCAAAAAACACUCCUAAAGCCAUUUUUACUUUCAAGAGGGAGGAGGUCAGUUUCUCCUCCCCUCCCCCAUCUUCUCUUCCUUCCUUCUCCUCUUCCCUUAUUUUCAAAGACAAAAGGUUUCCCCAAUUUGUCAUAGUUUUGUUAUAAUUUUUCUUCAACCAUCGCAUGUGGUUGCGUCUUGGUAUUGGAUCUUCACCACCAUUUUUUUUUGCAGUUUCUUUAUAUUUGGAAUAAGUCGCAAAUACUUUUUGGGUUCUUUGUGCAGUUUUCCUAUCUCCUUUUGUGAGAGCUUUUCACCUUUCCUUUUGAGAGCUUUUCAUCUCUCCUUUGUGAGAGUUUUACUUGUAUUGUUAUGACUUGGUUUUUUUUUCAAGCUCUAUCUCUUUUUUAUUAUUAUCAAUUUGCAAUCUUAGUUGGAAUGUCUAUACUAGAGUUUCUUCGAUCAUGAGUGAUCAUUAGUGGAUGCACAUUAGAUUGUCUUAAUUUUGAUGUUAGAUCACUCUGUUAUUAUAAUUGCCCCUUAUGACAAGUUUGUAUUGAUAAUUUAUAACUAAUAGCUUUUUUAGCUAAAUUAUGUAUGAAAUUCCAGAAUUUCUCAAAAAGAAAAUAAUAAUAGUCAUUAUCAAUAGUGUAGUAAAAAAGAUACUCUUGUGGAAACAAAUUUUGACUUCUUCGGACACGCACAUGCACAUUUGAAAGAUAGGUUCACACAUAAAUUAUAAUUAGUGCUUGCAAUUAUAAAUUAUCUAGCUAAUUGAUUACGUUGAAUUUUUGUUUUGAUCACAUGCAGGACAAAAGAGGACCACUCUUGCCUUUAACGCAAAGGGGGGACGGACCACUCUUGUCCUUCCUUUGAUCUGUACACAUAUUCCGAGCGGGCACCUGCAAAAUUUUUAUAUUGAAGGUCACCACGUGCCUGUGACAAUCCUUGGCCGUCUCCAUGUUUUAUCCUCUGUCUUCACAUCACAUGUCCGGACGAACCUAGACAAUCCUAUUGAUAAUGGAGGGCUCUGGUUAUUUAAUAGGGUCAUUUUUAAAUUAUUAUUAUGAAUUUGGGAUCCUUUUAUCAUUGGAAAAAGAAAUACCGUUCAAUCUUACAAGUAACCAUGAAUCAGAGUGAUAAUGAAUUGAAUCAACAUGUAUUCUCAUUAAAAUAUAUACUAACUAUCAUGAAUUAAUUGAAAUGAAGAAAUGUUUAAUUACUAGAAUGCAUGCCCUCGAAGAAUGUAUAUUUUAUUUUAUUUUUUCAAAAACCUACUACAAUUUUUCAAAUGGGAAAAACUAUUUCAUUGACAAUAAAAAAAUUAUGUAAAAAUAUUUUAUGUAGCUACGAUAUGUAUUGAAAUAAAAAUUCAUUAUAAUACAAGUGUGAAACCUAGUAGGGUUAUACAAGAAAAUAAAUAAAAUUCUAAUUACACAAAAUUUAUACAAAAGAGAAAAAAAGAUAAAAUUCAAAUAUAAUAAAAAAUAAAUAUCCUAAACGAAUAUUUCGAACAUGGUGAUGAUCACCGUAAAGUUCAUUUUAGUGUUCGAACAUACAUAAUACGGUGGGUUAAUGUUCGUGAACUUCAUUUUUCACGAAAAUCUGAUGAAGGAACUCUGCUUCUUCAUUUUCCAUUUUUAUGGUUCGUAAAAUAAUGCCACUGUUGCUGAACUUGAGAGAGAGGAGCAUUAAUAUUGUAUAUUGACGACCAUCAACAUAAUAUAUAUUUUUAUUUUAUUCAUCAAAUUAAUAGUACAUAUAAUUAAGAAGGGAGGGGAGGCCCUAGCUAGCUACAGACCUCAGUGAGUCAUCAGUUCUGCUUCGUCUUCAUCAGUACUGGAUGCCGAGUCAGUUUCUCCACCGGAGUCGACUAGUUAUUCUUUGCCGUGGCCUUUGUAGAUGUGGGUGUUGCCAAACUCGAAAAUUCCUACUGUCUCCGAUUUUUUCCCCGUAAUAUUAUUCCCAACGGUAGACAUUUUCACUGCUUGGUAUCCUUGUUUGAUUUGAAAUAUAUAUAUAUAUAUAUAUAUAUAUAUAUAUACAGAGAGCUUUCAUUGAGGGAUUCCUCAAAUAACUUAUUUGAGGAACACCUUUUGUAGGCCCCACUCCGGAUUGUAGGUCACUAAUCCAAACCAUCUAUUUUGUAGAUACUCAUUCAAAGAUCAUCUCUACAAAAAAUCACUUGAAUCCGAUAUCAUUUGACCACUCAAUUAAGUUAUUGAAAUUUUAGCAUUUUAUUGAAGCACCGUGUUCAUUGAUUUUGUAAGACACAAUUGGAUGUCGAAACGGUUUUCGAUUUGUCUAAUUUUUUGUGAGGAUGAUCUAUGAAUAAAGACCUAAAAAAUAGAUGGUUUGGAUCAUUGGGAAAAAAAUUGUAGGGUACCCUAAAGGGCGUCCCUUAAAUAAAAUUAUUUGAGGGAUCCCUCAAUAGAAGGGGACUAUAUAUAUAUAUAUAUAUAUAUAUAUAUAAAGGCGGAAAUCUUCAAAAGCCCUAGAAUACCCUUGAUAACAUAAAAUACUAAAUCGCAUGAUUUUAAUAAAAAUAGGAUAAAAUUGUAAAAAUAAUAAUAAUAAAAUAAAAAUAAAAAACGGCAGAAUUUAUUAGGACAUGUUUGGUAUUCAACUUAAAUCCAACUUUUUAAACUCAAAAACAGAAUUUGAGUCAAAAAAAAAAAACAUGUUUGGUAGCUCUAUUUUUAAAAUUUUAAACAACUUAAAAACACCUCAAUUAUUAAAAACAAAAAAAAUAUGUUUUUUCAGUUUAAUUUUUUUUAACAAUCCACAAGUUCUCAAAUUUUUAAGAUUUGAAAACAGUUUUUAAGUUACAUACCAAGCAAGUUUUUGAAUCUUAAAAAUAGAUUUAAGAACUCCUUGUUUUUAAGAAAAAUUAAAGUUUUUGAGUUCCCUUUUUGAAUAGGAUACCAAACGCCCCCUUAAUAUUUGCAAACACGUCCUGGAGAAACCGCUAGCCCUAUUCAUACACCGUCAUCAGAGGUCUUGGGUGGUUCCUUCAAGUGUGGCUCAUUCUAUUAUUGGUGAAAACAUUACAGGAAGUGAUGACAGAAGAAUGGACAAGACUGAUCAGAAUUGCAGAUGCCAUCUCUUGAUAUUUUGAACUUGCCUAGAUCUUUGCUGUAUCAGCUCUUAUUUUCGUACAUCGAACACACACCAUUAACCUUAAAGCUAAAAUGAAAAAUGAAAAAUUAAAGCAUGGAAGAACAGACUACGUUUUUCUUUUUAUUGAUCAUGUCCUUCUUCAAUUGGUUUAUGCUAACUUCGAUUCAGCUUCUUUUUCUCCCAAACUACAGGAUCCUACACUUCCAGCCAGGUGUGGUGUUGCCAAAGUUGUGAAACCCAACACUACUGGCUCCUUCACGUGCAGUAAUUGUAUUGCCACAAAUGUCGUGACCACCACCUUGGCCUUCCCCUUGACCUUGUACAUUAUGAAAGUUUGACGCUCCAACAUUCUGACUGUUCGGGUCUGCCAUAAUAUUAUUGUCACGAAUCUGGGACCUGAUGCCGCCGCCUCCUCCCUGAUCUUGCCUAUUCACUUGAGGAAGUUUUUGUUUAAUGCUUUCUCUCGGGGGUUCUUGUUCAACAAGCGUUCGACCAUGACCAGGAAAGCGAUUACCGUGUUCUGAGGGUUCUUGUUGGUUCAAUAUUUUAACAUCAGUUUGAGAACCUUGGGCAUAAAUUUCAUAAGUGGACAACUUACUAUUUGAAACUGAUUACAUAAAUUCCUUAGCCAUACAGACAUAGAAUCACAAUCACAUCAAGGAGAAGAUAUCUUGAAUCAAAUAAAAAUAUUAAUUAUAAUAAUACAUACCUGCCAUUGAUGAAAGCUCAACCAAAGUCUUCUAGUCUUGUGCUUGAUAGAUAUAUAGCUAGCGCGUUGUAUAUAUAAUAUUAUGAAGAGGUUUAGUGUCAAUUGAGAGCAUGGACCACCUCUUGAAAAUGGAAUAAGUUACUAUUAAAUAUGUGGAUUUAUUUAUUACUCUUUGAUAUAUCUGCAGUAUUCCUAUUGAUCAACUUGGAAAAGUCUUCCCAGCAAAAAAUUAAAAAUUAAAAAUGGAAAAGUCUUGUGAAAAAAGGACUGUGUGUGUGUGUGUGGAGAGAGAGACUAUUAUCAAAGAAACCUUAGCUUCCUCUCUUCCAAAAAUUACUCCUACUGUUGUUUUCACUUUGAGGGGGAGGAAGUCACUGUUCUUCCUCCCCACUCCCAUUUUCUCUUCCUCCUUUCUCAUUUUUCCCUAUUUUUAAAGACAUAAAGUUUCCCUUAUUUGUCUUCGUUUUGUUAUAAUUUUCCUCCAACCAUCACAUGCGGCUUCGUCUUGAUGUCAGAUUUCUACCGUCAUCUUUUUUGCAUUUUCUUUAUAUUUGGUACAAGUCGCAGAGACUCUUUAAGUUCUAUGUGUAAUUUUCACCUCUCAUUUUGUGAGAGCUUUUCACAUUUUAUUUUCCCUUUGAUCUGUACACAUUGGCCGUCCUCACGUUUUGUCCUGUCUUCACAUCACAUGUCACUACGAGACUAGUGACAAUCCUUAUGUGUUUUGUCAUUCUAAUCAUUCAUUUCGAAUAUACUUUUCACUGUAUUGGGUUAGAAUUUUUUAACUGUUUUCCUUUUCUCUUUCUUACACAAGAAAGAUUGAGAGGAUGAAGAAUCCAAUACAAAAGUUUAGAUGUUGCUUGCCAGUGCCACCAUUAGUCAUCUUCACAUCAUACACAUAAUCGAUUUGUUAAAUAAUUUUGUCUUGAGAUGAUAUAAAGUUGAUUUGUAUCAUGACCAUUGGUCCUUAACUUUUUUAUUUUAAUUCUGAUUUUCAAAACGUUUGCGCAUACACGCUCGUGAGCUCAAAUUCUUACUUUUCAUAUGCUUUUUCAACAUCUAAAGAUAUAUUCUUUCGUUAACUAACGUCACAUGGAAUUACUUAUUAGCUUCUGCACUAUUUUUUUGUCCCUAUAUAUGUCAUUAAUUCUAACAAAGUCGUGACAAUGGUUAAUGAUUGUUCAAAAUCUAGCUAUAGUGUCAAAUUUUUUAUUAAGUUGUAAACGUGGCUCGUGCCAUUAAGGAAAUUAGGGCUUAAUUCUCAAUUUGAAGAAAAGAUUAGAGUUAAACCUUUGCACUCAGGGCUCAACAAUCUUGGGGAAAUUUUAGAUAUCAAAUUGAGAUGGGCAGCAUUGAGGUUAGGGUUUUGACACUACUUUGAGGUGAUAUCGAGGAUUUGUGGAACUUACGACUAUAAGAAAGCGUAUUGACGUUGAUAGAGGGCCAAAGGAUCUUGGUGAAGUUUUUGCUUCCAACUGAGGUUGUUUAACUAUCAAGGCCUUGAGUUUAAAAUGCUGACUUCUUUAGGGAAUCUUAGUGGUAUUUAAUAUUGUGCAGGCAUCCUACUUGCUUGUGUUUGGGUUUACGUUGGUUAGUGGUGGUCCUACCUUGUGCAUAUACUGCUCUUGCUUUUCAAAUUGUGAUCAUUUCACCAUGAAUUCAAGUUUAAACAAGAUUCAGACCAAAAACAAAAGUUUGAACAAGAGUUUUGUUCACAUUUCACGUUUUCAAAUACUAUAUGGUAGGGUUUGAAAACAUGCUCGUGAACCAGCGAGUGGUCUCUAUCGUUUGAACUGUGACAUUGUUGAGCCUUGGCAUUACGUACGUGUCCCUUUCUAUUUUGGCAUAACUCUUUUUGAAUCUUAAAAACAAAUAGUUUAUGAAGGCUUAUAUAGUUGAAGGAGAAUUAUAAGCAUAAUCUUCAUUCAAUCACAGUGAAGAUUAAAAAGUUACAUGUCCACAUUGCCGGUCUCGCUGACAUCACUACUACAUUUUAUGAUUUGCGCGACGAAGACAAUUUCGUCGCGCAGAGUUGAAUUUGGUCGCACAAAAUCAAGCGCGACAGAAAAUUCGUCCCGCGUAAUCUGUCGCGCAAAGAUCGUGAAGAAAGACUUUGCGCGACCGACUGUAUCACUCGUUGCGCAAAUUUGUGCGACGGUUACCCUUUGUUACACAAAAGGUUCAGAGACGGCGCAAUAGUUCAUCGCACAAAUUUAAGCGCGACGAAAGAGAGUUCGUCGCCACUACGAUGCGCGGCGAAUAAUAUUCGUCGCGCAAUACGUCUCGUAUAUAUUUGCGGCACAAAGAGAUCUUCGUCGCGCAAUUCGUGUCUACAAGUAUUGUGCGACGAAAGAUCAUUGUCGCGCAUACGAAUUUUGCGCGACGAAAGUUUUCGUCGCGCGAAACGUGUCGUAGAUAUUUGCGGCACAAACAGAUCUUCGUAGCGCGUUUCGGGUCAACACAUUUUGCGCGACGAAAAACUUUUGUCGCGCAAAUCCUUUUUGAGCGACGAAAAUUUUCGUCGCGCAAGAAUAAAUUAUAUGUAUUUAAAAAAUGAAACAAUUUUAUUUCGUAAUAUAUAAAUUUGCGCGACGAGAAAAAUUUCGUCGCGCAAAAUUAAUAUAUAUAAUUAUUAUUUAAUUUUAAUGUUACUUUUUAUUUUAUUUUAUAUAAAAAAAUAAAUUUUUUUUUUGGGUAAUAAAAUGAAAUUCCAAUAAAUAAAUAAAAAAGAAUUGUAAAGAACAUAUUUAUUAUAUAAAAUAAAUGUAUACUGCAAGAGAAAUAUUUAAAAAAUAAUUAUGAAAAUAAAAAAAAAAUCAAAUAAUGUUCCAAAAUCUACAUUAUCGUCUGGCACAUGCGGUUCAGAGGUCUGGGGAUCUACAGGGCCUGUCGUCUGGUGGGGAUGCUCAGGAUGUACGAGUUCGGAGGUCGGCGCAUCAAAAUGCGGGACUGGAAUGCAGGACUGUGCGAGGGACUGUAGAAUGACCUACAUCUGACUCUGAAGAGUGGCCACUUGUGUUGUCUAAGCAGUGACCUGACUGUUUGACUGCGCUGAUGAACGGGGUCUGGGUUCCCUCCGCCUGGCAUUCCCCAUCCCUUGACAAUAUGUCCCCGGUCUCCUCCCGAGAGUCUGAUCCAAUGUCUCCAUCAAGAUCUAAAAUCCAGCAUCCUGUGGAGGAUCCACAAACUCGAUCGGAGUAUUAGGAGGAAGUUGGGAGGCGGACUCCUGAAGAACCAACUGGCUCUUCUCCACCAUCGUCGUCUGUUUAACAUAACAUAAAAUAUAAAUUAAAACAUUCUUAUAAUAACCUUUAAACUUGAAUGCGUAACAUAAUAAUUAUAAUUAAAUAAUACUCACAUGAAGGGACUCGGCUAACUUAUUCCCAGGUCGAACAUAAACGUCGCCAAAGACGUCGAUCUAUGGGAAUUUGGACCCCUCCUAAAUUGAACAAGAGAAGAAAAAUAUUAGUACGAAAACCAUUCUUUAUGAAUAAUUAAAAAUUAAAAAUUAAAUAAAAAUUAUUUUAUUAUUACCUGCCGACGUGCAUCCAUCCUAUAGGAGAAGGGCCUGAAACCGGAAUGAUGGAGAAGAGUCUUCUUCUUCCUAUUGCCCUUAUUGACUUUGGCUUUAUUCUGUUAUACAAAAAAUAAAACGUAUUAGUUGAAAUUGGAAUUAAAUAUAAAACAUUAAAAAAGAACAUUAAUAAGAAAAAUAUAAUAAAUUUGAAAUUAUAAAUUACUACAAAAGCGGGCGCCUGAAAAUGAGCGCAGAGCCACGCCCAACUAUCCUCCCGCCCCUCAAGCUCCUUCGGGCAACCCUCCUGAAGAGCGACUUCUGGAUCAUCAAACGCCUCAAAAUAGUGGUGCAAGUGGCUCUUCCACUGUUUGUACCUCUCAGAGAAGAGUCUGUUGACGUAUGCCAACGACUCGUCGUCCAGGUCCUCCAAGUUGUAGUUCAUCUGCAAUAAAUUAAUUACAUACAUUUAAAUAAUAGAAAUAUAAAAUUUGAAAGAAAAAGAAUUAAAAGGCAUACGUACCGACAACUAGCCGCGAACUUCCGUCUUGGUCUCGUCAGGCAUCACCUUCCAAGACUUCCAUUUCAUCGGGCAAUGGCUCCGAAUGACAUGACCAAUGUCUUGGGCCAAGGAACUAUGCAACUCUGCCGUCGGUGCAGCCCGAUGUCGCUCGACGUAUUCGAUGUUGAUACGACUGUUGGUCACCCGGGUGACCUUCGCCAUCUUCAACUGCCGACACGGCCCUCGGGUGUUCUUCUUGGCUGCAAAGAAAGAUGACAUUAAUGUUAAAUAAAUAACAAAUUUAACUAUAAAAUACACACACAAAUAAAAACAAAAACAAAAACCAAAACAAAAAUAAAAACAAAAAUAUAAAUAACUGGAGUUUAAGGAUAUCUAUACCUAGCUGUGACCCGGAUGCAUCAGUGGAUGUGGUGUCGGUGGUGCUGGCGGGCCGAUGACCCCGUCUGGCGCUAACAAGCUGUGCCACUGAUGAAGCUGAUGAAGCAGGCGCUUGGGACCCCGCGGGACCAACUGCCAAGUGGUCCAUCAGUGCUGGCGCAGUGGCAGCAGAUGUCGGGCGAGCCGGGGGCUCCGAACUCUGCUUAAUCGUCACUGCCCUACGACGUCUAAUCAGGUCUGACAUCUGCACAAUUUCAUUAAUACACAUACAAAUUAAUAAAAUAUACAAAUAUUUGAAAGCACAUACAAUUUUAUUAAGAUUCUUGACCAAGGGUUUGCGAGUUUGGAGUAUCCGGGACUCCGAUCCACGAUCCGUCGAAUCCUAGACGAUCCUAGAAAUACAAGGUACACCAUACAUGAGUUUGAGUUCGAUCCAACGGUUUGAACAUAAACCCGAAAAUCGCACAAUAGGCAAAAUCCGUUCGAGACUCAAACGGUAACCAAAUUCCAAUCUGAAAACACCUACGCGCUCGUGACAAAUAGGGGAUUGCACUGGGACCCAAUGCAGUGGUGCUACAGUAUCCCACGCGCCACCACACGCGCCGGCAGCGCGUGGGUGUCCAAAGCGAUACCAAUCGCCGGAAAUUUCUAAAAACUAAGGGCCAAGGUUCCUACCCUAGGUUCAAAACAUCAAUUGGAGCCACUUUUGUUCUCGGACCUACCUCAAAAAAUGGCCAGAAGUGGCCAGAAUUUAAAUUCAAAAACCAGCCGAAACUUAGGGUUUUGAAAUUGACUGACCUAUUGCAACAAUUACAUAAAUCCUACCCAACCAUCAGCUAAAGCAUCUAAAAUAGGACAGAAACCAUACCUCAAUUGUCGAAUUUGGUCGCCGGAGGAGAGAGAACGACGGCGGCAGAGAUUCGGUGAAAACCGAGGAAAUAACGGCGGCUGGCUCGACGGUGACGGCGGGGAACCUCCGGGGUACCAGCGUUGUGGCGGUGCCGUCCAAAAUGCACUAGGGUAGGGGCUGAGCUGACGGCGGAGAGAGAGAGAGAGUUAGGGCAGAAAAGUAAAGUCGGGGAAGAAGGAGGGUAUCGCGUCGUUUCUGCAAUUUUAUUCGAGUUUGCUGACGAAGAACCAAAAGCGUCGCGCAAAAUAUUUUAAUUGACACUUGCGCGACGACGCAGUAUCAUAUAUUCAUCGCGCAAUGUUGUCAAUCCGCCAAAAUUUUGGGACUUAGGGUUAAGCGGGAGAGAUUGAAAACUUUGCGCGACGCUUCCCUUUUUUCGUCGCGCAAUGUUGUCAAUCCGCCAAAAUUUUGGGACUUAGGGUUUAGCGGGCGAGUUUGAAAACUUUGCGCGAUGCUGCCCUUGUUUCUUUGCGCAAUGUUGUCAAUUUGCCAAAAUUUUGGGACUCAGGGUUUAGCGGGAGAGAUUGAAAACUUUGCGCGACGCUGCACGUAUUUCGUUGCCCAAAUCCUAUUUCUGUAAACUUUCAAAAAAAUUUGGCUAAGUGUCCGAGGAGAAAGGGGGUGGCUGAGAUUGCGCGACGACGAACCUUGUUUUGUUGCGCAAAUCCUGUUUCUGUAAACUCUCAAAUUUUUUUGGCUAAGUGUCCGAGGAGAAAAGGGGUGGCUGAGAUUGCGCGACGACGAGUUGUGGUUUCGUCGUGCAAGACUGUUGUUUGCAAGCUUUGUGCGACCAACGAAACCUGUUCGUCGUGCAAACUCUAAACCCUAAACCCUAAACCGAGGAAACCAUAAACCCGAAACUAGUUUUAAUGAUCCAACCGGCAAACUUGUUUUUUUAUAUUUCGAGAUCGUAUACACCGAAAAUCUGACAAAACAAACGUUAGGAAAUCAAGUAACGGUACAAAACUUUUCGACGGUUCUAAAUGAAAAGUCAUGAUUUAACGGUUAUUUUAACUCCAAUUUUGAUGAUUUUUUACAGCUACUUUUCUUGACCCUAUAUGAAUACAAUUACUGAAUUUGAUCUUCAAUUUAAGAUGUUUACACUAGGGUGAUACCACAUAAUCUUAUGUUAUACUUAACGAAAGUAUAAGUAAACUAUUCAUUGUUGGUGAAUAUAUGGUUUUGAUGGCACACGCAUUCUACGAAAGUAGUUUCAAUAAUCCAGCCGUCAAACGUGUUUGUUUAUAUUUCGAGAUCUUAGGCCCCAAAAAUUAGAAAAAAAACACAUUCAGAGAUCAAGUAUCGGGACAAAACUUUUGAAUGGUUAUAAACAAAAAGUCAUGAUUUAACGAUUAUUUUAACUCUGAUUUUGAUGAUUUUUUACAGCUACACUCCAUGACCCUAUAUGAAUACAAUGAACCAACUCGAUCGUCAAUUUCGAAUAUAUAUGUGUAUAUAACAUAUAUUAUAAAAGAAUAUAUAUUUGCGUGACGAGAAACAUUGUUCGUCGCGCAAAAUUCCAUCGCGCGACAGAUAAGAAUUUGUCGCGCAAUGUUUUAACUUUACGCGACGACUGUGUUCUCGGUCGCGCAAACUUUGCGCAACGAGGGUUUCUUGGUCGCGCAAAAUUGCAUCGCGUGACAGAUAAUAUUUGUCGCACAAUUUGUUAACUUUGCGCGACGACUGUUUAAUGGGUCGCGCAAACUUUGCGCGACAAGGUAAUCUUCGUCGCGCAAGGGUUUUCAUUUUUGAAAAAUGUUUGGUGUCAAUAAUUUUCAAACUUUGUAUGAAAAUGGUCUGGAUAUAUUUAUUUAUCAAUGUUUUAUAACAAAUGUUUUAUCAUUUUCAUUUUGUAAACGUGUUUUGUCAAAAAAAAUUUAAAAAUUAAUAUUAAAAUGGUUUGGAUAUAUUGAUUUACCAAUGUUUUAUAACUAAAUUUAUUUUAAUAAUGUUUCAGUUGUCCACAUAUAUAAGGUUUGGAUAUAACAACUACAUUAUAUUCAAACUUUUGUAUUACACAAAGUCUGUACACUAGCAUAAUAAAAUUACAAAAAAUUUAAUUAUUCAUCAUCUGAACUAUAGUAACUUUCGUUAUCGUCGCUAUCAUCACUUUCGGUCUCCCAAUCCUCCUCCUCCUCCUCUAUAACUACAUCAUCUGCGUUGCUCGGGCCCACUGCAACAUCGAAUCUUGGAAGAUCCCCGAGGUCAAUUGUAAUUGACUGAAUUGGUAUUUCGAUUGAAGACACUCCUUGUAUUUGAAACUGUUCUUGUAUAACAUGUGUAUCUCGAAGUGUUUCCGCAUUAUUUUCCAUUGAAGAUUCUAAACGUUGGUCAGCCACAUUGUCGACGUCGUUGUCAGUUGGGUCUAGUUCUGGUAUAGCAUACACGUUCCUAUGAUCCAUCUUCUGAACAACUUUCCAACUGCUCCCAGCUUUAGGGUCAUCUAGAUACACAAUUUGUGUUGCCAUGUUUGCCAAAAUGUAAGGGUCGUCAUCAUACCAAGUUCUGUUAAUGUUCACAGAGAGUAAGCCAUGGUUGAUUUUAACACUUCCCGGCCUAUUUGGGUUACUAUCAAACCAUCGACACUUAAACAUGAUCACUUGGUAUCGAUCUUUGUAAAGCAAUUGAACGACAGUUGUGAGUUUGCCAUAAAAAUCAAUGUUCGUACUUUCGCCUCCACCUGGGACAUGGACACCGCUGUUUUGCGUACACAACUUGUCAUCAAGUACAACCCCCAAAAAUUUGACGCCGUUAAUAUAACAACCCGAAAACAAUUCAGUCGAAUUGGGCCGAACGCUAAGUUAUAUAACUCAUCACUAUAAGUGGGGGAAUUCGAUGAUUUCAACUUAUUCACUUAAUAUAAUACAAAACCAUUCACAUGUUAGUCUGACAAAAUUAAAUACUACAAUUUAUAUUUGUCAAAUACAAAACACUUAUAACUUACAUAAUCCAAAAACCAUUGUGGAAACAAUUCACAGUGUUUCUGGGCAACUAAAUGUGAUGGAUGUUCUCGCGCCAUCAUCUCUUCAUGCUCAUCUAAGUAUGCCAUUAUCUCAUCACAAUUGUUCAGUACGAACCAAUGCGCUACCUCCAUGUCAUUUCUAGAAAACGACUCUCCUCAUCCAGGAUCUCCAAAGGGUCGUGCGUUUUGGGAAAAAACAGAAAGUUUUUCCUUUCUCAUACCUCCGUCGUUAUUGAGCUGAGGACGAUUGAAAGCCGUCUCCACAUCUUUUAAAUACAUUCCAUAGAAAGUAAGCGACUCAUAUUGAACCCACGCCUUUAUAAUUGAUCCUUCGGGCUUCGCCCUGUUGCGUACACUUUUUUUCAGCUCUCCGAGAAGCCUGUCAAAAUAAAACGAUAUGAUACAAAUUAGCAAGUCUGUGAUAAUAAUGCAUACACAAACGAUAAAGAUUAUAUACCUUCCUAUUGGAUACAUCCAGCGAUAGUUGACAGGACCAGCAAGUAAUGCCUCUUCUGGCAAGUGAACCAUCACGUGCAUCAUACUUGUGAAGAAAGCUGGAGGAAAUAUCAUCUCAAACUUGAAUAGGACUUGGACAAUGUCAUGGCGCAACUGAAACAUGUCUGUCUUUCGCAAUGUUUUUGCCGUCAGUUGGGAAAAAAAUCUGGACAACAACAUGAUUGGCUUCACAACAUCUUCCGGCAAUAGAUGUCGAAUACCCACAGGAAGUAGGCGUUGCAUAAACACAUGGCAGUCAUGGCUCUUCAGUCCAGUAAAUUUACCCCCGUCAACAUUCACGCAACGUGCGAUAUUAGAAGCAUACCCAUCAGGAAACUUUACAGACGAUACAAACUUUAGAAACUCUUUUUUGUCAUUCGGUUUCAUAGAAAAGAAUGCAAGAUCCCUUCUAGCUUUAUCACUGUCCCUGUUCAUCCAUAAACCCCUUCGUAUACCCAUUCUUUCCAAAUCAAGACGGGCUUUGCUUGUGUCCUUUGUCCUGCCCUCGAUAUCUAGAAUCGUGCCCACCAAUGUGUCAAAUACAUUUUUCUCAACAUGCAUCACAUCUAGAUUGUGCCUUAAUUUGAGUUUCGACCAAUAUGGGAGCUCAAAAAACAUAGGCUUGUGAGUCCAGUUCAUAUGUGUAGAAGGUCUGGUCCGACUAACUGUUUUUCCAAACAGAGCAAAAUCCAAACGAUUAAGUUGUUCCAAAUCUCAUCACCGGACCAUUCUCUAGGUCUGAGGCGACGCUCUGUGUUCCCGUCGAACUCUUUAUCUUUUUUCCGCCACUCGUGGUCCCAUGGCAACCAUCUCCGAUGACCAAGGUAACAAACUUUUUCCGCAUGCCAACCAGAAGUUACAUCUUCCUUGCAUAUAGGACAUGCCAUAUAACCCUUUGUGCUCCACCCAGAAACUAUUGCAUAUGGUGGAAAAUCAUUCACAGUCCACAUAACUGCUACCCGCAAAGUAAACAUCUUCCCAGUUGAUUUAUCGUACGUGCGAACACCGUUUGUCCAUAAAUCUUUCAGCUCAUCAACCAGCGGCCUUAAGUAAACAUCGAUUGACCUCCCAGGAUCCUCAGUUAUCAAAACAGUCAUCAUCAUGUAUUCUUUUUUCAUGCAUUUUCAAGGCGGCAAAUUAUAUGGGAAUCCGAAAAUCAGCCAAGUGCUGUGGUGUUGGUUUAGAACCCCAUACGGAUUGAAUCCGUCAGUGGCAAGUCCCAAUCUCACAUUUUGGGGAUCAGCAGCAAACUCGGGGAACGUUCGAUCGAACUUUUUCCAUGCCUCCCCAUCUGCACGAUGCCGCAUCACAUCAUCGUCUACCCGUUUUUCCUUAUGCCAUCUCAUGUCUGUGGCAGUAUGCGUCGACAUAUACAAUCGCUGCAACCUAGGUUUCAGGGGCAGAUAACGCAUGAUUUUUUGUGGGAUCUUAGUCAUUCUAUUCUGAGAUGUCAUUUGAACGUCGACUCAUCGCAUAUAGGGCAUGUCUCCAACGUUUCAUGCUCCUUGUAGAAUAACAUGCAAUUAUUUUUGCAAGCAUGAAUUUUUUCAUAACCCAAUCCAAGACCAUUCAACACCUUCUGCGCGUGUUUAUGGUCUUUCGGCAAACAAUUGUCCGUCGGAAGCAUUCUCUUGAAAACUCCCAAAAAGUAAUCGAAACACAAGUUCGACAUGCGAUACUUUAUUUUUUCGUGCGUUAGCUCUACAAUGGCCGUGAGAACGGAAAAGCUCUCGCACCCCGGGUAUAGCUCUUAGUUGGCAUUUUUUAACAGUUUUUCAUAUUGUUCAAACUCCGCGCUGUCUAUUGGUGUAGGCACGUCAUCUUCCCUUUCGUGAUUGAUGUUGGUUGAUGCAAAUGGAAAAGUAUCAUGUAUAAUAUCCAUGACUUGAUCAUUAGGAUCCACAAUAGGUUCAACACCGUCCAUUCUUGUGGCAUUUGAAGACGAAGCAUGGUCUAAUUGUUCCCCAUGAAGGUUCCAAAUGCUAUAUGUCUCAAUCAUUCAAUUCCUUACUAAAUGAAAUCCAACAUUUUCAAUUGUCUCCCACAACGUGUUAUUACACCUCCUACAAGGACAUCGGAUUCUAGUUGCACCCGAGUUGUGUCUACGUGCAAACUCAAUAAAAUCCUCGAUCCCAUCCAAGUAUUCGUCUGCACAUCUAUUCGGGUUCUGUAUCCACCUUCUGCUCAUAAUUCUUGAAACCACAAUCACAACAUAAUAAUCACAACAACUUCAUACGAAGUUAUAAUGUCACCUUAUGCCUCCGGUAAGGGCCCUAUCCCAUUCGGAAAUGCAUUGUCCUGUCACGUAACCUACGGCUACAUGAGAUUAGAUUUCGACAUGGAUGAAUUUCGACAGCAUCUCGAUACAGUUCUUGAGCUGGGCAUAGGUAUAAAUACCUACGUACCACCCGAAGAACGUACCGAGAUGACACCGAAAUCUCCACAAACGAAACAUAAUCAUGUAGCCGUAGAUUACGUGACAACACUAUGCAUUACCAAACUGUCCAAAUAUGGGACAAUUCAAGAAUUAAUUGGACCGCAGUCAUGCUUUACGCAUCCAUGUACGAAAUCCAACUAAUCUCGAACAGAAAACUAAAUGUUACAAAACAUACAAAUAAAAGUACGAAGUUAAUUUCAAUUAACUUCGUACAUCACAACACAUUGUGCUACGUCACGCACAAUUUAAUAACAUAAUAUAAAUAUAACUUCACAAAAAAAUAUACACAUAACAAAUUAACUUUAACAUUUUUAAUAUAUAAAACGAAUAAAAUACAUUAUCAAUCGUUCUCCACAAAUCGCUAAUUACAAAUAUCCCUAACGAUAACAAAAUUAAUGGCGUUAGUAUGAAUUUACAUUAAUACUUAUAAACUAACGAUAAAAAAUACUUACCCAAUCAACGUACUGAAUUUCCAUCAGAGGCAGCAACAGAGAGGUUGAGAGAGACGCAGAGACAGAAAGGAAAUUUGUUCCUUUCUGCCUCUGCAAUGGCAGAAUUCUAAUAUGAAGAAGAAAGACUUUGCGCGACGAAACAUAUAUUUCGUUGUGCAAAAUACCGUCGCGAAAAACCAUUUUUCCGUCGCACAAAACGUGUUUUUCCGUCGCGCAAAAACUUGCAUACAAAAAAACUUUUGCGCGACACCAGAAAUUUUCGUCGCACAAAUUCUAGAUAUCGUCGCGCAAAAACAAAAUUCCGUCGCGUAACAUUACGUUUCGUCGCGCAAGAAUGUACCGACAUCUGCUUUAUGCGACGAAAUCUAAUUCAUCGCGCGAACAAAAAUAUCCCCCUCUAUUUAUUUUGGCGCCUAACCUUUACGCGACGAAGUUUCAGAUCGUCGCGCUAGGUUUUCUUACGCGACGUUUGCUCUCGCCGCGCAAGUGUUUGGUGCCAAAAAAAAACUCGACUGUUUUUUCGCUCACUUUGCACGACAAAGGAGUGUAUCUGUCGCGCUAAGAGAGUUUGGGCUUCGAAAAUUUUGGUCGCGCAAGUUUUCACUUUUUUGCGUGACGAAACUUUUUUUCCGUCGCUUUAUUGCAUUUUGUCCGACGAAUUUUGAUUCGUCAUGCAAAAGCUUGUCGCGCAAAUAGAAAAACGUAGUAGUGCAUUGACUCUCACUAUGGUAGGAUGGAGGCUUAGUUAGGACUUUGGUUCCUUACUUAGUUAGGAUUUUAGUUACUUAUCAAUUUAUUUAGUCCUAUUGUAAUUGAGAUUUAUUUACCCUAAACCUCUCCUCCCCUUCUCUUCAAGAGAGGAAGGGAGAGUGAAAAGGAUAUGUUUCUCUAGGGCUGAUUUUUGGACGGAUCAAAUCAGAAUAAGAGGAUUCCCAUCCCAUUGUAAAAAAAAUUGAAAUGAAAAUUCUUUUCCAAUUAUGUUCCAAAAAUUUUCGAAUUUCAAAAUCAAUUCAAAUUAGAUAUUUCGGAAUUCUUUUGGAAAAUUUCGGAAAAUCAUUGGAAGUUUUAAACAUGUCUAACAAUUUGAACGGUUGAAGUUGGCUCAAAAUUGAAAAAUCACAUGAAAAAGCUCAAACAACUAUUAUAUGAUAUAAUUUAUAUGUCGUUAUCCUUUAUGAAAUAGCUCGUCCGUCUAUGUUUAUUUUGAUUAUUAAGUCAUACCAAAUUCAACAUGAAACUAGUCAUUAUGUACAAGAACCCCAUAUAUAUUACGGAAUUCAAAAAUAUUUAAUUACUGAAAUGCCCUUAAAGAAAGUAUAGUUUAUUUCAUUUGGAAUUCAACAUGAAACUACUACAACUUUUCAUGUGGAAAUAUUCUAUAAAAAUAUUCUCUAUACUUAUGAUAUGUAUUAACAUAAAAAUUCAUUAUUAAACUAUUGUUUGGCUACAUGGUGGGGGAGGUGGUGUGCUACAAGAAGAUGAGAGUGGGUGAGGUGGUCGGUCGGCUAGUAAAAUAUGAGAGGGUGAUGAAGGUGGUACGAAGAUGAGAGAGUGGGUGAGAGUGGGUCAGGUAUUGCUACCUUAUCAUUAUUAAUUUAUGGCUUGGACUCCUGUGGUCCAAGAGAUCGGGACUGUAUAUAUAUAUAUACACACACACACCAUUCAACAAUCCAACCAUCAAACUUGUUUGUAUAUACUUCAAGAUCGUAUACCCCAAAAAUAACAAAAAACAAACAUUCAGAGAUCUAGUAAUGGGACAAAACUUUUCGAUGGUUAUAAAUGAAAAAUCACGAUUUCACAGUUAUUUUAACUCCGAUUUUGAUGAUUUUUUACAGCUAAACUCCUUGACCUUAUAUGAAUACAAUGACUGAAUUUGAUCUUCAAUUUCAAAUAUUUACACUAGUGGAUACCACAAAAUCUUAUGUUUAUAUUUAACAAAAUUAUAAAUACACUCUUAAUUGUUAGUGAAUAUAUUGUUUUGAUGGCAUACGCAUUCUACAAAACUAGUUUCAACGAUCUAACCGUCAAACUUGUUUGUUUAUACUUCAAGAUCAUAUACGCCAAAAAUUGAAAAAAAUAAACAUUUAGAAAUCAAGUAACGGGACAAAACUUUUCGACGGUUAUACAUGAAAAAUCAUGAUUUAACUGUUAUUUUAGCUCUGAUUUUGAUGAUUUUUUUACACUACACUCCUUGACCCUAUAUGAAUACAAUGACUAAAUUUGAUCUUCAAUUUAAAAUAUUUACACUAGUGGAUACCACAAAAUCUUAUGUUAUAUUUAAUGAAAGUAUAAAUAAACUCUUAAUUGUUAUGGCAUACACAUUCAACGAAACUAGUUUCAACGAUCCAACCGUCAAACUUGUUUGUUUAUACUUCGAGAUCAUAUACGCCAAAAAUUGAAAAAAAUAAACAUUCAAAGAUCAUGUAAUGGGACAAAAUAUUUCGACGGUUAUAAAUAAAAAAGAAUGAUUAAACGGUUAUUUUAACUCCGAUUUUGAUAUUUUUUACAGCUACACUCCUUGACGCUAUACGAAUACAAUGAACUAAUUCGAUUGUCAAUUUAAAAUAUAUAUUUUCUAACAAAAACCCAAUCCGAACUACAAUAAUAUAUUUUUCUAACAAAAAUCUGAUCCGAUCUAAAAUAAUAAAUUUAAAGCCACUUAAUAAAUAUUUAUAUACCGUUUAAUUUCUUAAGUGUUAUGCAUACAAAAUAAAAAAAACAAAAAUAAAUUGGUUUAGGUGACAAAAUAUUUGGAUUACGUCAUGCAAAGAUAUUAAAAAAUAAAUUUUUUAUUUUAUUUAUUUUUAUAAAGACUUUGCGCGACGAAGUUUUAUUAUUUUGUUGCCCAAAGUCACUUUGAGCGACAAUGAAUUGUCGUCGCGCAAAAGUUUAUCUUGCAAAGUGACUUUGCCCGAAGAAUUUUUUUUCAUCGUGCAACAUUGGUCGCGCAAGACUUUGAGCGACGAAGUUUUGAGUUUCGUCGCCCAAAGUGACUUUGAGCGACGAAUAGUUUUUCGUCGCGCAAAAUUUGGUCGAGCAAGGGUUUUUUUUAUACUAGUGAUAGGAAAUAAUAAACAUCAUUCCAAACCUAUAUAUAUAUAUAUAUAUAUAUAUAUUUGAUUAGAAGCAGAACUCACACUAAGGGUAUACCAACUUGAGCUAUUCUAAUCAUAUUGAUAUUGGGCUAUACUCACAGAGAGUAAACAUCAAAAAAUUUCUUCAUGCCACCUAAAACGCCAUAUUUGAACCUUGAGAGACUAGAGGAAAUAGCUCUACUCCUCUAAAAAAUUGUACCAACCUAUCUUUGGUGGGUUCUUCAAUCUUAGUAAGUUUUUAUCUUUUUAUAUAUAUUCAAUUUCCAAUUUUAAUAUUUGUUGUUAAGUUUUUAUGAUUUUGGGUUUGGGUGAAAACUUUUGGAGAUUGUUGAUAUAUGUUUUAUUUUUGCAACUUGAAUUAUUAAUUAGCAUAUAUGAUUUUUGGUGUCUAUUAGGAUAUCAUGUCACAUGAUAAUAGACCGGCAAAGAGAGGAAAAAUUAUUUAUUCAUUCUUAAAAAAAGUGGAUUUUAUUUAUAUUUUGUACUUUUUUGUGUUAUAUUUGCUUGCAAUGUGACUUUGUUUGAUUUAUUAAAUUUUAUUUACAUUUUGUUUCAAGAAAAAAGGCUUAUAAUAUAUCUCUUCUCUGAAAAAAAUUAUUUAGCCUACCCCUAUAAAAAUUCCGGGAUCUACCAUUGUUGACAUUGAUAGAGGGCCAAAGGAUCUGGGUGAAGUUUUUUGCUUCCCACUGAGGUUGUUCAACAACGAUGGUCUCCCUUGCCCGCCAACAAAUGCCUAAUACUGUGUGCCGGUCUGGAUGGCUCUGAAUCCUCUGAGCUUGAGGUGGUUUUGUUGUCUCUCACCCAGCAAUUGAUUAUCUAGACGGAGUCCUUGUGCUGUGUUAGGUGUUUUUAAUAUUGUUUCCUUUAUUUUGCUUUCUGUGCUUAGUGAUCAUGUACAGUUUGAUAAUUUGGGAAUAUCUUCUUUUGGGUUCUCCUCUUUUAUUAAUGAAGUUCGGUUCAUCCGAUUUGAACCCUCAAAAAAAAAAAAAAAAAAAAAAAACUAUCGAGCCCUUGAGUUUAAAAUGCUGGCUUCUUUAGAUGUACGGCGCGUAAGGUUUUUUUUUUUAAUCGUUGACAGCUAUUGCGAACUGCAACUUUUGCUGUUGUAAUAGUGAACAUUAUUGUUUCCGAGUGGUUUAGGGAAUCUUAGUAGUACUAAAUUAAUAUUGUGCAGGCAUCUUAGGGAACCUUACUUGCGUGUGUUUGGGUUUACGUUAGGUUAGUGGGGGUCCUACCAUGUGCAUAUACUGCUCUUGCUUUUCAAAUUGUGAUCAUUUCACCAUGAAUUCAAGUUUGAACAAGAUUCAGACCAAAGACGAAAGUUUGAACAAGAGUUUUGUUCACACUUCACCUAUGGUAGGGUUUGAAAACAUGCCCGUGAACCAGCGAGUGGUCUCUAUCGUUUGAACUGUGACUUUGCUGUGUCUUGCCAAUACGUACGUGUCCCUUUUUAUUUUGGCAUAACUCUUUUUGAAUCUUAAAAACAAACAGUUUAUGAAGGCUUAUAUAGUUGAAGGAGAAUUAUAAGCAUAAUCCUCAUUCAAUCACGGCGAAGAUUAAAAAGUUACAUGUCCACAUUGCCGGUACCGCCGACAUCGAUUCUCACUAUGGUAGAAUGGAGGACAAAAUUUGUUGGCGAGUCCUAGUUAGGACUUUAGUUCUUUACUUAGAAUUUUGGUUACUUACUAAUUUAUUUAGUCCUAUUGUAAUUGAGAUUUAUUUACCCUAAACUUCUCCUCUCAUUCUCUUCAAGGGAGGAAGGGGGAGUGAAAAUGAUAUGUUUCUCUAGGGCUAAUUUUCGGAUGGAUCAAAUCAGAAUAAGAGGAUUCCAAUCCCAUUGUAAAAAAAAAUUUAAAUGAAAAUUCUUUUCCAAUUAUGUUCCAAAAAUUUCCGAAUUUCAACAUCCAUUCAAACUCGAAAUUUCGGAAUUCUUUUGUAAAAUUUCGAAAAAUCAUUUGAAGUUUUAAACAAGUCUAACAAUUUGAACGGUUGAAGUUGGCUUAAAAUUAAAAAAUCACAUGAAAAAGCUCAAGCAAGUAUUAUAUGAUAUAAUUUAUUUGUCGUUAUCUUUUAUGAAAUAGCUCGUCCGUCUAUGUCUAUUUUGAUCAUUAAGUCAUAUCAAAUUCAACAUAAAACUAGUCAUUAUAUAGAAGAACCCCAAAUAUAUUACGAAAUUUAAAAAUAUUUAAUUACUGAAAUGCCCUUAAAGAAAGUAUAGUUUAUUUCAUUUGGAAUUCAACAUGAAACUACUACAACUUUUCAUGUGGAAAUAUUCUAUAAAAAUAUUCUCUAUACUUAUGAUAUGUGUUAACAUAAAAAUUCAUUAUUAAACUAUUGUUUGGCUACAUGGUGGGGGAGGUGGGGUCCUACAAGAAGAUGAGAGUGGGUGAGGUGGUCGGUCGGCUAGUAAAAUAUGAGAGGGUGAGGAAGGUGGUACGAAGAUGAGAGAGUGGGUGAGGGUGGGUCAGGUAUUGCUACCCUAUCAUUAUUAAUUUAUGAUUUGAAAAUGUACAAAUUCUACAAUUUGAGGAAUUUAAAACUUCAGCAAUGGUGAUGCUCAGAAGAACCUUAUUGCCUAUAUCAUAUAUGCGUGCAAUCAAGCAGUAAAAUUGAGGGAAUUAACUAACUAAAGCUGAACUUGGGAGGAGCAUUAAUAUUAACUAUCGACAUAAUAUAUAAUUUAUUUUGGGAGUGGACUUUUAUUUUCUCCGCUUACACUCUUUUUUAUUUUUAAUAUUUUUUAUUCAAUUUUUUUAUUUUUUAUUAUAUUUUUUUUUCUAUUUUACCCUUGAUGACAUGACAAGUGAGAUAUCUACUUUUGUGUUGAUGUGUGAAAAAAGAAAUAAUAUAAAAGUAAAAUAAGUAAAAGUAAAAUAGAAAAGAAAAAGAUUAAAAAAGAUUAAAAAAAGAUUAAAAAAAAGAAAGAAAUGCAAGUGAAAAACAGAGGAAUGAAAAAAUGAGCUCCCUUUAUUUUACUCAUGAAAUUAAUAUUACAUGUAAGUAAGAUGAAUGGAGGGGAGGCCCUAGCUAGCUUCAGAUCUCAGUGAGUCUUCAGUUCACUGCUUCGUCUUCAUCAGUACCGGAGGCCGAGUCGGUUCCUCCACCGGCGUCGACUGGUUACUCUUUCCCUUGGCCUUUAUAGAUGCGGGUGUUGCCAAGCUCAAAAAUUCCUACUCUCUCCGAUUUUAUCCCCGUAAUAUUAUUCCCAACGAUGUUGAAGUCAUUGCCUCUCCCGCCCUUGUCUUUUUUCUUGGGUUGGAGAGUUUUAGUGCUCACUGAUGGGGAUUUCGAGCUGUUGCUGUUUUGUUGGUCGGUGUUCGCCUUAGAAGAAUCCUUAGAACCUUGUUUCUGAUCACCAAGCUGAGGCUUCAGAUAUAGCCAGCCGGUAGACAUUUUCACCGUCUGGGAUCCUUGUCUGGAGGUAUCGAUAAUUGGCUGCUUGUGUGCCAAACAAAACUCUUUUUCUUUAUAUAUAAGACAAAGCAACCAAUUGGCAGAGCACGCGGGUCCAUUGUACCCCAUUAGUAAGUUGAAUAAAGAAGAGAAGUGAGUAAAAAAAUUUUGCUCAUGUGGGUGUGAACCUGUUUAACAAUUGCGCUUCAUGAUAACAAUAGAAAUUUGAUGGGGUUAGUAAUUUUAAUUGUUUAUCAUUAAUAAAGUUUACAUAAUUAAUUAGCAUUUGUAAUCAUGCAAUUACCUUUUUCUAAUGAUAAUUUAUUUAAUAUUAGUAGCAGCCGUCACCAUUUCAAUUUGGAUCUACAAAUAUUUUUUAUGUCCCAUCAUGUGAAAGAAACAUGAACACCAAUAGGAAAAACGAAAAUUUUCCACCCACAUAAAGUACCUUCGUCUUGACUAUACUACUCCAAGAUGAUUAUCAGGAUUCUUUUUUUAUUUAUUAUUCCCAUUUUUAUCCUCACCUCUAUACAAGAUGGGUCUCCAAAUGAAGCUGAAUACCUGCACAAGGAGAUGGCAACAAAACCCUUUACUGGUCCCUCUAGAAAAGUUUCUGAAACUCAAACAGAGCUCCCACGAAAAGAAACUGAAACAGUGCUCCCACAAAAAGAUACUGAAUCAGAGCUCCCGCAAAACAGAACUAGUGAGGCAGAAAAUAGUAAUAACCAGACCUGGAACAUUCGUGAGAAUGUAAUUACCGGAGCAGAAAGCAGAAACGUUGGGGUUUUCGACUUUGGCAACGAAUAUCAUGAAGGUGGUGCUGUUGAUCAUCAUCAAGGAAGGAAGGGUCAAAACAACAGAGACUACAACAUUGAUGGCAACAAGAUUGAUUCAAAAGAUGGGGAGUUUGUUGGGAUCGGCAAAUUUGGCAACAAGUACUACAACCCGAGGAAAGAAGAAGGAACGAGCAAGAAGCCAUGGUAUAAGUUUUGGUAAAAAUAAACGAGAGAAAGUAAGGGAGCUGCGCUGCUGAAUAAAGAAAGAGGGUGGAGUUCAUUUCCAUUUUAAAGUCCAUGUCUUUGUUUCUUUGUAGUGUCUACUAUUUGAAUGUGGUUAGUUACAGUAUUGGAGUUGAGAAUCUGGUCGCUUGGGUCGAUCUGUGGAAUUUAAAAUAUUGAUUUGCAGCAUGAAAAAUACGUUCUAAAUGAGAAAAGUAGGGAUUAUGAACCCCGAUGCCAUGUGGGUCUUGAUCAAAAUCAUAGAAGGAUCAACCCCUAACAUAUACUCAUCAGUAAUCUGUGUGUAUUUGAAUUUAUUAAUUUGUGCAAACGAGAAGAGGAAACUUUCCCGCAUUCGAAUGCCAUGAACACCUGAAAGCUUAAUUCUGAGCAUGAGAAAGAACUAAUAGCGAAGAAAUCUGACUUAUUGAUUGCCACAAAACCAGUCCAUCCAUAAAUCUAGUUUUUCCUGCCCCAUAACAUGUGGUAGAGUCUUGACCUGCCCCAUAAGAUCUAGUUUUUUGCCAACUAUUUAUUUUUGUUCUUCUCAGUCGUGCCCUUUUUUUACUCAAGCCGCUUGUAUCAUUUUUUGUUUUGCUUACUCACCAUUGAUAUAUAAAAGAGAAAAGAAGAAGCAAUAACUAGAAGAACAAGAAGACCAAGAAGAAAUGGUACGCUCGACUUCUUGUUGUACUUGUUGCCAACUUCUUUUUUCUUUUUUCUUCCCAAAGAUGUUAAACAUUUCUUAAUCUCCUUUCUUUUUUCUUUUGCUUCUCUGUUUGAAUUUUCUCUCUUUUUGGUUUUGCUUACUCUCACAGUGGCUAUGAAACAAAAAGGCUAGAACAAGAAGAAAUAAUACUCAUGGCAUGUACACAAGAAGAAAAAGAAAUAAUACUUACUCAGCAUAUAUCAAUAUACUUAUGGCAUGUAGAAGAUGAAGAAAUACAUAAAUAUAUAUAAGAGAAAUAAGAUUCAGAUUCAAGGAAAGGAACGCAAAGAAAAGUUUGAGUAUAGGAGCUCUAGUGGCCAUACAUCUCCAAACCCUUCCACUACGUAAUAGUAUGGGAAACUCCAAACCGAAUAUAUCUUUCUUUCUCACUUACUGAUUUUUCUCUUCUUUUUCUUCUUGGUCGUGCCUUUUUUUUUUCAAUCAAGCCGCUUGCUUCAUUUUUUGCUUUGCCUACUCACCGUUAAUAUAUAUAAAAAAGCUAGAACAAGAAGAACAAGAAGACCAAGAAGAAAUGGUAUGCUCGAGUUUUUGUACUUGUUGCCAACAUUCCUAAUCCCAACAUCUGCACUGUUAAUUGCGGCGAUAUUAUUAUUAGUAAUAUUGUUGGUCUCAUUGCUUUCAUCAAUAUUUUUUGCCUCACGAUUUUCAUUUUGCUGGGGCUCUUGUUUAGAUCUUUCUUCUUGGGACUCUUCUCCAAAAAGCAUUCUAGGAUGACCAAGAAAGUGAUUUCUUACCCUCCCCUGUGGCCUCUGUUUCAGUUGUUCAGCUUCAGUUCGAUAUCGAGACCCAUCUUAUAUAUAUGCAAAGAUAAAAGUGGAAAGAUCUUCAAAUAAGUGGAGGCCAAUACUCCAAAAAUCAAAUGAAAGACAAUCUUUCAAUAAUUUGGCUGCUUGCGUGCCAAAAAAAGUAACUAUUGUUUCUAAUUGUAAGUGAAGCUAAACUAAACUCUUCUUCUUUAUCUAAUAGACAAUGUGAGAAUAUAAUUAAUCAAGCUCUCUUUCGGUUACAGUAGAUAUAUUAGUGUUUGUCGAAAGUGAAGAUAGAAAGAUAGUAAAGCAACCAAUUGGCAUAGAAUGUGUGGCCAUUGUCCCCAACAAACAUGUGGUGUAAAUUUUGGACCAUACCAUGAAGGAAAGUUGAGAUUCCACUACAAAGCCAAUUGAUUUUAGAAAAAUAGCCCAACUCCUUAUAAGUAUACAUAACUUUUCAAUGCGGGACAAUACUCUUAACAGUUUGAAUGCACCACGAUCUCUCUCCUAGUCAAAGUCCAAAGGUUCACACCACCCUUUCAGACUCCCCUCAUGAAAAAAGCAAAAUAGGGCGGUGUGUGCGACCCCAUUUUCGUUUGGGUUGGGUGGGUGCAGUAAUUUUCAGGAUCAAGUAGACCUUUUUUCUUUUUUAAUUGUACUAGAAUUUAGGUCCAGCUAAGCCCUAUCGUAAUUAUUGUUAUACAUUCGUGGCAUGAAAAUAAAGUUAAGAAUCUCUGCAAAGAAUUCUUGUUCAUUCUAAGAAAUAUCUCAUACAGUACCCGCGUGGUAACUAACCUAAACAGAAAUUAAAAAGUCAAAAUAAUAUGCCGAAUAAAAAAAAUGAAAUAAAAAUUCAGUUAAAAAAAUAAAAAUAAAAAGGUCCACCAGAUCCUGAAAAUCAAACACUGCACCCCAAAUAAAAAUGGGGUCCCACGCAUCACCGGCCUAUUUGCCCUUUUGGCGUGCGGAGAGUGUGAAAGGGUGGUGUGAAUCUUUGGACUUUGAAUAGGAGAGAGUGUCAGGGUAAGGAGUUUUUCAGGGGUAAACGAAGACUGGUUCACUGGUUGGUAUGUAAAUGGUUUACUGGUUGGUAAAUGGAGACUGGUUGGUAAAUGUAAUGAUGACAAUAUUCAAUUACAUUAACUUGGACCUUAUUUUUUGGUUGGCCAUGGAGUCAAAAGAGUUUAUGGCUUGCUUUGGGCACGUGGGUACUAUCUUAGAGCAUCUCUAAGAGAUAUGCCAAAUACCAAACAUUAAAUUUAAAUUUAAUGGUUGAUGUAGUAAUUUGACAUCUUACACAGCUUUUCAUUUCAUCUGAUAUGUCAAAUUAAAUUAUUAUUUUAUUACAUUUUAGUGUUGAUUCAUUUUUAAUUUUAAAAAAAAAAAAGAAAAGAAAAAAUAAUAAAAUAUUCAUUUAAUAUCUUGCUUUUGGAAUGUCAAAAAUAAAAUCCCAACCUCCAACCUUCAAUCCACAUCAGGUUUGACAUAUCGGUUGGAGUGAUGUGAGAUGUUAUUUCUAACUGUUGAAUGUCUAUGUGGCACGUUUGACACAUCGAUUGGAAAUGCUCUUAGGGAUCAAUGGAAUUUCUCUCCUAAUCUCCUCAAACCCAAUCAAAAUUGUUAAACGGAAACCAUCAGGUUUAAACACACAUGAACCAAAGUUAUUCAACUUACUUAUGGGGUGUAUAAACUGGUGUUGAGAGAGUAAUAGCGUGAGAGGAAGCUCAGUAUAGUCAGCCGACCUUGAGAAUUUUGCCCAUCAACAAACUUUCUAGACAACUUUAUUAGACCGUCACACACAUCACUCAUUAGACAAGAAAUUAGUGACAGAGCCAUAAAAUUUAACAGAAAAGGAACCUCAAAUAUUAAAAUAUAUUUUUCUUACGAUGACAUUUGAACUAAUUUUUUUCUUUUCUUCUUGAAAUAUAUAGACUUUGCCAAAAAGUACUGUGUGUGGAGAGGGUUAGUGAUUUUCCUUUCUUCUUUUUUUUUUUUUCCCUUUUUUCUCCCAAACCUCGAUGGUGCUAGUGCAUUUAUUAAAAAUAAAAUAAAAGAAUUGCAAAUUAACAAUCCAAAAUUAAGCAAAAUAAAGAUUAGGCAAACCAAAUCAAUAUAACCUAAUCACACAAAAAAUAAUAAAUACACCGGGCCCACCAAGUGAGAAGAAAUCAAGGAUAAAAUAGUUUGCAAAGCAAUUACCACCCCACCUAAUUACCCUAGCAGACAUUAUCAAGACUCAAGUGAGAGGUCAUGUCAAGAAUGCAAAAUAACAAUAAGGAUUUUCAGUCGUUUUAUUCUGAAGUUGAUAACAAUAUUAGUUAGUUUGUAUUCAGUUAAGCUGUCAUGUGUGUGCUUAUGUGUUGUUAGUUAGUAUUAGCUGUAAUAAGUCUUGGUUAGUGAGAUAUAUAAUACUGAUGACACUACGAUUGUAUUCAUUUCCUGUGAAAUCAAUAUAGAAAGCAUAUCAUUUUCUCUUGAAUCUUCUUCUUCUUCUUCUUAGCUUUCUUAAUUCUUAAGCUUCCUCUUCUAAAUUGUUAACAUGGUAUCAAAAGCCAUGGUUCGAUCCUGAGUUUUUUCUGCUUCCGAUGUCUAUGCCUUGACACUCUUUUCUGGAACUCCAUGAAAAUCGACGUCGAUAUCAGAUUCUUCCACUUCAUUAUUGGAUUCUCAAUUUCGUCAAACUACCUUAAGGAUUCUAUUCAACUUGCUAUUGGGGAUUUUCAGUCUCCUCUUUGAUUCGAGUGUAUUUUCAUUGUUCUUGCUCGCUUGCUACUCACUUUUGGGGGUUUUCUAUGAGAUUGCUGAUUUCAAGCCUUCAAAUUGAGGAUUUCUAAAUCCAUAUAUAUUUCGCGUAAUUCUCCAUUGAUUUACGAAUUCAAAGACCCAUCGAUUGGGAUUUGUUGAUGUUCUGGUGGCAUUCGAUGUUAUUGAUGGAUUGUUGCUCAUGUUAGCGUUUUUCGAUUGGGAUUUGUUCUACUCAAAUUGUCAAAUUGUGGUUGUUCAAAUUGCUUCGACUCACUGACUUCAAUUUCAUGUUUGUCUAUGGAGGUUGUAUUUUCUCAACUUUGAUAUGUGGUGGAUUUCAGAUUGUUAGUUGCAUUUCUACUAUUUGCGUCUUAUGGAUGUUCUUUUGGUAUUUCUGUUGUUCAUCCUCUAUCUCUUCCUAUGUUCAAAGAUUCAAGUUUUCUCUUCACCUUUGAUUGAUAGUUACUGUAGUCGCUCCCAAAUCAAACAUUGAAUUCCUUGCUAUAAACUCACCUUCCUGUUCUUGAAUACAUCACCGUGGGUCAAAUAUUAAUGGUUCAUUUGUUAUUUACUCACCGUUAAUAUAUAUAUGUAUAAAUUAAAAUUAAAAUUAAAAAAAGCUAGAACAAGAAGACCAAGAAGAAAUGGUACGCUCGAGUUGUUGUACUUGUUGCCAACAUUCCUAAUCCCAACAUCUGCGCUGUUAAUUGCAGCGAUAUUAUUAUUAUUAAUAUUGUUAGGCUUGUUGCUUUCAUCAGUAUUUUUUUCUCACGAUUUUCAUUUUGCUGGGGCUCUUGUUUAGAUCUUUCUCCUUGGGACUCUUCUCCAAAAAGCCUUCUAGGGUGACCAAGAAAGUGGUUUCUUACCCUCUCCUAUGGGCUCUAGUUCAGUUGUUCAGCUUCAGUUCGAUAUCGAGACCCAUCUUAUAUAUAUGGAAAGAGAUAAAAGUGGAAAGAUCUUCAAAUAAGUGGAGGCCAAUACUCCAAAAAUCAGAUGAAAGACAAUCUUUCAAUAAAUGGAAGUUACUAUUGUAAACUAAUCACAUAAAUUCCUUAAACCCUAUACACAUGUUGAAAUCGCAUCAAGGAAAAAUCUUGAAUCAAAUAAAAAUAUUAAUCAUAAUAGUACUUACCUGCCAUUGAUGAAAGCUCAAAAGAAAGUCUUCUACUCUCUGUAGGGUUCUUAUGUUCAACUAGCAAUACGAAGUAGUUGUUUUGAAAGUGUGUUUCUAAGAAAGCACGGUUCUCUUUAAAUCAGUUGGAAGCCAGUGGGUGGAGAACGUUCGAGAUUUCAAUUUUUUUUCCUUCAAACCUAAAGGGUGUAUCUAAUUCAUACUUUUAAUAACUUUUAUCGAGUUUAAAAGUUUAGAAGUAUUCAAUUUAAACUUUUAACGAGUUUAUAAAAGUCUAGUGGUAUUCAAUUGUGACUUCUUAAAAGUUUGACUGUAUCCAAUUAUGACUUUUAAAAAGUCUUAAAAUUUUUUUGGGGCUAUCCAAAAAGUUAAUGACUUUUAAAAAGUUGGGUUUUUAGGUCUAAUGGUCCCCGAAUUUUGACCCGAUUCGCAUUUUAGUCCCUUAAUUUCAAAAAACAUUCCCAUGGUCCUUCAACUUCAGUUUUUUUUAGGACAAAUGGUCAUGCCGUCAAUUUUGUUAACUAUUUCUGUUAAAUUGGGGGCAAAUUGAUAUUUUUGUAUUAAAACAAAAAAAAUGGUUUUUUUUAAAAAUCAAAAAUUAAAAAUAUAUAUAUAUCUCAAUCUCUCUCUCCCCUCCCUCCUUCUAUCCCAAUUUCUUCCCCCACAGCCACCCUCCACCCAGCGCCCCUCUUCGAUUUUUGUACAAAGGUCAAGGAAGAAUAGCAAACCUGGGUUGGAGAGGGGAGGGGGGAGGAGGAGGGGUUCUGGGUUCGUUGGGGGUUUAGGGUCCAGUGGUCAGGGGGGAAAAGAAAAUUGAAGGGGAAGGGGUGCUGGGUGAAGGGUGGCUGUGGGUUGCCCUCUUUGCUCUCUCUUUCUCUCAUCUGAAUCUUGAGUAUACAGGCAAGCUUCCUUGUUCCUGAUAGAAGGAGAGGGUAGAGAGAGAGAGAGAGAGAGAGAGAGAGAGAGAGAGAGAGAGAGAGAUUUAUUUUUAAUACAAAAAUACCAUUUUGCCCCUGUAUUUAACAGAAAAGAUAACAACAUUGACGACAGGACCAUUUGUCCUAACGAAACUGAAGUUCAAGAACCACAUGAACGAUUUUGAAAAUUGAAGGACCAAAAUGCUAAUCGGGUCAAAGUGUUUCAUAUACUUUUUAUGCAUAUUUACUGGUGACUUUCAUUAACUCUAUGAAAGUGUUUAAGAAUAUGUCAAUUCUAUCAAAGUUAUUCACUAAAUAAGUAUUUAUAAGAGCAUCUCCAAUAAUAGUAGCAUGUUUUUUUUUAACUUUUUAAAGUAAAAUUAAAUGUUUUGAAGAGCCAAAGUCAACAUAUCAGUCUUGAAGAGAGAGAAAGAGGUUGCAACUUUGAUGACUAAGUUUGACAAGUCUGUUGGAGAGAUUUUUUUCAAAAUCAAAUAAUGAAUAGGUAAGCUUCCUUUUUGCAAGCUUUAUCUCUUUUUGAUUAAUUAUGAGUUUGCAAUCUUAGUUGGGAUGCAUAUGCUAGAGUUUCUUCUAUCAUACGUGAUCGUUAGUGGAGGCUCACCAGAUUGUUUUAAUUUUGAUGUUAUAUCUCUCCAUUAUUGUAAUGGCCCUUUAUGACUAGUUUAUAUUGGCCCUUUGUGACUAUGACUUUUUUAAUUGAGUUAUGAAUGCAAUCCCUGAAAUUUGAAAAAAUAAUAAUAAUUAUAAAUCAUGAUGGAUAGUGUAGUCAAAAGGUACUUCGUGUGGAAAAAAUGUUUGACUUCUUUGGAUAUUCACAUGCACGUUUGAAAAUGUGAGAAAAUAAUCAAUCAAGCUCUCUCUUUUGGUUACAAUAGUAACAGUGGCGAAACCAGAAUUUUAUAUAUGUGAAGCAUCUCACAAAAUAUAAACAAUAAAAAAUUCGAACUCAAGACAUACCAAAACAUCAAAGAGAAAAGAAGAAGCAAUAACUAGAAGAACAAGAAGACCAAGAAGAAAUGGUAUGCUUGACUUCUUGUUGUACUUGUUGCCAACUUUGCUAAUCCCAACUGCUAAAAUAUGAAAACUAUAAGAGAAUAUUUGUUUGUGGGAAUUUUCUGUGUAUUCUUCUCCUUGUAGGAGGUCAUAUUUAUAAUACAACAAAACCUGAAUGGGCAAAUAAAUAAUAAAUUCCUAAAUCCAUUUACAGUAGGAAAUCAGGAAUUAAAGUAGAUCAAUUACAAUUAUAAUAGGAAUUCUUGGUGUGUAAGGAAAGUAAGUCAAUAUCCACAAGUCACGCCAACACUCCCCCUCACGUUGGUGCAUAGAUGUUGCCAAUGCCCAACUGAUCCAAUGAAUUGUGGAAUGCUUUACUGGAAAUUGCCUUUGUCAAAAUAUCCGCCAAUUGAUCCUCGGAUUUCACAAAAGGAAACUGAAACACUUUAGCCUCAAGCUUCUGUUUGAUGAAGUGUGGAUCCAUCUCAACAUGUUUAGUACGAUCAUGCUGAACCGGAUUCUGUGCAAUGGCUAUAGCAGCCUUGUUGUCACAAAAGAGAUUCAUUGUGGAUGUAGGUUUAUACCCAAGUUCAGUAAGCAACUUUCUUAACCAAAGAAGUUCACAAAUCCCUUUAGUCAUGCCUCUGAACUCAGCUUCUUCAUUGGAUAAAGCUACUACAUUCUGUUUCUUACUCCUCCAUGUCACCAAAUUACCUCCCACGAAUGAGAAGUAACCCGAUGUGGAUUUUCUAUCUGUUACAUUACCUGCCCAAUCUGCAUCUGAAUAACCAUCAAUAUUUAGAUGACCGUGCUUUGAGAACAUAAGUCCUUUUCCAGGUGCAGACUUCAAAUAUCUAAGUAUCCGAAGAACUGCAUUCAUGUGGUCUUCACUUGGAGAGUGCAUAAAUUGACUGACAACGCUCACCGCAUAAGCAAUGUUUGGUCGAGUAUGUGACAAAUAGAUCAAUCUUCCCACUAACCUUUGGUAUCUUUCUUUGUUAGUUGGAACUUGAUCCGGAUAUUCUCCAAGAUGAUGAUUCUGAACAAUAGGAGUGUUCGCAGGUUUGCAAUCUAGCAUUCCUGUGUCUGUCAACAAGUCCAAGACAUAUUUUCUUUGAGAGAGAAAUAUGCCUUGCUGCGAUCAAGCCACCUCAAUUCCCAUACUUGAGUCCACCUAGAUCCUUCAUCUCAAACUCAGUAGCCAAAUAGUCUUGUAGCUGUGAUAUUUUCUGUUUAUCAUUCCCAGUAAUAAUCAUAUCAUCAACAUAGGUUAUUAAUGCUGUUACCUUUCCUUUCCGAUGUUUGAAGAACAAAGUAUGAUCUGAGUUGCACUGUUUGAAACCAUUGUUCUUCAUUGCAUGGUGAACCGUCCAAACCAUGCACAUGGUGACUGUUUCAAUCCAUACAAUGAUUUUCGUAACCUGCAAACUGUUCCAGUCUGAGUAGUAUUAUAUCCAGGAGGAAUGUCCAUGUACACCUCCUCCGUGAGUUCGUCAUGUAGAAAAGCAUUCUUUACAUCAAACUGGUGUAGUGGCUAAUCCAAAUUAGCUGCAAGGGACAAUAAGACUCUGACGGUGUUUAACUUUGCAACUGGUGCAAAAGUUUCUUCAUAGUCUAUAUCAUAGGUCUGUAUGUACCCUUUUGGUACAAGUCUUACCUUGUAUCGCUCGAUAGAUCCAGCUGCAUUGUGUUUUAUAGUAAACAUCCAUCUACAUCCGAUAGUCUUUUUUCCUUGUGGUAUAGUCUCCAAUGUCCAAGUCUGAUUUUUCUCAAGAGCUUUCAUCUCCUCUUUUAUAGCUUGGACCCACUUAGGAUCUUUCAAUGCUUCAAAGACCUUGGUUGGAAUAUGGAUAGCAGACAACUGAUGCACAAAAGCCUUGAGUGGUUCAGACAGCUUCUCAGUGGAUACAUGAUUUGCAAUUGGAUACUUGGAUGUCUUGCCAAUAUCAAGUGAAUAACGGUUUGGUGGCUUUCCACGAUUUUGCCUGAAAGGUAAUUGAUAUCCAAUAGUUUUAUCCUCUAAAUGCACAAGUCUAGUAGGAGUAUUUACCUCAAAGAUAUUUUCAGGAGAUUGGUCCGUUGGUACUGUUGAAUGAGAGGGGGGUCUUCAUCUUGUUGUUCUGAGUUGUCUGUAGGAGUAUGACUCGAAUCAAAAACAGCUUCGCAAGGGUUAGGCGAUCGAUCGUUGUUUGGCAGAGAGCAUUCGCACAUGCUAGACUCGGGACGAUCUAUUGUUAUUGUUUCUUGGCCGAGAGCAAUCUUCGUGCAUAGAUGAAUAUCCUCAUUUUCCAAGCUGGUCCAAUUGAGCUCUUCACUCGGUUUCUCCCCCUAAAGAGUAUAAUUGGAUGCUGGGUCAUAGAAGAACAUAUCUGAUUCCAGAAAGGUGACAUCCAAAGUGACAUAGGUUCACCGGGUAGGAGGGUGAUAACAUUAGUAACUUUUCUGAUGAGUGGCAUAACCCAAAAAAACACAACGAAGCGCACAUGGAUCAAGUUUGCUUCGUUGAUUUUUGUGGAGAUGAACGAAGGCCACACAGCCAAAAAUGCGAGGGGUAAGCACCAAAACAGAGGGCAGAGGCCCGUGUUGUGCGAGCACUUGUAAUGGAGUUUUGAAGUUCAAGACCCCAGAUGGCAUACGGUUGAUAAGGUGGACAGUAGUGACGACAGCAUCAUCCCAGUGAUGAUGAGGAACAUGGCCACCAAUGAGAAGAGCACGGGCUGUUUCAAGGAGAUGACGAUUCUUCUGUUCGGCAACACCAUUUUGUUGUGGUGUCUGGGGGCAAGUUGUCUCAUGAAUAAUGCCAUGUGUCUGGAAGUAAGUCUGAAAAUCAUGAUUAACAAAUUCUCCGCCGUUGUCAGAGCGAAGAAUCUGUAUUCGAGCAUUGAACUGUGUUUCCAUCUAUUUGUGAAAGGAUUGGAACAGGGAAAACACUUCAUUCUUAUUUUUCAUCAAAUAAAGCCAUGUCCCGUGUACAAUCAUCUACGAAUGUGACAAACCAACGAAUACCGGAAUGAGUAGAAAUAGGUGAGGGUCCCCAAACAUGAGAAUGAAUUAAAGCAAAAGGAAUAGUACUUUUAUUCAUACUUAAAGGAUAGGAUGCUCUAUGACUCUUGGCUAGAAUGCAAGUGUCACAUUUAAAAUCUGAGUCCUUAAAUACAGAAAACAACUCUGGCAAUAAGUGUCUCAUAUAACUAAAAGAGGGAUGCCCCAAACAUCGGUGCCAGAGCCAAAUUUGUCGGUGCUUGUCAUUAGAUGGAUGCUUCACACUAUUGGCAUGUCCCAUACUGAAGUCAUCCACAUAGUACAACCCUCUUCUUUUAGUACUACGCCCAAUGAUCUCCUUGGCGAGAAUAUCCUGUAGUAAACGAAAAUUGGGAUAAAUUAGUACACAACAAUUUAGUUGUUCAGUUGCCUGACUCACAGACAUUAAUUUAUUGGACAAAGAUGGAACGAGUAAAGUUUUAGAAAAGGACAGAGAAGGUGAAAGGGCAACAGGAUAGGUAACUCCAUUUGCAUUGGCAAUACUUGUGCGGCGGGGUGUAGUGGUGUGCAAAAAAUCAUUCGGAUCAAAGGUCAUAUGAUCAGUGGCGCCAGAAUCAAUUAUCCAACCAGUAGUAUCUCGUAGAUCAGAAGUAUGAAAUGCAUAACCAAAGUUACCUGAGACAUCCAGAAGCACGAGACUAUCAGUAGGAUCUACCUGCGGGAACAAGGCUAAUGGGGGUUCGGUAGAGACAAGAGUAGCACGGCCGGAAUUACUAGCAGUUUAUCUGAGCUUGCGAGCGCGGAGGUCCUCCCACAAAUCUGGAUAACCAUUCAGCUUAAAACAGGUGUCACGGGUAUGUUUGGGUUGCCACAGUGCGUGCAACCACUUCCAUCAGUCGGAGCCUUGGGACGGGAAGGUGGGAUGGUUUUAGGAAGUGUUACACCAGCAGUAGUAGCAUAUGAUUGAAUCUGAAGGUGGGCUGCAAUAGAGGAAUUAUGGGGCUGUCCGGCACGAGUAGGGGGACCUGAUCGAGGCGCACUCUUGGCCGCUAAGCCAGCGCCAGUGGGUGCAGAUGCACCCAUCAUCACUGCUUGUCGAACAUCUUCACGGUGAACAUAAGCAUAAGCUUGGUCCACAGUAGGGAAUGGAGUCAUGUGAAGAACAUCACUUUGGGCCUUAUCAAGACGAUUAUUAAGGCCAUCCAAAAAUAUGUAAACUCGAUCUUCCUGCAGAAUAUCAUUAUAGCGCUUGAUAUCACUUUCAUACUCCAUUAUAUUUGGACGACGGAAAUCAAUUUCUCUCCAUAAGCUUUGGAGAGUAUUGUAAUAGGUUUCAAUGGAGCCACCAACUUGUCGCAUACGAGAGACUUGUCGUUUCAGAUCAUAAACCUGAGAGGUGUCAGUGCCAUCAUAGUAAGUUGUGGCAAUUGCAUCCCACACUGCUUUUGCCGUCGAAAAAUGAAUGAAAUUGCCAAUCAAGCUCUGCUCCAGAGAAUUGAUGAGCCAUCUCUUCACAAUAGAGUUCUCGAUGCGCCAGCGAGGAAACGUUGGAGCGGUCGAAUGAGGUUGUGGAAGAUCGCCAUUAAUAUAUCCCAAUUUAUCUUUGCCGGAGAUAUACAACUCUACAACUUGGGACCAUAGGGCAUAGUUGGUGCCAUCCAACUUUAUGCCAAUCUGUGUAGCGGAAGCUUCAUAGGUAAUUGUCGUCAGAAUCGUUGUCUGAUUUGAGUUCAAGGUCGUCGUCUGAUUCGAGUUCGGGGUCGUCGUCUGAGUCGAGGUCGGGGUUGUCUUGGUAGGAUCCUGAUUUAGGAUCAAUUUUGAGGUCUGAGUCUGCAUCUGCAUUAGUUGAGCCACCUGGGCACUCAACUCGGCUAUGGUUGGUUGAGAAGGAGAAGAGGAAGCAGUGGUGCUACCGCCAUGAGGAUUAGAAGAGUCAUCCUCCCCCAUGGUGGCGGCUAGGGUUUAGAAACUAGAGUCAGCCAUCCCAAGAUCGCCGCUCUGAUACCAUGCUAAAAUAUGAAAAUUAUGAGAGAAUAUUUGUUUGUGGGAAUUUUCUGUGUAUUCUUCUCCUUAUAGGAGGUUAUAUUUAUAAUACAACAAAACCUGAAUGGGCAAGUAAAUAAUAAAUUCCUAAAUCCAUUUACAGUAGAAAAUCAGGAAUUAAAGUAAAUCAAUUACAAUUAUAAUAGGAAUUCUUGGUGUGUAAGGAAAGUAAGUCAAUAUUCACAAGUCACACCAACACCAACACGCUCGCCUUUGUUUGCAUAAAAUGUAUUGCCACAAAUGUUGUGGUUUCGACCCCUCCUUGGUUGAUGAACAUCAACACCACCUCCACCUUUUUCGUUGUAAGCAUCGUGAAUCCCAAUAUCCGUGCUUUCAAUUGCGAAGAAAUCAUUCUCAUUAAUGUUGAAGGUCUCGUUGCCUUCAUCAGUAUUUUCUGCCUCAUUAUUUUUGUUACCAUGCCGGUAUUGUAUAUGUAUGAAAUAUUUCUUAGAAUGAACAAGAAUUCUUUGUAGAGAUUUGUAACUUUCUUGUUUUGUUUAUGGUACUGGAAAUGACUUUCUGUUUUUAGGUAUAUCUCUCAAUCUCUCUCUCCCCUCCCUCCCUCUAUCCUGAUUUCUUCCCCCACAGCCACCCUCCACCCAGCGUCCCUCUUCGAUUUUUGUACAAAGGUCAAGGAAGAAUAGCAAACCUGGGUUGGAGGGGGGUGGGGGGAGGAGGAGGGGUUCUGGGUUCGUUGGGGGUUUGGAGUCCAGUGGUCAUGGGGGAAAAGAAAAUUGAAGGAGAAGGGGUGCUGGGUGAAGGGUGGCUGUGGGUUGCCCUCUUUGCUCUCUCUUCCUCUCAUCUGAAUCUUGAGUAUACAGGUAAGCUUCCUUGUUCCUGAUAGAGGGAGAGGGUAGAAAGAGAGAGAGAGAGAGAGAGAGAGAGAGAGAGAGAGAGAGAGAGAGAGAGAUUUAUUUUUAAUACAAAAAUACCAUUUUUCCCCUGUAUUUAACAGAAAAGAUAACAACAUUGACAACAGGACCAUUUGUCCUUGUCCUAACGAAAUUGAAGUUCAAGAACCACAUGAACGAUUUUGGAAAUUGAGGGACCAAAAUGCUAAUCGGGUCAAAGUGUUUCAUAUACUUUUUAUGCAUAUUUGCUGGUGACUUUCAUCAACUCUAUGAAAGUGUUUAAGAAUAUGUCAAUUCUAUCAAAGUUAUUCACUAAAUAAGUAUUUAUAAGAGCAUCUCCAAUAAUAGUAGCAUGUUUUUUUUUAACUUUUUAAAGUAAAAUUAAAUGUUUUGAAGAGCUAAAGUCAACAUAUCAUUCUUGAAGAGAGAGAAAGAGGUUGCAACUUUGAUGACUAAGUUUGACAAGUCUGUUGGAGAGAUUUUUUCAAAAUCAAAUAAUGAACAGGUAAGCUUCCUUUUUUCAAGCUUUAUCUCUUUUUGAUUAAUUAUGAGUUUGCAAUCUUAGUUGGGAUGUCUAUGCUAGAGUUUCUUCGAUCAUGCGUGAUUGUUAGUGGAGGCUCACCAGAUUAUUUUAAUUUUGAUGUUAUAUCUCUCUAUUAUUGUAAUAGCCCUUUAUGACUAGUUUGUAUUGGCCCUUUGUGACUAUGGCCUUUUUAAUUGAAUUAUGAAUGCAAUCCCAGAAAUUUGAAAUAAUAAUAAUAAUUAUAAAUCAUGAUGGAUAGUGUAGUCAAAAGGUACUUCGUGUGGAAAAAAUGUUUGACUUCUUUGGAUUCACAUGCACGUUUGAAAAUGUGGGAAAAUAAUCAAUCAAGCUCUCUCUUUCGGUUACAGUAGUAACAAUGGCGAAGCUAGAAUUUUAUGUAUGUGGAGCAUCUCACAAAAUAUAAACAAUAAAAAAUUCGAACCCAAGACAUACCAAAACAUCAAAGAGAAAAGAAGAAGCAAUAACUAGAAGAACAAGAAGACCAAGAAGAAAUGGUAUGCUUGACUUCUUGUUGUACUUGUUGCCAACUUUGCUAAUCCCAACACGCUCGCCUUUGUUUGCAUAAAAUGUAUUGCCACAAAUGUUGUGGUUUCGACCCCUCCUUGGUUGAUGAACAUCAACACCACCUCCACCUUCUUUGUUGUAAGCAUCGUGAAUCCUAAUAUUCGUACUUUUAAUUGCGAAGAAAUCAUUCUCAUUAAUGUUGAAGGUCUCGUUGCUUUCAUCAAUAUUUUCUGCCUCAUUAUUUUUGCUUUGCUGCUCCUUCUCUUUGGGGCUCUUGUCCAGAAAGCGUUCUAGGGCGACCAGAAAAGAUGUUUCUUAUCCUCUCUUGGAGGCUCUGAUUCAGUUGUUCAGCUUCAGAUUGAGAUCGAGACCCAUCUUAUGUAUGUGCAAAGAUAAAAAAGGAAAGAUCUUCAAAUAAGUGGAGGCAAAUACUCCAAAAUCAAUUGGAAGACAAUCUUUCAAUAACUGGAAGUUUCUAUUGUAAACUAAUUACAUAAAUUCCUUAAACCUUAUACACACAUAGAAUCACAUCAAGGAAAAGAUCUUGAAUCAAAUAAAAUUUCCUACUCUCUCCGAUUUUAUCCCCGUAAUAUAUUAUUCCCAACGAUGUUGAAGUCAUUGCCUCUUCCGCCCUUGUCUUUUUCUUUUGGGGUUGGAGAGUUUUGGUGCUCAAGGAAAAGAGAAGUUCACAUUAAUUAUAUAAUAAAUUAUAAUUAGUGCUUGUAAUUAUCAAUUAUCAAGCUAAUUGAUUACGUUGAGAUUAUAAUUAUCUUGCAAUUAUCAAAAGAGGACGACCCUCUUGUCCUAAUCAAAGAGGGACCGGACAGACUUUUUAAAGUGGCCAUGCUUGUGGAAAAAUUAUACAAUACAUUGUACAUGUUGUAAAGAAGAAUAAGUAAAGAAGAAUAGGUGAAGCCCACAUAGCCAACUAACACCCACCAACCUAACCACACACCCACCAAACCAAACCACUACCCAAUUGAUUGAAGAAUAUUAAUGAUGUUGUUGAUUGAAGAAUAUUAAUGAUGUUGUUGAUUGAAGAAUAUUAAUGAUGUUGUCUACCAAUUAUAUUGUGAGGUGAACAACCAAUGUCUUAGGCCUAUAAAUAGAUACCUCUAUCAAGAGAAGUUUACACAUAUAGAAGAGGAAGAGAAGGAAGAAUGAGGGUGAGUGAGUUGAGAGGAAAGAGAGCAAGAGAGAAAUUCUCCAAGAGAGAAAAUUGAGUGAGCCAUACAUAUUGUAAACACAAAGUUGUAGCCCUAUUAUUUUACAUAGUGGAAAAGUUACUGCUGCUGCUUUCCGGGGAUGUAGGCAUAGCCGAACCUCGUUAAAUACUGUGUCUCAUCUACUUUACGUACAGCUCAAUAUUCGCACAUAUACCAGUUCAUUUUAUAACACGUUAUCAGCACGAGAAGCUCUCAGGUAUAAUUUUUGUGUUGCACUAUUAUCUAUACUACUAACCCUUAUGUUGAUGUAAGGAAGAAAAGUAGUGGAGGAGCUGUGGUCUGCAAGAGAGAUAUACGAGCAAACCAACUGUGUGCAGAUUACAGGUGGAAAGCAUUUGAUUUAAGAGACAAGCAUGAUGCCUUCCACAAACGAUAAUAAUAUUAUCUGCUAUACUAUUUGAUCGUGGUGUUGAUGAGAACCCACCAAUAAUUGCCUUUACUUUACCGUAAAUUUACUUUUACUUAAAGUAAUAUAAUAUAUUAUAUUUACUGUAUGGUGUAGGUUUAUUACUCAUACAACAGUAUUUAUUUAAAAGGGUGGUGCGGGUUUAUCGUACACGCCUUUACUUCUAUUUAAAUGUAUGGGGCAGAAUUAGUGCCCGUAUAAGCACCAUUUACUUUACCGCACAUUUAAUUUUAUUUAAAGUAUGGUGCGGGAUUAACGUCCAUACAGCAAGCAAUUUAAUUUAUGAAUUUAAUUUACCUCAUAUUUACAUUUAUUUAAAAGGGUGGUGCGGGUUUAUCGUCCACGCCUUUACUUUUAUUUAAAUGUAUGGAGCAGAAUUAAUGCCCAUACAAGUACCUUAACUUUAUGAAUUUAAUUUACCGCACAUUUACAUUUAUUUAAAGUGUGGUGCGGGUUUUAUCGUCCAUACCAAUAAUUUAUUUACCAGCAAUUUAUUUUAUGGAUUAAAUGUGCUGUAUGAUGAGUUUUUACAGUAUGCAGAUCAGGACCAGAAGUUCCUUGAUCCUCAUCAUACAAUUACAUCAGGACUUGAAGAUCCUUGAUGAUGAUGUUAAUAUAAGAGCUGGCAGUCUCUCCGGUACUAUAUUUGUAAACAUGUGAUUGGACUUGAGGGUCCUUGAUCCCUGACAUGUAAAUUAGGACCUGGGGUUCCUUAAUGAUGUAACAGUACCGUAUUGGUUCAUAAUGCCGUACACAUGGAUGAUAACUGUACCGGCAAAUAUACUGUACACAUGAAUAGAUACGUAUUCAUGGCUUGAUGAAUAGUACCGGAUAUAUGAAUAGUGACGUAUACAUAAAUAUUAAUCAUUUUGGGUUAACCAUCACUAUUCAAAAAGGGAACCUGCAGUUCCUUAAACUCAUGGAUGAGCAAUUAAAUGAGAUGCCAGAAGUUCCUCAAGAUAUGGACAAUUAUGUAAGGGCUUGAAGUCUAGAAAUAUGUACAGAAAAUUGUAAAAAUGUCCAUACCAUGAGAACAUGUGAUUUUGGCUUGAGGUUCAAAAUCUAACAGUGUUGAGAACCUGAAGUUCCAACAAUUAAAUGGACAACCCUUGAGGUAUUAUUGCAAAUUGUGGUACGCCACAUAUUUCUUUGGCAUAAGAGAAUGAUGAAUUGAGGCUCCCCUCACAUUUUGUUAUAUCUGGGCCGGAAGCUCAUGAACCCAAAUAUAUGAGAUAUUAGCAUGGCUUUUACUCCAUUCAUAUUUCAUGUCCAUUUGAAAAGGGCGAAUAAAUUCUGAGUUUGUGUUUAGCCCAGGCCAAAAGUUUCAUACAUUGAAAUAUGAAAUUUGGGAGAGUCGAUGUGGUUAUUUGAACCUAUAAGGCACAAGGUUCCAAACCGUCAUUUUAAAAAGACGUAAAAAAAAAAAAAAACCACAAGUGCAAGUUUAAGAAUGUGCGCAAUUAUUAUAAUAUGAAAGGAACAUACAACAGAUAGAUUUUUCCACCUGCAAUGAAGGUGCAGGCCCUGUAAAAUCUAUAAAAAUACAUUAUGUUCUGGAAGCCUCUGAAGGAAGAGGACGACGCCUCUUAAGCUUAGCCAUGAGCCUCUCGUGGUCUCCCAAAAUUCUUUCAUUGGAGACCUGCAGCAUGUCUAGCCUUCUCAGUGUAUCAACAGAGUACGAACUCACCAGUUUCAACAAGGCAUUAUUCUCUCCUUUAAGUUUCUCAACCUCCUGUUGAGACUCAUGAAGCAUUCUUUGGAGAGACGAAUUUUCAGUUGUUAACCUCUCAACCUCGUUUGCUCUGGCACGCAAACGAUCAGCCAUGUUAGAAAUAGAAGCAGCACUCUGAAUGCUAAAAGCCAUUGAGUCAUCAAUAGCCUCUUCCUCACACCUCCCUGUUAACAGCAUUUCAUCCAUUGGAGUAAUGAAAUUCCUAGCUACUAUGACAGCAGUAGCAUCAUUCAUCAUCACAGAAUCAUUAACUGUGAGAUGACGAUUUUGGGAUACAAAGGAUGGACGCCAAACUUGGGCGUCACUGGUUGUUGUGGGAGUAUCAUUUAAAUUGAGAUAAUUUGGGCAGGAAGAAGAGGAAGCCAUUUUUAAGAAGGUUUCGAAGAAAGUCUUAGGAAAACUAAAGUUUCAGAAAAUGAAGGAAGUUGAGUUGAAACGCAGUUGCUCCAAUCAAGUUUUGCAAAGGCAAUAUCUAUAGGAGGAAAUAUGACUACAGUUUCCAGGAUCCCAAUAUUAUCUCAGAUCCCCAUAUUAUCUUUUUCUUUCCCAGAUUCUAAAACUUCACGUGGCCUCCAUUAAUGUUUGUCGGCACUUUCGGCGUUUUCAAAGUAUUAUUUUCGUCAAAAGCCGAUCUUGCUUUACGGAUUUCAUGGAGCUACUUUUUCAAAAGUAUCCCGAGAAUCUCGCAAUUUUCCUAUGGUUAAUUUGAAAUUCACCGGUUCUACCUAUUCCUCUUAUUUGUGUAUAAAUGUGUUACUAACGAAAUUUUCUUUGCAGAAGACAUCCAGUUUUCUCCAUACCUAGUGAUGCGAUAUCUACUUAUUUUUCUUAUCAGUGAGCACUUAAUAUGCCCGAGAAGCAAGACUAUCUCUGAUCAUCCAUUCAGGAAGCGAGACUAUCCCUGAUCACGUUUCCGCCACAUCAGGGAACUGUGAAGGCGACCUUAUGCUCUAAUCUCCGGAAGUUCUUCUAGACUAGGAGAAAUGAGAGCUGGUUGUUUGCUCCCACCAGCUUCCUUCCUUGAUUGCUGAGCUUGUUGUCUGCUCCCACCAGCUUUCUUCCUUGAUUGCUUACCUUCUCUUGCAAUCAAUAUCACAUUAUUUUUGCAUUUUUUCUCUUUUUGUAACUCUCUGAGGAUUAUUUAUUUUUGACAGAGAAAAGAGUUGUGAUUUUGCUCUUGCAGGAUAUAACUAGAUCAUCAAGCGCUACAUUUACUGGGCCGAUACAAGCUUGAAUGAUACUUGAGAAAAGUUUCUCCCACCUAAGGACGUAAGCAAUACUUGUGUUAUUUUAUGCUUAUAUACUUAUUUGAUAUUUUUUCCGUUCCAAAAGAAUGGCUUGUAUGUAUCCACGAAUUAUUAAUGCAAAUUUUACAGAUUGCAAGUUGGAUACAUUGAUAAUACACUGCACAGAUUAAAGUCCCAUAAGAACAGAAUAUGGGUAUAGCAGUGAUCAAUAUGAUGCACGCUUGUUGCGUAGCAAAUGAUGUGGAUUGAAGUCCCGAAAGGACAAUCCUUUGACAUGUCAAUAUUGAUAUUAUGCACGCCUAAUGCGUAGCAAAUUAUAUGGGUUAAAGUCCCAUAAUAUGGGUUAAGGUCCCAGAAAUUAAUUGACAUGUAUGUAUUAAUCUGUGACAUGCCUUCAGCAUGACAGAUAUAUGGGUUCUAAAUGUUCCAACUCCCUAAAUGGAGAUUAUCCACGCCCUACUGCUAAAUAACGCUCCAAUGGAGGUUAUAGUCCACAUUCUCACAUAAUAAAAGCCCCAUGAAGUGGCUUGGGUACCCAAAGGCAAAUAAAUUCUUAUAAUUGAUGCAUGCGCAUGCAAAUGAGAAUGGUGGGAUCAUGAAUUGAUGAAUGACAAUUUUUGAUCAUGAAUUGAUGAAUGACAAUUUUUGGUUUUGGAGUAGCUACUCAAAUCAUCAAUGGGCUGUGUUGAUUGGAACCACGUUCAAUUAUUAAAUGUCGACAAUAUUAUUGGCCAAAAUGGAAUGAGGUAAUUCCAUUAUAGAUGAGAAUGAACGUGAAAGAACAAACCCACAGUACGAACCCCAAAAGAUGUUAAUACUGAAAUUUAUACUUGGGUGUUCGGAAUAAAAGGGAAUAUACCUACUUUGUAUGACACACUGUUUCUGGCAGAAACAAGGAAUGUUGGGUUUUCUCCAUAUUUACAGAUUCAAUUGUGCCCCCUCUUAUUACACAAUUACGGAGACCAACAUAUUAUCUUUAAGGGUUAUUAAAUGCACGGAGCAUAUCGCCAGAAGCGAUUUCUUAAAGAUAUAUAAAUAGCUGGGUAAAAGCUAUAUAAUGUGUCAUAAAGUUUAAACCCUUUUUAGACAAAAUCCGUUGAGAGGAUUGACAUUGCAUAAAGCAAGUCCCUAAAGGACAUGUGCUUGAAGCACAAAAUUUGUACUCAAUAUUAAUAUGCAUAAAUUACCUCAGUGAGUACAUUGAUUAUAAUAUGAUUGCAACACAUUAAAGCUUCUGCAGAGUUCAAGAAAUAUUUGUCUCGACUUAAGGAUCGAGCAUUAUGCCAACGAGAUUCUUGCUUAUACUAAGAAAGUAUUGAAGCAUUUUUAUGAGGAUUAUCCGUUGGACACUUUAAUGAUUUUCCGGAAGUAUAUUGGACCGGACAUCAUAUUUUCCAGAUAGGGCUCAACUCCAUCACCAUCAUUUUGGGAUGAUGUGAGGUAUAUUUGAUGCUAUCUCCGCAUAACACCAUGUACGGGCAUAUUAUUUUAAGUGAACUUACAAAUAGCCCAAGUUUUGUUAGAAACGCGGACUCUGAAAAUUUCUAUGAUUUACAUAGAGAUAGCUCACUGGAAAUAUAUUUACUUACUCAACUACGAGAAUUAUUAAUGGCUAUAUCAUCCACUCACUCCGAAAGAUUCUCACUCCAAAAGAUAGUCAUGAAGACAUCAGGGGGAGAUAUUAAUCAGGGGGAGCAUCCAGAAGUAUGCUAUACAGAUUGCUGUACUCUUUUUUUCUUCCUUCCAUCAGUUUUCUACCUCACUGGGUUUUUCUCCAAGCAAGGUUUUAAUGAGGCAACCAAUCUAGGGACAUGUGGUCUUCAAGGGGGAGUGUUGUAAAGAAGAAUAAGUAAAGAAGAAUAGGUGAAGCCCACAUAGCCAACUAACACCCACCAAACCUAACCACACACCCACCAAACCAAACCACUACCCAAUUGAUUGAAGAAUAUUAAUGAUGUUGUUGAUUGAAGAAUAUUAAUGAUGUUGUCUACCAAUUAUAUUGUGAGGUGAACAACCAAUGUCUUAGGCCUAUAAAUAGAUACCUCUAUCAAGAGAAGUUUACACAUAUAGAAGAGGAAGAGAAGGAAGAAUGAGGGUGAGUGAGUUAAGAGGAAAGAGAGCAAGAGAGAAAUUCUCCAAGAGAGAAAAUUGAGUGAGCCAUACAUAUUGUAAACACAAAGUUGUAGCCCUAUUAUUUUACAUAGUGGAAAAGUUACUGCUGCUGCUCUCCGGGGAUGUAGGCAUAGCCGAACCUCGUUAAAUACUGUGUCUCAUCUACUUUACGUGCAGCUCAAUAUUCGCACAUAUACCAGUUCAUUUUAUAACAGUACAUCAAAUUUGAAAAGCAGCAAUUUGAAUAAUCACCAGUGUUGACCAGGGCCGUCCCUUGGCCAGGGCAACUAGGUCAUCGCCCGGGGCCCACAAUUGAGAGGGGCAUAAAUAUGACGUUUUAAUAUGGUUUAGGUCAAUUACCACGCGGGUAUUGUAUUUGUAUGAGAUAUUUCUAAGAGUGAACAAGAAUUCUUUGUAGAGAUUUGUAACUUUCUUGUUUUGUUUAUGGUACUGGAAAUGACUUUCUGUUUUUAGGUAUUUUAGCUGCACUGCAUUCAUAUGGAAAUAUAUAUAUGAUUUAUCUACAUUUCAAGAUAUCAAUCAUUAAUGUAACCAAAAAUCAUCUGAUGACUACAAUUUGUGGCUUAUCCACUUUCCUUCAUUGGGGUUUCUAUUCAAGCAAUGCUGGUAGUAAGGUCACAUGCCAACAAGUUCAUGAACAAAAUUAGAACAGGUCAUUUGCCUUGGAAAGCAAGACUCCAACACACAACUUCCGUCUCCGAUUGUCUUAGACGAAUUAAUGAUAUGGUUGAAUUUUCUCUCUUUUUGGUUUUGCUUACGCUCACUCCUGAUAUACUUUAGUGGCUAUGAAAGAAAAAAGCUAGAACAAGAAGAAAUAAUACUUAUGGCAUGUACACAAGAAGAAAAAAGAAAUAAUACUUACUCAGCAUAUAUCAAUAUACUUAUGGCAUGUAGAAGAAUACUUACUCAGCAUAUAUCAAUAUACUUAUGGCAUGUAGAAGAUGAAGAAAUACAUAAAUAUAUAUAAGAGAAAUAAGAUUCAAAUUCAGAGAAAGGAACGCAAAGAAAAGUUUGAGUAUAGGAGCUCUAGUGGCCAUACAUCUCCAAACCCUUCCGCUACAUAAUAGUACGGGAAACUCCAACCGAAUCUUUCUUUCUCAAUUAUUGAUUUUUCUCUUCUUUUUCUUCUUGGUCGUGCCUUCUUUUCAGUCAAGCCGCUUGCUUCAUUUUUUUGCUUUGCUUACUCACCGUAAAAUAAAACAUAAAGCUAGAACAACAAAAACAACAAGAACAAGAAGACCAAGAAAAAAUGGUACGGUCGAGUUGUUGUACUCGUUGCCAACCGUAAUCCCAACACCUGCGCUUUUAAUUGCGGAGAUAUUAUUAUUACUAAUAUUGUUGGUCUUGUUGCUUCCAUCAGUAUUUUUUACCUCGCAAUUUUCAUUUUGCUGGGGCUCUUGUUCAGUUAUUUCUCUUUGGGGAUCUUGUUCAGAAAGCGUUCUAGGGUGACCAGGAAAGCGGUUUCUUACCCUCCCUUCGGGGUUUUGGUUCAGUUGUUCAGCUUUAGAUUGAGAUCGAGACCCAUCUUACAUAUAUGCAAAGAUCAAAAUGGAAAGAUAUUCAAAUAAGUGGAGGCAAAUACUCCAAUUAGAUGGAAGACAAUCUUUCAAUAAAUGGAAGCUACUAUUGUAAACUAAUUACAUAAAUUCCUUAAACCCUAUACACACGUAGAAAUCGCAUCAAGGAAAGAUCUUGAAUCAAAUAAAAAUAUUAAUCAUAAUAGUACAUGUUGGCGAGUCCUUACUUAGUUAGAAUUUUGGUUCCUUAUUUCAUUAGAAUUUUGGUUACUUACCAAUUAUAUUUUGUCCUAUUGUAAUAGAGAUUAUUUUAUUUAGUGUUAUGGGGGUUGAUGAUUUUUUCAACCUUCAUGGAGGUAGCACCACCGACUCAUUCUCUCAUUCUCCACCAACCAUCGUUGAGUUGAGUGCCCAGAUGGCUCCGCUCCUACAGAUGCAGACUUUGACCCCGAACCCGAUCCAAAAUCAGGAUCCUCUUUUGACGACCCCGACCCCGACCCCGACUAUGAUGACGACCACCCAGACCCCGACCCCGACUAUGACGACGACGACCCCGACCCCGACCCCGAAGACGACCCCGACCCCGACCCCGACUCCGAAGACGACCCCGACCCCCACUCCGAUGAUGACCCCAACCCCGAAUUUGUCUCUGAUUCAGACCCUGAUCCCGAUUUCAACUCUGACUCCGGCCUCGACUCAGGCUCAUAUUCCGAUCCCAAUUCCUACUCAACUGUAUCCUAUGCAUCUUCCGUUGCACAGAUUAUGACUUCUCGACUAACGACCCCGACACAUGGACCAGAUUGCGCAUUUUGUGAAAUCCGAGGAUCAAUUGGCGGAUAUUUUGACAAAUGCGAUUUCCAGUAAAGCAUUCCACAAUUCACUAGAUCAGUUGAGCAUUGGCGACAUCUAUGCACCAACUGAGGGGGAGUGUUGGCGUGACUUGUGGAUAUUGACUUACUUUCCUUACACACCAAGAAUUCCUAUUAUAAUUGUAAUUGAUUUACUUUAAUUUCUGAUUUCCUACUGCAAAUAGAUUUAGGAAUUUAUUAUUUACUUGCCUAUUUAGGUUUUGUUGUAUUAUAAAUAUGACCUCCUACAAGGAGAAGAAUACACAGAAAAUUCCCACAAACAAAUAUUCUCUCAUAGUUUUAAUAUUUUAGCAUGGUAUCAGAGCCUGGUUCGAUCUAGGGACCUGUGCUUGUGUUCUUCUUGAAGUUUAAGUGCUCUUCUCCCCCCUUGAGUUGGGGGGGGGGGGGGGGGGUGGGGAUAUGUUUAUUGACCUAUCCCAAUUACCUUGACAUAUUUCCAUGAAGAUGUUGCUUAUUUCUUUGACUCCGACGACCCCUUCUCUUCAAGGGGAGAGGAAGAUUGAAGAGAAGUUGUGUCUGAGUGAAUUAGCUAAAGUUUAUAUGGAAGAAUUUAUUGUUGCCAUUGUCUCUACUGCCGUGCUCAUGGGGUUUCGGUGUUCUGCCUUACCUAUUGCCGUGCUCACAGGGUUUCUGUGUUCUGCCUUACCAAUUGCUGUGCUCACACAGUUUCUGUGUUCUGCCUUACCUACUGCCGUGCUCACAGGGUUUCUGUGUUCUGCCUUAUCUACAGCCGUGCUCACAGGAUUUCUGUGUUUUGCUAUGUGCCCUAUUUUUUAGGGUUUGCUCUUGUGUUUCCGCUGUGAACUUUGUUUUAAUUUGUCACUUGUUUCACUCGUGGUUGACUAAAAGAUCUUCUCUACAAUUGUUACUUCUCAAGUAUGGUGUUCUGUGACUCACUUGUCAAGUUGAGCGUGCGAAAUAUCUUUGCCCAACUUGAGGGGGAGUGUUGGCGAGUCCUUACUUAGUUAGAAUUUUGGUUCCUUAUUUCAUUAGAAUUUUGGUUACUUACCAAUUAUAUUUUGUCCUAUUGUAAUAGAGAUUAUUUUAUUUAGUGUUAUGGGGGUUGAUGAUUUUUUCAACCUUCAUGGAGGUAGCACCACCGACUCAUUCUCUCAUUCUCCACCAACCAUCGUUGAGUUGAGUGCCCAGAUGGCUCCGCUCCUACAGAUGCAGACUUUGACCCCGAACCCGAUCCAAAAUCAGGAUCCUCUUUUGACGACCCCGACCCCGACCCCGACUAUGAUGACGACCACCCAGACCCCGACCCCGACUAUGACGACGACGACCCCGACCCCGACCCCGAAGACGACCUCGACCCCGACCCCGACUCCGAAGACGACCCCGACCCCCACUCCGAUGAUGACCCCAACCCCGAAUUUGUCUCUGAUUCAGACCCUGAUCCCGAUUUCAACUCUGACUCCGGCCUCGACUCAGGCUCAUAUUCCGAUCCCAAUUCCUACUCAACUGUAUCCUAUGCAUCUUCCGUUGCACAGAUUAUGACUUCUCGACUAACGACCCCGACACAUGACUUCUCGACUAACGACCCCGACACAUGGACCAGAUUGCGCAUUUUGUGAAAUCCGAGGAUCAAUUGGCGGAUAUUUUGACAAAUGCGAUUUCCAGUAAAGCAUUCCACAAUUCACUAGAUCAGUUGGGCAUUGGCGACAUCUAUGCACCAACUGAGGGGGAGUGUUGGCGUGACUUGUGGAUAUUGACUUACUUUCCUUACACACCAAGAAUUCCUAUUAUAAUUGUAAUUGAUUUACUUUAAUUUCUGAUUUCCUACUGCAAAUAGAUUUAGGAAUUUAUUAUUUACUUGCCUAUUUAGGUUUUGUUGUAUUAUAAAUAUGACCUCCUACAAGGAGAAGAAUACACAGAAAAUUCCCACAAACAAAUAUUCUCUCAUAGUUUUAAUAUUUUAGCAGUACAUACCUGCCAUUGAUGAAAGCUCAAAAGAAAGUCUUCUACUCUCUGUAGAGUUCUUAUGUUCAAAUAGCAAGAGGGACUAGAUGUUUUGAACGUGUUUGUUUCUAAGAGAGCAUGGGCAUGGACCACCUCUUGAAAAUGGAAUAAGUUACUAUUAUAUACAUGGAUUUAUUUAUUACUCUUAUAUCUGCAAUAUUCUUAAUGAUCAACUUGGAAAAGUCUUCCCACCAAAAAAAAAAAAAAAAAUGGAAAAGUCUUGUGAAAAAGGACUUAAUUUGUGUGUGUGUAUAUAAUAAAAAUAAAAUAAAAUAAAAUAAUUAGAAAUUAAAAUCCAAAAAGAAAUUAAGCAAAAUCAAACUUAGGCAAACCAAAACAAUCCUAAAGAUACCAAUGGAAAGAAGCUUCAAAUAAGUUGAUUUUUAAAGUUAAUGUCUGUUAUAUAUCUGCAAUAAUCAUGGGGCAUUCUAAAAGACUCUAUUAUCAAAGAAAUCCUAGCCUCCCCUCUGUCAAAAAAAAGCCAUUUUCACUUUUAGGAGGGAGAAAGUCACAGUUCUUCCUUCCCUCCCCCAUCUUCUUUUCCUCCCUUCUAUUCUUUUUCUAUUUUCAAAGACAGAAAGUUUUCUACAUUUCUCUUAGUUUUGUUAUAAUUUUCUUAAUAGAUUUAUUUAUUAGUCUUUGUUAUAUCUGCAAUAUUCCUAAUGAUUAACUCGGGAAAAUCUUUCCAGCAAAAACCAAAAAAACUUGGAAAAGUCUUGUAAAAAGGGACCCCUCUCUUGUCCUAAUCAAAGAGGGACCGGACAGACUUUUUCAACCCGAGGGGUCGAUGUGGUGACAUUACAGAGCUGUGGUUUUAGUGCUCGUCUGGUUCGACUGGUCAGUCGUCCGCCUGAGCUAGUGUCGGUGUGGGCUUUGAGUCCACAUCGUGGUGCUAGUGGUUAAUUCGGCUCAGUCAGCCUCCUGUGUCAACUACCACCAUGUAUACAAACAUGGUACAGACAACCGCUUUUUCUGUAGCCCUUUGAGCCAAUACAAUAAGAUUUUGUAAUUUAGUGUCGGCAAAGCAAUAAUUUAGAUUCCUUGUCAAAUUCCAAUAAUACGCAUGUCGAAAAAAUUUGUUGAACUGUCACACCCCAUACUUUGAGCAAAUAUUCCAAAGCAAAUUCAAAGAAAUAUUUCACUAAAUUAACGUUGGUAUAUAUUUGUUGACCUGAAAAAUUAUCAACAUUUAUUAAUAAUAAAAAUAAUUAAAUAACAGCCUAAGCUGUGAGUUAAUAGCAACUUAAGGCCCUGUUUGGUGAGCUGGACUGGACUGGUUAAGAUUGGGCUUUGAGUGUUGGAUUUGUCUGGCUUAGAUUGGGUUGGACUUUAAUAAGUUGUUUGGCACAUUAAGUUGGACUAGGCUACACUGGACUAAAGUCCAGUCUGUUGUUUGGUACAAGUAUGGACUGGACAGCAUUGGACUUCAAAUAAAAUUUAUUUUAAUGUUUAUUAAAAUUAUUUAAUAUAGAAAUAAUUAAAUUUAAUAUAAAAAAAUGUAUAGAAAAUUAAAAAUAAGAAAUCACAUGAAGAAACCAUAAAAAUAGUCCAAAAAUUCACAAAAUUAAUAAUAACACGAAAAUUCUUUUAAGUACAUUCAAAUGAUCAAGAAAUACUUAUGUUAUGUUGCUCUAUUUGCCAUCCACUCAUUAAACAUCUCAGUAGCCAAAUUAUCCCUCCAUGUAGACCAUUGGUCGGAUGCGGCAAUGGUAUCAAUAGUGGCAUGAUCGACAUUGUUCUCAAUGAGGGGAUCAUAAUAAAUUUCUUGCUCCAUUGGAUCUAUAGACAUCUCUCUCCUAAUUAACUUGUGUAAAAAACAACAACCCAUUAUUAUUCGGCAUUGUGUUUGUAUUGGAUAGAACGAUGGAGUCCUUAAGAUUGCCCAACGCAUCUUAAGAAGUCCAAAACAACGUUCCACCAUAUUUCUUGCUAAUGCAUGCUUCAUGUUGAAGUAUUCUCGAUGGUUCAAGGGUGCACAUCCUUCUCUCCAUUCCCAUAAGUGAUAUCUCGUUCCUCUGUAGGGCGCAAGAAAUCCCUCACAAUUUUUGUAACCAGCAUCCACAAGGUAAUAAUAUCCUAAACAAUAAAUAGGAGUGAAUUAAAAAACAUAAUUCAAAUUUAUGGUACUGAAAUAUUUCUUAGAAUUCUUUGUAGAGAUUUGUAACUUUCUUGUUUUGUUUAUGGUACUGGAAAUGACUUUCUGUUUUUAGGUAUUUUAGCUGCACUGCAUCCAUAUGGAAAUAUAUAUAUGAUUUAUCUACAUUUCAAGAUAUCAAUCAUUAAUCUAACCAAAAAUCAUCUGAUGACUACAAUUUGUGGCUUAUCCACUUUCCUUCAUUGGGGUUUCUAUUCAAGCAAUGCUGGUAGUAAGGUAACAUGCCAACAAGUUCAUGAACAAAAUUAGAAAAGGUCACUUGCCUUGGAAAGCAAGACUCCAACACGCAACUUCCGUCUCUGAUUGUCUUACACGAAUUAAUGAUAUGGUUCAAGACUUUAACCCUCCGUUUGGAUGAAGGAAUUGAAAAUUACAUAGAAUUCUAAAAUGACAGAAUUUAGAUUUCCAUCAUUUCAAUUUCUAGCAAUUGAAAAUUCUAGUGCUUGGAUUUAUGUAUGUUGAAUUUUGUAAACGACAAAAUUUUGUAAAUGGCACUAUGGAAAUUGUGAAAUAACGCCUAUUUUGGUGAAAGUUAAUUAAAUUUAGGAAUUUGAUGCCCCAAUUUCCACGAUUUUUUCCGCGUGUCAUUUAAUAAAUUUCGUACUUAAGUUGCCAAACAAGAAAAUUGUUAAUUUCUUCUCUUAAAUUUCUGACUUUUAGUUAAAUUCAGAAUUAUUUUCCUUCAUCCAAAUGGACCAUAAACAUUUCUUAAUCUCCUUCUCUCUUUUUUUUCUUUUGCUUUCUCUGUUUGAAUUUUCUCUCUUUUUGGUUUUGCUUACUCUCACUCACUACUACAUUUUACUCUUUGCGCGACGAAGAACAAAACGUCGCGCAAAGUCUCAUUUAGUCGCACUAAUUUCAGCGCGACAAAACAUUCGUCGCGCAUAUUUCGUCGCGCGAAGAUCGUGAAGAAAGCCUUUGCGCGACGAGGUACAACCCUUCGUCGCGCAAAACUGUGCGACGGGUAAACCAUCGUUGCACCAACGGUGUGGAGACGAAACAACUGUUCGUCGCAUAAAUCUUUGCGCGACGAUCAAUUAUUCGGCGCACGUAUAUUUGCGCGACGACAGGAAUAGCGCGACGAAACAUAAUUCGUCGCGCAAAACAUGUUCGGGAGACGUAUAUGUUCGUCGCAGAACAAUUCGCGCGAUGAGAAAGUUUUCGUCGCUCAUAUAUUUGCGCGACAAAAACCUCUGUCGUCGCGCAAAUAUGUUGCGCGACGAAACGUUUCGUCGCGCAAAACCUAUUUGCGAGACGUAUGUAUUCGUCGCGCACGAAUUAAAAGUGAUAAAAAAGUUGAUUUUUUUUUUGUUACAUGUUGGUUUGCGCGACGAAAUGUUUUCCGUCGCGCAAAAAUAAUAUUACAAUUUUAUUUUUAUUUUUUUUAUUUUUUUAUUUUUUAUUUUAAAUAAAAUUGGUUUCUUUUUAUUGAUUAAACAAUGAAAUUGCAAUAAAAAUAAAUUAGAAUAAAAUUUUGUUAUAAAAUAAAAUAAAUGUAUUACAAAUAAAAUAAAUGUUUAUGAUGAAAAUAAAUACACUAAUCAAAUAAUGAAGCAAAAUCAACCGGGUCGUCGCGAGUAUGCGGCUCGGAGGUCUGGGCGUCCACCGGGGCUGUGGUCUGGGCGUCCACCGGGGCAGUGGUCUGGUGGGCAUGCUCGGGGUGGACGGGCUGGGAGGUCGACGCACGAAACUGCGGGAUCGGAAAGCCGCUCUCUGCGAGGGACUGUAGAAUCACCGACAUCUGACCCUGAAGCUCGGCCACCUGUGCUGUCAAAGCAGUCACCUGACUGUUUGACUGCACCGAUGAACGAGGUCUAGGUUCCCUCCGCCGGGCAUUCCCCAUCCCUCGACAAUAUGUCCCCAGCCUCCUUCGCUCGAGUCUGAUCCAACGUCUCCGUCAAGAUCUGAAAUCCAGCAUCCGAUGGAGGAGCCACAGACUCGAGCGGAGUCUCAGGAGGAAGCUGGGAGGCGGACUCCUGAAGAACCAACUGGCUCCUCUCCACCAUCGUCGUCUGUUGAACAUAACAUAAAAUAUAAAUUAAAACAUGCAUAUAAAUUGAAUGCGUAACAUAAGAAUUUAAAUUAAAUAAUACUUACAUGAAGGGACUCGGCCAACUCAUUCCCGGGUCGAACAUAAACGUCACCAAAGACGUCGAUCUCUGGGAACUUGGACCCCUCCUAAAUUGAACAAGAGAAGAAAAAUAUUAGUAUGAAAAAAAUAAAUUAAUAAAAAUGACAUUAAAAAUGAAAUAUAAAUUAUGUGAUUAUUACCCGUCGCCGUGCAUCCAUCCUAUACGAAAAGGGACUGGAGCCAGAAUGGUGGAGAAGGGUCUUCUUCUUCCUAUUACCCUUAUUCACUUGGGCUUUAUUCUGUUAUACAAAAAAUGAAACGUAUUAGUUAAAAUAUAACAAAUUAAAUAAUAAUGAAAUAAAAAAAAUGAAAUAAACAUUAAUAAGAAAUAAGUAAUAAUUAAACAAAUAUGAUUAAAAAAAAUACCAUAUAUUCGGGCGCUUGAAAAUGAGCGCAGAGCCACUCCCAACUAUCCUCCCGCCCCUCAAGCUCCUUCGGGCAACCCUCCUGAAGAGCGACUUGCGGAUCAUCAAAGGCCUGAAAAUGAUGGUGCAAGUCGCUCUUCCACUGCUUGUACCUCUCAGCGAUGAGUCUGUUGACGUACACCAACGACUCUUCGUCGAGAUCCUCCAAGUUAUAGUUCGUCUGCAAUCAAUUAAUUAAAUACGUUAAGUAAUAGAAAUAUACACAAUUUUAAAGAAAAAUAAUGAAAAUGUAAGGUACAUACCGACAACUGGCCGCGAACCUCCACCUUUAUUUCGUCAGGAAUGACCCUCCAAGACUUCCAUUGCAUCGGGCAAUGGGUCCGCACGACGUGGCCAAUGUCGUGGGCCAAGGAGCUAUGCAACUCCGCCGUGGGUGCAGCCCGAUGGCGCUCGUCGUAUCCGAUGCUGAUACGACUGUUGGUCACCCGGGUGACCUUCGCUGUCUUCAGCUGACGACACGGCCCUCGGGUGUUCUUCUUCGCUGCAAAGAAAUAAGAUAUUAAUGUUAAAUAAACAACAUUGUCAAAUUUAAAUAUAAAAUUAACAAUAAAAAAUGGUAGUUAUACCUGGCUGUGAUCCCGAGGCACCAGUACCCUCGGUCGAUGUCGUCUUGGUGGUGUCGGCAGGCCGGUGCCGCCGCCUAGCACUAGCAGGCUGCGCGACGGAUGACGCAGAUGACGCUGGCGCCUGGGACGCCCCGGGACCAACUAGCACGUGCUCCAUCAAAGCUGGAGCUGUGGCAGCAGAUGCCGACUGAGCUGGGGGAUCCGAACUCGGUGCAGUCGUCAUCGACCUACCACGUCUAAUCAAGUCUAACAUCUGCACAUAUAAUUUUAUUAAGAAUUUAAACUAAUUAAUUAAAAGCAUAGCAUGACCUAGGGUUUGGAAUUUCGGAGUAUCCGGGACUCCGAUCAACAAUCGGUCGAAUCCUAAACGAUCCUAGAAACACAAAGGUACAACUACGUGAGUUUGAGUUCGAUCCAACGGUCCGAACAUAUCAAACCUGGAAAUCGCAGAAUAGGCGAAAUCCGAUCAAUACUCAAACGGUAACCAAAUUCAAAUCCGAGCAAACCUACGCGCUCGUGACAAACAGGGGAUUGCUCUGGGACACAAUGCCCCACUGCCACAGCAUCCCACGCGCCACCACACGCGCCGGCAGCGCGUGGGUGUCCAAAGCGAUAACAUUCGCCGGAAAAUUCUAAAAACUAACGGCCAAGGUUCCUACCCUAGGUUGAAAACAGUAAUUGGAGCCACUUUUGUUCUCGGACCUACCCCGAAAAAUAGCCGGAAGUGGCCGGAUUUGAAAUUCCCAAACCGGCCAAAACCUAGGGUUUUAAUUCCUAUUUCCUAUAGCGAAAAUUCAACAAAUCCUAGCCAACCAUCAGCUAGAGCACAAAAAAUAGUCGAGAAAUCAUACCUCAGGCGUCGGAAAUGGUGGCCGGAGGAGAGAGAAAUCGCCGGCGAUGAAUCGGGAAAAAACCGGCAGGCUCGACGGCGGGCUCGACGGCGAAGGAAGGGGAGGCUACGGCAAGAGCGGCGGUGGCUGAGGUGACGGCGGAGAGAGAGGGCUGAGGUGACGGCAGAGAGAGAGGGAAACGGAGGAAAAAACCAGAAAUGGGGAAGAAGGAGGCAUCGCGCCGUUUCUGCAAAUUUUUACGACUUUGCGCGACGAAGGACAUCAUCCGUCGCGCAAAAUGGUAUUAAUGAAUCUUGCGCGAUGAAAUAUCCGUCGCGCAAGGUCUCCCAGAACGCCAAAUUUUGAAUGGGGAUUAGGGUCUGUGACUUUUGCGCGACGAAAAAUACUUAGUUCGUCGCGCAAAAGGCUGUCGUUCCGCCAAAUUUUUGGGAUUUAGGGUUUAGUGGGAGGCUGAAACUGAAGGGUUUGUGCUUUUGCGCAACGAAGAGAGUAAACGUCGCGCAAGGGUAACCUUGCGCGACGGGAAACAUUAUAUUCGUCGCGCAAAACGCUGGCGUUCCGCCAAAUUUUUGGGAUUUAGGGUUUAGCGGGAAAUGAAGGGUUUGUGCUUUUGCGCGACGAAGACAGUAAACGUCGCGCAAGGGUAACCUUGCGCGACGGAACACAUUAUAUUCGUUGCGCAAAACGCUGUCGUUCCGCCAAAUUUUUGGGAUUUAGGGUUUAGCUGGAAAUGAAGGGUCUGUGGAUUUUGCGUGACGAAGAUAGUAAACGUCGCGCAAUGGUUCCCAUUGCGCGACGGAAAAUAUUAUAUUCGUCGCGCAAAACGCUGUCGUUCCGCCAACAUUUUGGGGUUUAGGGUUUAGCGGGACGCAAUCUAUUUCACUUUCACUUUGCGCGACGCAUACCUUGGUUCGUCGCGCGAGUUCAAGAUUGUGAUUGAAAUUUUCACUAAGUGUUCAAAGGGGAUGGAGGUGUGAAAACUGUCGCCCAGAUUGCUCGACGAACAUAGGACUGUUCCGUCGCGCAAUCUAUUUCACUUUCACUUUGCGCGACGCAUACCGUGGUUCGUCGCGCGAGUUCAAGAUUUUGAUUGAAAUUUUCACUAAGUGUUCAAAGGGGAUGGAGGUGUGAAAACUGUCGCCCAGAUUGCGCGACGAACAUAGGACUGUUCCGUCGCGCAAUCUAUUUCACUUUCACUUUGCGCGACGGUUAUAGAUAUGCGUCGCGCAAAACCUAGACCCUAAACCCUAAGCCCUAAACCCUAAACCCUAAAAUAGUUUCAAUGAUCCAACCGGCUAACUUAUUUUUUGAUACUUGGAGAUCAUAUACGCCAAAAAUCAAAAAGACCAAACAUUCAGAUAUCAGGGAACGGGACUAAAUAUUUCGACGGUUAUAAAUGAAAAGUCAUGAUUUAACGGUUAUUUUAACUCCGAUUUUGAUCAUUUUUUACAGCAACAUUUGUUGACCCUAUAUGAAUACAAUGACUGAAUUUGAUCUUCAAUUUCAGAUUUUUACACUAGGGGAUACCACAUAAACGUUAAGUUACAUUUUCACAAAUGUAUGAACAAAUUUUAGGGUUUUUGGUGAAUAUAUGAUUUUGAUAGCACACGCAGUCUACGAAACAAGUUUCAGUCAUCCAGCCGUCAAACUUGUUUUUUUAGACUUCGAGAUCAUAGACAGCAAAAAUUGGACAAAAAAAACAUUCAGAGAUUAAGUAACGGGGUAAAACUUUUCGACGGUUCUAAAUAAAGAGUGAUGAUUGAACGGUUAUUUUAACUCCGAUGUUGAUGAUUUUUUGCAGCUACAGUCCUACACUUCAUAUGAAUACAAUGAACUACUUCGAUCGUCAAUUUUAAAUAUAUAUGUGUGUAUAUAUUAUACUAUAACGUUACCUAAUAUAUAUUUGCGCGACGAAGGGCUCAUUAUCGUCGUGCAAAAAUUCCAUACGCGACGCAUAUAUAUUCGUCGCGGAAACAAUGCGCGACGAGGUAUAUUCGUCGCGCAAACGUUACGCAACACUUAUAUAUGCGUCGCGUAUGGUAUGUUUGCGCGACGAUAAUGAGCCCUUCGUCGCGCAAGGAUUUGGCGCCAUAAAUCCUCAUUUAAUUCAAAUUGUGUAUGCUUUGUAUUUUUUGGAAAGGUUUUGUAUUCAUCAUUUUUUAUGCUUUGUAUUUUUUGGAAAGGCUUUGUAUUUCUCAAUCAAGCUUUUGAUUUUGAACACAUCUCUCAAUCAAGCUUUUGAGUUAAUUCAGCCAUGGCUUCUCUUCAUGACACUCCAACAUCUUCAGCUCCCAUACCCCACUUCUUCAAGAUCAUUCUAGAUGACACUUCUAAAAACAUCAGAAUUGUAAGCAUCUCUCUCUCUCUCUCUCUCUCUCUCUCUCUCUCUCUCUAUGCUAAGAAUGUUUUCUGAUUAUUGAAAUAUUCAUUUCUUUUGUUAUUUUUAUUGAAGCUUUAACUUGUUCUGUUCUGCAGAAAAUUCCAAUGAAGUUUGUGAUGAAAUAUGGAGAAUGAAUACACAACUACAUAUGGACAACUACAUAUAUUUAAAGAUUUGUAUUACAUAAAAUGAAUACAGUAACAUAAUAAAUUUACAAAUAAAUUCAUUAUUCAUCAUCUGAACUAUAAUAACUUUCGUUAUUGUCGCUAUCAUCACUCUCGGUCUCCCAGUCUUCUUCCUCCUCCUCCUCUAUAACUGCAUCAUUGGCGUUGCUAGGGCCCACUGCAACAUCGUAUCGGGGAAGAUCACCGAGGUCAAUUGUAAUUGACUGAAUCGGUAUUUCGACUGAAGACACUCCUUCUAUUUGAAACGGUUCUUGUAUAACAUUUGUAUCUCGAAGUGUUUCCGCAUCAUUUUCCAUUGAAGAUUCUAAACGUUGGUCAGCCACAUUGUCGACGUCGUUGUCACUUGGGUCUAGUUCUGGUAUAUCAUACACAUUCCUAUGAUCCAUCUUCUGCACAACUUUCCACCAGUUCCCGGCUUUAGGGUCAUCUAGAUACACAAUUUGGGACGCCAUGUUUGCCAAAAUGUACGGGUCGUCAUCAUACCAAGUUCUGUUAUUGUUCACAGACAGUACUCCAUGGUCGAUUUUAACACUUCCCGCCCAUUUUGGGUUGGUAUCGAACCAUCGACACUUAAACAUGAUGACUUGGUAUCGAUCUUUGUAAAGCAAUUGCACGACAGUUGUCAGUUUGCCAUAGAAAUCAAUGUCCGUACUUUCGCCUCCACCUGGGACAUGGACACCGCUAUUUUGCGUACACAACUUGUCAUCUCGUGCGGCCCCCAAAAAUUUGACGCCGUUAACAUUACAACCCGAGAACAAUUCAGCGCGAAUUGGGCCGAACGCCAAGUUAUAUAACUCAUCACUGUAAGUGGGGGAAUUCGAUGAUUUCAAUUUAUUCACCUAAUAGUAUACAAAACCAUUUACAUGUUAGUCUGACAAAAUUAAAUACUACAAUUUAUAUUUGUCAAUUACAAAACACUUAUAACUUACAGAAUCCAAAAACCAUUGUGGAAAUAAUUCACGGUGUUUCCGGGCAACCAAAUGUGAUAGAUGUUCUCGCUUCAUCAUCUGUUCAUGCUCAUCUAAGUAGGCCAUUAUCUCAUCACAAUUGUUCAGUACGAACCAAUGCGCUACCUCCAUGUCAUUUCUAGAAAACGACUCUCCUCGUCCAGGAUCUCCAAAUGGUCGUGCGCUUUGGGCAAAAACAGAAAGUUUUUCAUUUCUCAUACCUCCGUCAUUAUUGCGUUGAGGAUGAUUGAAAACCGUCUCCACAUCUUUUAAAUACAUUCCACAGAAAGUAAGCGACUCAUAUUGAACCCAAGCCUCUAUAAUUGAUCCUUCGGGCUUUGCCCUGUUGCGUACACUUUUUUUCAGCUCUCCGAGAAGCCUGCCAAAAUAAAACGAUAUGAUACAAAUUAGCAAACUGUUGAUAAUGAUGCAUACACAAAUGAUAAAGAUUAUAUACCUUUCUAUUGGAUACAUCCAGCGAUAGUUGACAGGACCAGCAAGCAAUGCCUCUUCUGGCAAGUGAACCAUCACGUGCAUCAUACUUGUAAAGAAAGCUGGAGGAAAUAUCAUCUCAAACUUGCAUAGGACUUGGACAAUUUCAUGGCGCAACUGAAACAUGUCUGUCCUUCGCAAUGUUUUUGCCGUCAGUUGGGAAAAAAAUCUGGAUAACAACAUGAUUGGCUUCACCACAUCUUCCGGCAGUAGGUGUCGAAUACCCACAGGAAGUAGGCGUUGCAUGAACACAUGGCAGUCAUGGCUCUUAAGUCCAGUAAAUUUACCCCCAUCGACAUUCAUGUAACGUGCGAUAUUAGAAGCAUACCCAUCGGGAAAUUUGACAGACGAUACAAACUUUAGAAACUCCUUUUUGUCAUUCGGUUUCAUAGAAAAGAAUGCAAGAUCCCUUCUAGCUUUAUCACUUUCCCUAUUCAUCCAUAAACCCCUUCGUAUGCCCAUUCUUUCCAAAUCAAGACGAGCUUUGAUCGUGUCCUUCGUCUUCCCCUCGAUAUCUAGAAUCGUGCCCACCAAUGUGUCGAAUACAUUUUUCUCAACAUGCAUCACAUCUAGAUUGUGCCUCAAUUUCAGUUUCGACCAAUAUGGGAGCUCAAAAAACAUAGGCUUGUGCGUCCAGUUCAAAUGUGUAGAAGGUCUGGUCCGACUAACUGUUUUCCCGAACGGAGCAAAAUCCAAACGGUUCAGCUGUUCCAAGAUCUCAUCACCGGACCAUUCUCUAGGUCUGAGGUGACGCUCUGUGUUCCCGUCGAACUCUUUAUCUUUUUCUCGCCACUCGUGGUCCCAUGGCAACCAUCUCCGAUGACCAAGGUAACAAAUUAACUUUUUCCGCGUGCCAACCAGAAGUUACAUCUUCCUUGCAUACAGGACAUGCCAUAUAACCCUUUGUGCUCCACCCAGAAACCAUUGCAUAUGCUGGAAAAUCAUUCACAGUCCACAUAACUGCUGCUCGCAAAGUGAACAUCCUCCCAGUUGAUUUAUUGUACGUGCGAACACCGUUUAUCCAUAAAUCCUUCAGCUCAUCAACCAGAGGCCUUAAGUACACAUCAAUUGACCUGCCAGGAUCCUCAGUUAUCAAAACAGUCAUCAUCAUGUCUGUGGCAGUAUGCGUUGACAUAUACAAUCGCUGCAACCUAGGUUUAAGGGGCAGAUAACGCAUGACUUUUUGUGGUAUCUUAGUCGUUUUAUUCUGGGAUGUCAUUUUGAACCUCAACUCAUUGCAUAUAGGGCAUGUAUCCAACGUUUCAUGCUCUUUGUAGAAUAACAUGCAAUUGUUUUUGCAAGCAUGAAUUUUUUCAUAACCCAAUCCAAGACCAUGCAACACCUUCUGUGCAUGUUUAUGGUCUUUCGGCAAACAAUUGUCCGUCGGAAGCAUUCUCUUGAAAACCCCCAAAAAGUAAUCGAAACACAAGUUCGACAUAUGAUACUUUAUUUUUUCGUGCAUUAGCUCCACAAUGGCAGUGAGAACGGAAAAGCUCUCGCACCCCGGGUAUAACUCUUGGUUGGCAUUUUUUAACAGUUUUUCAUACUGUUCAAACUCCGCACUGUCUAUUGAUGUAGGCACGUCAUCUUCCCCUUCCUGAUUGAUGUUGGUCGAUGCGAAUGGAAAAGCAUCCUGUAUAAUACCCAUGACUUGAUCAUUAGGAUCCACAAUAGGUUCAACAUUGUCCACUCUUGGGGCAUUUGAAGACGAAGCAUGGUCUACUUGUUCGCCGUGAAGGUUCCAAAUGCUAUAUGUUUCAAUCAUUCCAUUCCUUACUAAAUGAAAUCCAACAUUUUCAAUUGUCUCCCACAACGUGUUGUUACACCUCCUACAAGAACAACGGAUUCUAGUUGCACCUGGGUUGUGUCUACGUGCAAACUCAAUAAAAUCCUCUAUUCCAUCCAAGUAUUCGUCUGCGCAUCUAUUCGGGUUCUGUAUCCACCUUCUGCUCAUAAUUCCUGAAACCACAAUCACGACACAACAAUCACAACAACUUCAUACGAAGUUAUAAUGUCACCUUAUGCCUCCAGUAAGGGCCCUAUCCCAUUCUGGAAUGCAUAGUCCUGUCACGUAACCUACGGCUACAUGAGAUUAGAUUUCGACGUGGAUUAAUUUCGGCAGCAUCUCGACACAGUUCUUGAAGUGGGCAUAGGUAUAAAUACCUACGUACCACUCGAAGAACGUACCGAGAUGACACCGAAAUCUCCACAAUCGAAACCUAAUCCUGUAGCCGAAGAUUAUGUGACAACACUAUGCAUUACCAAACUGUCCAAAUAAUGGGACAAUUCAAGAAUUAAUUGGACCGCAGUCAUGCAUUACGCAUCCAUGCACGAAAUCCAACUAAUCUCGAACGGGAAACUACGUGUUACUAAACAUAAAAAUAAAAGUACGAAGUUAAUUUCAAUUAACUUCGUACAUCACAACACAUUGUGCUAUGUCACGCACAAUUUCACAACAUUAUACAUAUAUAACUUCACAAAAAAAUUACAAACAUAACAAACAAACUUUUACAAUAACAUACCUUCUCAAUUGUUCUCCACCAAUCACCAAUCACAAAUAUCCCUAAUGAUAACAAAAUUAAUAGCGUUACUACGAAUUUACAUUAAUACAUUUAAACUAACGACAAAAAAUACAUACCCAAUGAACGUACUGAAUUCACAGCAGAACAACGGCAGGGAGAGUGAGAGAGAGGCAGAAUGCAAUUUCUGCAUUCUGCCUCUGCAAUGGCAGAUACUAAUAUGAAGAAGAAGGACUUUGCGCGACGAACACCCACAAUCCGUCGCGCAAAAUGCCGUCGCGAAAACCCACUUUUCAGUCGCACAAAAUAACAUUUCCGUCGCGCAAUUACCUGUCGACAUCUGCUUUUUUGCGCGACGAAUAACAUUAUUCGUCGCACAAAAUUUCGUCGCACAAGGUUUAAAUUACGUCGCGCAAAUUAUUUAUUUCGUCGCGCAAGGCAUUACACUUUACGCGACGAAAAUAAUUCCGUCGCGCAAAAAAAGUUUUAUCCACCCUGCAUUUUGCCGCCAAAAAUAAGUGUCCCUCGUUUUCUUACGCGACGGUACAUGUUUUCGUCGCGCUAAGUUGUCUUUUGCGACGAAAACUUUCGUCGCGCAAAGUUUUUUACCGCAAAAAAAAUUAGACAAUUUUCUGUCCAUCUUUACGCGACGAAUUUUUUGGAUUGUCGCGCAAUAUUGUCAUGCGCGACGAUCAUUAUCGUCGCGCAAGAUUCUGGCGCCAAAAAAAAAAACCGGGGUUUUUUCCCCGACCUUUGCGCGACGAAAUUAGUGUUGGUCGCGCAUAGAUUAUUUGCGCGACGAAACCGUUUCGUCGCGCUAGUGUUCUGUUGUUUGCGCUACGGUAUUUUUUUUUCGUCGUAAUAGUGAAGUUUGCGCGACGAAAACAUGUUCGUCGCGCAAACUUCCGUCGCGCAAAUAGUAAAUCGUAGUAGUGACUCCUGAUAUACUUUAGUGGCUAUGAAAGAAAAAGGCUAGAACAGGAAGAAAUAAUACUUAUGGCAUGUACACAAGAAGAAAAAAGAAAUAAUACUUACUCAGCAUAUAUCAAUAUACUUAUGGCAUGUAGAAGAUGAAGAAAUACAUAAAUAUAUAUAAGAGAAAUAAGAUUCAAAUUCAGAGAAAGGAACGCAAACAAAAGUUUGAGUAUAGGAGCUCUAGUGGCCAUACAUCUCCAAACCCUUCCGCUAUGUAAUAGUACGGGAAACUCCAAGCCGAAUCUUUCUUUCUCACUUAUUGAUUUUUCUCUUCUUUUUCUUCUUGGUCGUGCCUUUUUUUUUCAAUCAAGCCGCUUGCUUCAUUUUUUGUUUUGCUUACUAACUGUUAAUAUAUAAAAUAAAAUAUAAAAUAAAGCUAGAACAAGAAGAAUAAGAAUACCAAAAAGAUAUGGUACGCUCGACUUGUUGUAAUUCUUGUUGCCAACAUUGAUAAUUCCAACCCGACGGCUUUUUUUUGCAUAAAAUCUAUUGCGAGAAAUGUUGUGGUUUCCACCCAUCCUUGCUCGAUCACCACUUUCACCGUCUUCGUUGUAAGCCUCUUGAAUCCCAACAUCUAUGCUUUCAAAUGCGGGAAAAUAAUUCUCAUUAAUGUUGUUGGUCUCGUUGCCUUGAUCAGUAUUUUCUGCCUCACUAUUUUCAUUUUGCUGGAGCACUUGUUCAGUUCUUUCUCCUUGGGGCUCUUGUUCAUAAAGAGUUCUAGGGCGACCAUGAAAGCGGUUUCUUACCCUCUCUUGAGGGCUCUGGUUCAGUUGUGCAGCUUCAGUUCGAGAUCGAGACCCAUCUUAUAUAUAUGCAAAGAAUAAAAUGGACAGAUCUUCAAAUAAGUGCAUGCCAAUACUCAAUCAGAUGGAAGAUAAUCUUUCAAUAAAUGGAAGUUACUAUUGUAGACUAAUUUCAUAAAUUCCUUAAAACCUAUACACGCAUAGAAUCACAUCAAGGAAAAGAUCUUGAAUCAAAUAAAAAUAUUAAUCAUAAUAGUACAUACCUGCCAUUGAUGAAAGCUCAAAAGAAAGUCUUCUACUCUCCGUAGAGUUCUUAUGUUCAACUAGCAAUAUGGACUAGAUGUUUUGAACGGGUGUUUCUAAGAGAGCAUGGACCACUUCUUGAAAAUGGAAUAGCUUACUAUUAUGUAUGUGGAUUUAUUUAUUAAUCUCUGUGUUUUUUUUUUUUUGGUCAUAAGUUUAUUAAUCUUUGUUAUAUCUGCAGUAAUCCAAAUGAUCAACUUGGAAAAGUCUUCCCAGCAAAAAAAAAAAUAAAAAACUUGGAAAAGUCUUGUGAAAAAGGACUUUGUGUGUGUGUAGAAAGGUUCAAGUUUUUCAAUUUUUUUUUCGAAUCUUGACAAAAGAAAUAAAAGAAAAUAAAAUGGUUACAAACUAACAAUCGAAAAAGAAAUUAAGCAAAAUAAAACUUAGGCAAGCCAAAUCAAUCCAAAGAUACCAAUGGAACGAAGAUUCAAAUAAGUUGAUUUUUAUAGUUAAUCUCAGUUAUAUAUCUGAAAUAAUCAUGGGGCAUUCUAAAAGACGCAGUUCUUCCUCCCCUCUUCUAUCUUCUCUUCCUCCUUUCUCAUCUUCCCCUAUUUUCAGAUACAUAAGUUUUUCCCUAUUUGUCUUCUUUUUGUUAUGAUUUUCCUCCAACCAUCACAUGUGGCUCCAUCUUGGUGUCGGAUCUCCAUCUACAUUUUUGGCGUCGGAUCUGCACCAUCAUCAUUUUUACGAUUUUUUUGUGUUUGGAAUAAGUCACAAAGACUCUUUGGAUUCUUUGUGUAGUUUUCAUCUCGUUUUAUUUGUAUUGUUAUGACUUGGUUUUUUCAAGCUUUAUCUCUUUUUGAUUACUAUGAGUUUACAAUCUUAAUUAGGAUGCUUAUACUAGAGUUUCGAUCAUGAGUGAUCGUUAAUGGCGGCACACUAGAUUGUUUUAAUUUUGAUGUUAGAUCACUCUAUUAUUGCAAUUGUCCCUUGUGGCAAGUUUGUAUUGGCCAUUUGUGACUAGUGACUUUUUAAACUAAAUUAUAAAUGCAAUCCAAAAAUUUCUAAAAAAAAAAAAAGCAAAAACAAUUAAUAGUCAUGAUCGAUAGUGUAGUUGUUUACACCAUAAUGAACCGAGCAGACCCAGCACCAAAGUGACUAGCACCAAGGCAGCCACGCCUUCUCCUGUGCCGAAGGAAGACACACUUCCGAGGUGCCAGACACCUACCGAAGCUCCCAGCUGCCAAACCUAAUCUACAGGACACGUGUCGCCACCACAAUGGCUUGCACAAAGUCCCACAUUGGAACUUUGUGCAAAACUCCUACUCUCACCUCCCUAUAAAUAGGGAACAGUACCCAGGUACAAAGGACGACUAUUCUCCCACUUUUACUGUUACUCUGCCAGAAUUACUACUUGUAACUGACUUAGGCAUCGGAGAGCCUUCGGCCGGCACCACACCGGUGUCUGAAGCUUAACGAUUGCUUCUCCUCUUUUACCUUCUACAGGUCUCUCACCAACCCAUUUCACCAAGGGCCUCAGCCUUCUUCUCUGCUGAAGACUCAGCACAUCUAAUCACUAAGUUGCACUCAAUAUUGGCCGGGCCAUUUUGAGCAUCAACAGUAGUAAAAAAGGUACUCCUGUGGAAAAAAUAUUUGACUUCUUCGGACACGCACAUGCACAUAAAUUAUAUAAGAAAUUAUAAUUAGUGCUUGCAAUUAUAAAUUAUCUAGCUAAUUGAUUACUUUGAAUUUUUGUUUUGAUCACAUGCAGGACAAAGAAGACCACUCUUGUCCUAAUGCCCUCGGAGAAUGUAUAUUUUAUUUUAUUUUUUCAAAAACCUACUACAACUUUUCAAAUGGCAAAAACUAUUUCACUGAAAAUAAAAAUAUUAUGUAAAAAUAUUUUAUAUACUCGUGAUAUGUAUUAAAAUAAAAAAUUCAUUAUAAAUAUAAGCUAUAGUUGCCUGUGAUCAUCUGACACAUUAUAUAUUAUACUUGCAUUCCUACUGAGAAUUGAGGGGCUCAAGCAUCUUUGAUGCUUUCCAGUUUGUUUAUCGUAAAAUUACAACAACUUCCCCUCUUUUUUGCCGUAACGUUAGCAAAGAUACAAGUGAUAUUAAUUAUUGGAGCAGUACAUAAGCUUAAAAAUAGGCCCAGGUAUUGCUAUUAUUAAUUUAUGAUUUUAAAAUGUACAAAUUCUACAAUUUAAGGGAUUCAAAACUUCAACAGCGAUGUCGAGUCAAAUAAUACGGGGUAAAAUAUUUUUUGAUAUAUUUCUAUUCAUCAAAGUAAGGUAUUUAUAAUACAAGUAUGUAAACUCUAGUAGGGUUAUACAAGAAAACAAAUAAAAUUCUAAUUACACAAAAUUUGUACAAAAGAGAGAGAAAAAAAAUUCCAAUAGAAUAGGAAAUAAAUAUCCUAAUCAAAUUAGGAUCUUGUGAACAUAGUGAUGAUCACCGUAAAGUUCGUUUUAGUAUUCGAAAAUACAUAAUACGGUCGGUUAUAAUAAACGAAUUUUUUGAUAACGAGAGAUUUGUUCUAUCUAUUAAUGUUCGUAAAACUUCAUUUUUCACGAAAAUCUGAUGAACGAACUCUGCUUCUUCAUUUUCCAUUUUUAUGGUUCGUAAAAUAAUGCCACUGUUGCUGAACUUGAGAGAGAGGAGCAUUAAUAUUGUAUAUUGACGACCAUCAACAUAAUACAUAUUUUUAUUUUAUUCAUCAAAUUAAUAGUACAUAUAAUUAAGAAGGGAGGGGAGGCCCUAGCUAGCUACAGACCUCAGUGAGUCAUCAGUUCUGCUUCGUCUUCAUCAGUACUGGAUGUCGAGUCAGUUUCUCCACCGGAGUCGACUAGUUAUUCUUUGCCGUGGCCUUUGUAGAUGUGGGUGUUGCCAAACUCGAAAAUUCCUACUCUCUCCGAUUUUUUCCCCGUAAUAUUAUUCCCAACGAUGCUGAAGUCAUUGCCUCUUCGGCCCAUGUCUUUUUUCUUACCUCUCUCAUUCUUGGGUUGCAGAGUUUUGGUGCUCACUGAUGGGGAUUUCGAGCUGUUGCUGUUUUGUUGGUCGGUGUUGGCCUUAGAAGAAUCCUCAGAACCUUGUUUCUGAUCACCAAGUGGAGGCUUCAGAUAUAGCCAGCCGGUAGACAUUUUCACCGCUUGGGAUCCUUGUCUGGUUUGUA